rnacentral:lncRNA from 1 species
UCUCAACUUAAGACUUUCAUAUCAAAUUUAGAAUGACAUCUCUGAUUGAGCCUAAACACUUAACUCCUAGUUUUAUGCUAAUGAAUACUAGUUAUCAGAAGCAUGAAACAAAACUUGUGAUCCAAAGGGGCCUAGCCCGACUUGUUACCUUCUAUUCGGUUUCAACAAGAAUUUUUCCUUGUGUUAUUUUCAUGAUUUAGUUGCACCUCGAUGUAUUUAUUCAUUCAAGAAUUGAGGUGUGACAUGGAGUAAAAAUAUAAAAUCCUACUAAUCUACGACAACAAAUUAAAUAAUCACAUUCAAUCACAUUUCAGACCACAUUUCAUCUCCCCUGGAAUACCAGCCUAAUUAAAAGGGAGUCCUUGCGCCCCAUUCCACUUCUUUUAUUUUUUGUCUUAUUUCUUUUACGAAAAAAAAGAAGAUAUUUUUCUGCUCUAUUUCUUGUAACCUGCAACUUUACAUGAAAAAAAAUUUGAUAUGUGGUUGUAUCAAUUGCCAAGAAACACUUAGAAAUGAAUAUCCCCCAACUUGUUUGAUCAUUGGUUCAGUGAUUCACCACCGUCUAUAUAAUAUAUACAAAGGCAGUUUAACGGCUAUUUUUUUCCGCCAAAUUUUAAAAAACAAAUUUCCUAUUUUUUAGCAAGCAUAUUUUCGUUCCACUCCUUUUUCUUUCCACUAUACUUUUUUUUUACUAUUUUUCUCUUUCUUUAUUUUUUUUAAUCUUUUCUCUACUUUCUAAAAUUGUAUAUUUAACUCAUGAUAAAUAUUUAAAAUAAAUAUCAAUUAUAGAUCAUGAUAAGAGCUUUAAUUUGAUAUAUAUAUAUAUAUAUAUAUAUANNNNNNNNNNNNNNNNNNNNNNNNNNNNNNNNNNNNNNNNNNNNNNNNNNNNNNNNNNNNNNNNNNNNNNNNNNNNNNNNNNNNNNNNNNNNNNNNNNNNNNNNNNNNNNNNNNNNNNNNNNNNNNNNNNNNNNNNNNNNNNNNNNNNNNNNNNNNNNNNNNNNNNNNNNNNNNNNNNNNNNNNNNNNNNNNNNNNNNNNNNNNNNNNNNNNNNNUACUAUAUAUAUAUAUAUAUAUAUAUAUAUAUAUAUAUAUAUAGCAAAAAAUAAGAACGCUUCUUAAAAAUAUAAAUUAGGAACCAUUUUCAGCCCUUAGAUCAUCAAGAUCUACGGUUGAUUCAUCACCUUGUUAGAUAAAUUCAUGGUCCUGAGUUCGAAUCCCAAAGGUAGCAAAAAAUUAUUUUUCGCAAUUCAUGUCUUUAUACAGUUUAUUCAUGCGUGUUAUACAUAAAAUUCAUGCAUUUUUGUUGGUUCGUAAUUCUUAAAUUAUAGAUAUGGUAUAUAUAUAUAACUAUGUAUAUAUAUGUCAAAGAUAGAUUUUAAAUAAAAAUGUUAUAAAAUUAAAGUCAAAAGACUCAAAAUAAUUUUUUCUAUCACUCUUAUUAGUUAUGGAUAUUAUCUUUUACGUUUUAGUUUAUUUUAUUUUUUGUAUUUUUUAUAUUUUGCUUUUAUUUAAUUAACUUUAUUUCAAUUUUAUUUUUAUUUUUAAGAUCUUUUAUCCAUAGAAAAAAAUAUGACAUCAAUUUAUAUAUAUCUAUAUCUAUAUAAUAAAAGGACAAAUUUAACGGAUGCUUUUUAGUGUUAGUUUUUUUUAAAAAAUAAUUUUUGCUACUCCAAAAUGCCUAUUUUUCUUUCACAAGUCACACUCAAUCCUGCUAUUUUUUUUUCUUUUUUCCUCUUUUUUUUCAAUUACAAUGUAAUUUGACUAAUGGUUAAAUAUUCAACUUACAUAUCAAAUUAUCAUAAUCUUUAAUUUGAUAUAUAUAUAUAUAAAAUAAAUUUAAAAUUAAAUAUUUAUAACAUUUUGAAGUUUUAAACUACAAAAUUAUUUUCUUUAUUCUCCCUUUUAUUCUUUUCGCAUUUGAUCUUUUAUUAUAGAAUACGAUAUAAAAAUAUUAUUUACGGUCCAUCGAACACAUUGUCUUGCUUGAUGAAACACAAGUGAAUGAUUUAACUACUUAAAUUUUAUAGUUUACAAUUUAUAAAUGAAUUGCUCAUAAUUAAUUAUAUAUGGUAUAUAAUUUAAUGUUAAUUUUUUUUACUAUUUUAUGUAACUAUAAUAAUUCCCGUGCAUCGCACGGGAUAGCGAUACUAGUUUUAUUAUACUAUGCCCCAUUAUUAUUGUAAUUAAUUUCUCACACCACACAUUUCUUUUAGAGUGGAAAUUUAAAUUGCCCCAUUCCUCAUCACAUUUUCGAAAAAUGCCCACCCUUAUCUUACAAAGCUUUCCAUGCCCUAAAAGACUAAAUUAUCCCUAAUUGGGUCAACAUCAAAUGUAAUCAUAUGACACUUCUUACACACUCUUACACACUAAUCACUUUCGAUGCAUUUUUUUACAAGAAUUAGUGAUGUUGACCGAAUGCAUGGUUUUAGUGCAUUAACUCAAAAUUGUGUUUUAUGUUAUAUAUAUACUCCCUCCGUCCCUGAAAUAAGUUCCUAUUUUUCCAUUUUGGGACGUCCCCCAAAUAAGUUCCUCUUUCCUUCUUUCUAUUUUUGGACAACUACCCCACCACUAAUUAUACUUUAUUUAUUCUUACUUUUCACCUUUUCACCACUCUCAAUACUAAUUAUAACACUUUUUCACCUUUUCAUCACUCUCAAUACUAAUUAUAACAUAUUUUUUUCCACUAUCAAUACACUUUACCAUUUUUCUUAAAACCCGUGCCGUCCCCAAAGAGGAACUUAUUUUGGGGACGGAGGGAGUAUAUAUUUUCCGACCGUGUAUGUAUGUAUAUAUGGUUUUUUAAUUUUCCUUUUGCCUAUUAACACCUUAACCUAUUGUUACAUUUCCUAAUAUGACACCUGCACUGAGUGCCAUUAUAGUUAAAGUGUCAUAAAAAUAUAUUUCUGAUGAUAUUUUUAAGUGUCAUAACAUGUCAUUUUUCUAGUAGUGUAGUAGUAUUAUCUGCCUGAGGCUGCAUCAACUUAUAACAAUUGUAUAACGAGUCAAAUCAUUAAUGCUGAUUGUUCAAGAUAAUGCAUUAUGAUUUAUGCAGCUUUCCUAGUCAGAAUCAAGUAGUAACUAAAAUCUAGAUAGAAAACCAAAACUUCACAGGGACUACGGGACUAAAGCAGAGUGCCUAUGCCACUAGCUGAACAAAUUCAACUUUGUUGCGAUUAUAUACUACAAAACAAAUUCAAAACCUGAAAACAACCACCAAGACAACUACUCCUUUUAAAUUAUCUGUAUCACUUUCUCACAUCUCAUAUCCUUCCAUUUUAAUUAACUAGGAACCAGCCCAUCAACAGGCUGGGAAUCCAACUUACUCUUUUUGCUCUUUGAUUCACCAAAGCGCUGAGAAUUAUUCAAUUCAUCAAUGGGGUACAUUAAUCUUAGAGCUAGCAGCAACAGGGACCCCCUUGAAACUAUCAGUUUCGAACCCCCAAGAAUUUGCACCUAAAGUCUGUUCACCAGCCGACUUGUUUCUUGUUCUGACAGAUUUUGAAGUAUUGUAUGUUGUUGUGGCCUGUGGCUUGGGAACCUCUGCAAAGGCCUCCACUGCUUAGAAAUUAGAAUCUGGGCUAGGAGAGCUCCGAUUAAAGAAACUCUCUUCAAGUUCCCAGAUUGUUCCUUCAACCUUAUCAUUCUGCCAAAAUGCCCGACACACAAGAGUAAGAGACACUGAAAUUAACACAUGAAGAUCAUUUAAGUAGGACAAAAAGAUUACCAGUGGUUUGGUGUGUGAUAAAGUUCUUGUAGCUAGAGCAUGCUUAAGGUCUUGUAUCUCUUGUUGUUGCGACUUAGAAAUUGCUAAGAGCUUUUCAUAUUUGGUUACUUCUGCUUUUUCUGCAUUGACAUUUGCAAGCUGUUCUUUCAGCUUUUCAACCUCAGCCUCCAACAUGUCUUCUUUCUCUGGUUUCUGAUGGCUAUUGUUUGGACUUUGUUUACUAAUGUCGAAUUCACCCACAAAAGCAUUAAAAACAUCAUUUUGAAAAGGAGGUGUAACUUCUGCUUUGGGUGGUUUUAGUCUUUCAAAAUUAUGGUUUAAGCUAUCAGGAAACAUAUUUAAGUCCUUACAUGGGUAAUCACUAGACCUACACUGAAAUUAUGGUUUAGACUGAUUUUCCUUGCUCUUUUUGUGGAAUUACAUAAGAGGCAAGAUGAUCUACGGUCAGUUGAGUCUUCAUCAUACUUUGGCUUGGUUUUUCCUUUGGCUCCUGAAUCUUUUGCGUGCAGAAUGGCCCAGAAUUCAGAAAAAACCCAAAGGUCCAUCAUUUUCACCACUUUUUGAAUUGGUUGGGGUUGAUGACACGUUCCGGGGUGCUUCAAAUGAGGGGGGAUGAGGAGGACUCCUACGAGGCAUUGGGCUAGACUUGUUUACAGGCUUUGGUGUGCCUGAAGAUGUAAAUAAUCCAAACAAACCAUCAAAUGCAAGGAAGGAACCACUAGCAAAAAAUAAAAUAAAUUUUGAAAUUUCAGAAUUAUGUACCUAUGUACAUGUAUUUUGAUCAGAUUCACUUUCGAGUCAACUAACAGAUUGAUAGUUUGUACCAUCUGAAUUCUUAAUAUUACUACAUUCCUAACCAUUAAUUUCUAAACCCUUACCUGUAAUGGCAUCAGUACUUUGCUGUAACAUUUUCGGAGGUCUUAUCAGGUACUGAUUUCUGCAGUUCAUCUGGUAAAAGAUCAUUAACACGAAACCACACCCGCAAAAAUAACAACCAUAUAAAGGAAUCAGUAAUAAUACAUGAUUUGUGGGCAUAAAAAUCUACAACUAACUUAGGUUCAUGGGGAUGAAUGGCCAAUCAAGCAAAACGCUUGCCUGCGUGAUAUCCGGUCUAUCGUCAGGGGAAGACUGAAGCAUAUCCCUGAUAAGGUUUGUCAGCAAUGUAUUGGGAUGCGAUAGUUCCCAUUCAGAAUUUGGAGCUUUAAUUCACCAUCGAAUGCUAGCUUCAAGUAACAUAUGCGGAAAAGGAGACACCCAAGUGCCUGCAGAAAACAAAACUCCACAUCAAGUGCUUACUAAGUUCAUGGAGAUAUUCCUGACUGAUUGUUAUUGCUGGGUCUAAUCCACAUAAUUUAGGAACUUGUCAACUUACCCAUAUAUCAACCUUCUCGUUUAUAAGUUCUCUCCGAAAUAGAUCCCGCAUCUGAGCCAUUCAAUGAGGGAGAAGAAUCAAUUGUUAUACCAUAGAGAAGUGCAACAAUAAGAUCUUGAUAGAAGGUCCUCCUCUAUAUGCAGGUGUUGUGUGUUUCCUUAUAUUGUCUUCCUCAAUUCCCAUUUCUUCAGGUUUCUCAAAGCGUUUAUGGUUGGUAGAAGUGCUGCCGAAAUCACACAACUUCCACAGGCCAUCAGGCCCCAGCAAAAGAUUCUCGGCCUUCAAGACUGAUUAGCAAUCAGAAUGAGAAAAUUUCUCAAACCUCUUCAGCAACGAAGAAGAAAAACAAUUAUGUAUCAGUGCACCAAACCUAAACAAUGAAUGAAGCAUCACAUUAAAAUUUCAAAAGAUCUUCCCUAAACCAAGGAACUUAUAAUACUCCACAUUAUAUAAGCUUAUUCUUUCAUAAUAAGCAUUUCAGUAUGCCAGCACUAAGCUUAAAAUGCUUAUCAUAUGUAAAACACAGAAAUAUCUUCCAUCUUUUUCUCCCUUACUUAACGGGCUUCCAGACACCAACUCACAGUACUCACAUAACAAAAAUGUGCAAGUAGAAAUAAACAGGAGAAGAUGAGACUAUAUGGGAGAAAGUCUAGAGAGUGAUCUUUCGGAAUGUGCAGAUAAUCCUUCUACAUAUGAAAAAUUGGCAACAGCAAUGCAUUGCAAAGACAGCAGCGCAUAUAUCACAUUAACCAGGGACUUCUCACAAUAUUCCAUGAGAAGGAAAGCUUCUUUAGUGCGACCCAUAUCAAAGACAGCGUGGGCAAGAAGGGUAACAACAUUGGGGUGGCCUGUAACUGUUUUUCAAAACUGAAAUCUCCUCUGCCACUAGCUCCCGGAACUCUUCUCAUCAUUACAUAUUAUGUGCUUNUAUAUAUAUAUAUAUAUAUAUAUAUAUAGGGUUGAGUUCAAUAGAGAAUUAUAUUUUUAUUCAUUAUGAACAAAUCUAUUCAUUUUACGAACAGAUCAACAUAACUAACGAACAGACGUAUUUGGUAAAAAUAAAGAAAAACUCGCCACCAGCAGGAUUCGAACCUGGGGCAAAUUGUUGUUCAUGCGAUACAUUGAUCUGUUCAUUAAAAUUAUAGAUCUGUUCGUUUUUAUUUUACGAAUUCUCUGUUCUCCACAAUAUUUAGCUUCUCUGUUGAACCCUUCUCUAUAUAUAUAUAUAUAUAUUUUCCGACCGUGUAUGUAUGUAUAUAUGGUUUUUUAAUUUUCCUUUUGCCUAUUAACACCUUAACCUAUUGUUACAUUUCCUAAUAUGACACCUACACUGAGUGCCAUUAUAGUUAAAGUGUCAUAAAAAUAUAUUUCUGAUGAUUAUUUUUAAGUGUCAUAACAUGUCAUUUUUCUAGUAGUGUAGUAGUAUUAUCUGCCUGAGGCUGCAUCAACUUAUAACAAUUGUAUAACGAGUCAAAUCAUUAAUGCUGAUUGUUCAAGAUAAUGCAUUGUGAUUUAUGCAGCUUUACUAGUUAAAAUCAAGCAGUAACUAAAAUCUAGAUAGAAAACCAAAACUUCGGAGGGACUAAAGCAGAGUGCCUAUGCCACUCGCUGAAUAAAUUGAAGGCAUACAUUCGACUUUGUUGCGAUUAUAUAUUACAAAACAAAUUCAAAACCAGAAAACAACCACCAAGACAACUCCUCCUUUUAAAUUGUCUCUCACUUUCUCACAUCUCAUAUCCUUCCAUUUUAAUUAACUAGAAACCAGCCCAUCCAGCAGGCUGGGAAUCCAACUUACUCUCUUUGCUCUUUGAUUCACCAAAGCGCUGGGAAUUAUUCAAUUCACCAAUAGGUACAUUAAUCUUAGAGCUAGCAGCAGCGGGGGCCACCUUGAAACUAUCAGUUCCGAACCCCCAAGAAUUUGCACCUGAAGUCUGUUCACCAGCCGGCUUGUUCUGCUGACCGUUUCUUGUUCUGACAGAUUUUGAAGUAUUGUAUGUUGCUGUGGCCUGUGGCUUGGGAACCUCUGCAAAGGCCUCCACUGCUUAGAAUCUGGGCUAGGAGAGCUCCGAUUAAAGAAACUCUCUUGAAGUUCCCAGUCUUCAAGUUCCCAGAUUGUUCCUUCAACCUUUCAUUCUGCCAAAAUGCCGACACACAGAGUAAGAGACACUGAAAUUAACACAUGAAGAUCAUUUAAGUAGGACAAAAAGAUUACCAGUGGUUUGGAGGCUUCUCAGUGGUUUGGUGUGUGAUGAAGUUCUUGUAGCUAGAGCAUGCUUAAGGUCUUGUAUCUCUUGUUGUUGCGACUUACAAAUUGUUGAGAGCUUUUCAUAUUUGGAGGUUACUUAUGCCUUUUCUGCAUUGACAUUUGCAAGCUAUUCUGUCAGCUUUUCAACCUCAGCCUCCAACAUGUCUUCUUUCUCUGGUUUCUGAUGGCUAUUGUUUGCACUUUGUUUACUAAUAUCGAAUUCAGCCACAAAAGCAUUAAAAGCAUCAUUUUGAAAAGCAGGUGUAACUUCUGCUUUGGGUGGUUUUAGUCUUUCAGAAUUAUGGUUUAAGCUAUCAGGAAACAGAUUUAAGUCCUUAGAUGGGCAAUCACUAGACCUACACUGAAAUUAUGGUUUGGACUGAUUUUCCUAGCUCUUUUUGUGGAAUUACAUGAGAGGCAAGAUGAUCUGCGGUCAGUUGAGUCUUCAUCAUACUUUGCCUUGGUUUUUUCCUAACCAUUAAUUUCUAAUCCCUUACCUGUAAUGGCAUUAGUACUUUGUUGUAGCAUUUCCGGAGGUCUUAUCAGGUACUGAUUUCUGUAGUUCAUCUGGUAAAAGAUCAUUAACACGAAACCACACCUGCAAAAAUAACAACCAUAUAAAGGAAUCAGUAAUAAUACAUGUAACAGUAGCCCUCAUGAUUUGUGGGCAUAAAAAUCUACAACUAACCUAGGUUCAUGGGGAUGAAUGGCCAAUCAAGCAAAACGCUUGCCUGCGUGAUAUCCGGUUUGUCGUCAGGGGAAGACUGAAGCAUAUCCCUGAUAAGGUUUGUCAGCAAUGUAUUGGGAUGCGAUAGUUCCCAUUCAGAAUUUGGAGCUUUGAUUCACCAUCGAAUGCUAGCUUCAAGUAACAUAUGCGGAAAAGGAGACACCCAACUGCCUGCAGAAAACAAAACUCCACAUCAAGUGCUUACUAAGUUCAUGGAGAUAUUCCUGACUGAUUGUUAUUGCUGGGUCUAAUCCACAUAAUUUAGGAACUUGUCAACUUACCCAUAUAUCAACCUUCUCGUUUAUAAGUUCUCUCCGAAAUAGAUCCCGCAUCUGAGCCAUUCAAUGAGGGAGAAGAAUCAAUUGUUAUGCAAUAGAGAAGUGCAACAAUAAGAUCUUGUGUGUUUCCUUAUAUUGUCUUCCUCAAUUCCCAUUUCUUCAGGUUUCUCAAAGCGUUUAUGGUUGGUAGAAGUGCUGCCGAAAUCACACAACUUCCACAAGCCAUUAGGCCCCAGCAAAAGAUUCUUGGCCUUCAAGACUGAUUAGCAAUCAGAAUGAGAAAAUUUCUCAAACCUCUUCAGCAACGAAGAAGAAAAACAAUUAUGUGUCAGUGCACCAAACCUAAACAAUGAAUGAAGCAUCACAUUAAAAUUUCAAAAGAUUUUCCCUAAACCAAGGAACUUAUAAUACUCCACAUUAUAUAAGCUUAUUUUUUCAUAAUAAGCAUUUCAGUAUGCCAGCACUAAGCUUAAAAUGCUUAUCAUAUGUAAAACACAGAAAUAUCUUCCAUCUUUUUCUCCCUUACUUAACGGGCUUCCAGACACCAACUCACAGUCUCACAUAACAAAAAUGUGCAAGUAGAAAUAAACAGGAGAAGAUGAGACUAUAUGGGAGAAAGUCUAGAGAGUGAUCUUUCGGAAUGUGCAGAUAAUCCUUCUACAUAUGAAAAAUUGGCAACAGCAAUGCAUUGCAAAGACAGCAGCGCAUAUAUCACAUUAACCAGGGACUUCUCACAAUAUUCCAUGAGAAGGAAAGCUUCUUUAGUGCGACCCAUAUCAAAGACAGCGUGGGCAAGAAGGGUAACAACAUUGGGGUGGCCUGUAACUGUUUUCAAAACUGAAAUCUCCUCUGCCACUAGCUCCCGUGACUCUUCUCAUCAUUACAUAUUAUGUGCUUUAAUGCAUACUGCUUGAAGCCAUCUACUACAUCUCGAGCUAAAUAAACACAGGAGAAAAUCACCCUCCGCAAUUAGAUUGUGAACCGAAACUUUGAAAUUGCAGAUGUCAAUAACACGUCCUUCAAGCCCGAUUCUUUGUGUGCGAAGGGUUUGAAUCUCCACAUGGCUUGUUGUGAUUCUUUACAAAAAUUAACGACUGAAAGGUGAUAUCAUUAUUAAAAAAUUAUAGCAUAAAAUCUGUACGUACAAAAGUACUGUAAAUCACAAACAUUUGUACAGACAAAAAAAGGGUUCGAAUAUAUAUCUAAUUCGUUAAUAGUAUAGCUCCUUUGUGCAUAACUUGAGCCCAUUGGUUCGAAUUAAAAUCACUUCCUAAGGAGGAGCCAAAUUGACCUUGUGAACUACUAGUACCUACACUUGACGAGUAUGAUGGGUUUACUAGCAUAUAUUUUUGUUCAUAUUAAUUAAAUAAGGCCCUAAUUGUGUUAUCUAUUCUAUGUUUAAUAGCAUAUAAUUCGGGAAGGUACCAUUCUAUUUCUUGAUUAUUUGCUAAUAUUUUCGUAUAAAAAGCAUUUCCCUAAAGGCACCAUAAUAAAUUUUCUAACAUUCGAUAAACACUGAAACGUUUGAUUGUAGGAUCUAAAAUCUUAGCACAUAAAAAAAUAUCGGGAAUUUCAAUAAAAUAUUUACGCCACUUAAAGACCAUUUGAUAUGAUAUGUCAUACAAAUCUUUAUUUUUAGCACAAGCAUUUAAAGCAAUAGCAAUAUCCAUGCAAUAUCUUCGUCGGAUUCGACAUUGAUAGAUUGAUCACUAAUUUCUUAGCAACAAAAACUGCAACUAUACAGUAUAAUUGUAGCACGAAAACAGCAAGUCGAGUAUCGUAUCCACAGGGACUAUUAUAACGAAUCACUCUAAGUAAUCCCGAGUAAACUCUAGUAGUAUUCAGGCAAACUCCCACGAAAAUGAAGAACAAAACUAAAAUCAAAACAAAGCAAAUAAAAUAGGAUAAAAACUCAAAUAAUAAAAGACUCUGACCCUAGGGAUGUACUAUCGUUACUCAAACACAUGCAUUCAAUUUAUUAAUUCAAUUACCAAUUUAAUCCAACCCUCAUGAAAGAUCACUAUAUUAUUCACAAGCUUCUCUAACGAACACCUAUAAACGUAGAUUAAUUUACCUAUUUUCACAUUCAAGACUCCAAGGAAUAAAUUAACUCAAAUAGCACACAAAGAAUAGCUUCAUAUAGCUUCACCUGUCGUAUUCAAGACUCAAGGCUAACACUAUAUCAUGCAUUCCUGAAUCGGCUGAACAAUUAUCGCAUUCAAGACUCAAACUGAACAACUAAACAUGUAAAUUAUUGAUCAGGUAAUUCACAAGAAAAUAGGCACCAGGAAUCAUGAAUCACAAGUUGGAAGGCAAAUUGAUAUCAACAAAUCAAACACACAUAUUAAAACAACUUUGUACAAACCCUAGGUUCAGAUAAAAGAACUAGCCAGACAUCAUAAAAUAAAAUAAAAGCAUAAAUAAAAUAAAGCAAUUGAAAUAAAUAAAAUAGAUAAAACCCGGAAGAAUGUUGAAUGACAGCUUGAAUCUUGUAGGAAAAUAAAGCUAAUCUAUGAAAACAAUAAAAUUCUAAGUCUAAAACUGAAAAGAUGGAGAAAAGAGGUAAAGAGAUGUGAAAAGAUGUCUAAUAGGUCAGGGAAAGGACCUAUAUAUAGGCACAGGAGAUAAAUACAGUGUAGAACUCGAAAAUACUGAGAAAAUAUAAAAAACCCGAAAAUUCGGAAAUUUCCGUCAACACUAUUCACUGUGUGCGCGAUUUUCUUGUUUUGGCCAUAACUUUCUCGUCCAAACUCCGAUUUACGAUCUGUUUGCGCUCACGAACUCCACUUGAGACGAACUACAACUUCUAUUACUGAUAAUAUUUCCAAAUUCCAUCUCGAAAAUCCUGUAAAAUACAUCAAAGUUCGAGCAAGUAACAUAGUUUACAAGAUAAAGCAAUAAAAGCACAAAACAAUCAUCCAACACUCAAUUUCCUAUAAAAAUGACAUCAUAUGAACAAUAAAAACCAUGGAAACAUGAGUGUUAUCAAUAGACUUGUCACGGUUACCACGACCUUGAGACAUGAUAACAAAUAAACAAGCAGAGAAGAGUAUAGAGAUAAUAGAUAUUAGAGAGUUAGUAACAAUUAAUGUAAAGCAAGAGUGUGUGUAGUGCUAGUGUAAUUUAAAUAUCUAGUAAUAUAUAGUAGAUAGAUAAUAGAUAGUAUUUAGUACUUUGUAAGUUAGUAGUUACUAGUUAGUAAUGUAAUGUAAGCAACAUCAAUAAAGUAAAGCAAGUGUGUGUAGUGCUAGUGUAAUUGAAAUAUAUAGUAUAAUAGAUAGUAUUUAGUAGUAAUAUAAUGUAAAGCAAGAACAAUAAAGUAAAGCAAGUGUGUGCAGUGCUAGUGUAAUUGAAAUAUAUAAUAUAAUAGAUAGUAUUUAGUACUUUAUAGUAGUAAUAUAAUGUAACCAAGAGAGCAAUAAAGCAUUAAGCAAGAGAAUAACAAUAUAAUUAUAGAGCAAGAGCAAUAGCACAUAAAGAAUUGAGGAGAAUUAGAAGUAGAAAAGAGUGUAGAAUUGUUAACACAAUGCGAUGGUUUUGAAGGUGGAAGAAUGGGGGUAUUUAUAGAUAAAAUUGGGUGGGAGAAAUUUGAAUUUGAAUAUGAAAAAUAAAUAAAUUAAUUAAAAUUCGACCGAAAUCGCCAGAUUCGAGCGGUUAACCACCGGUUUUGAACCGCCCAAAAUCCGCGGUUCCAGCCUCGCCUGCCGUGCCUAGCCCUGCCGCCUAUGCCUACCACCUCGCCUGCAACGCCGGAAUCGGCGGGCCGCGUGCUGAAAAAAAUUAAACCUGAACCGAUCCUUGCAUUUUAGAGGUCCGGUUUCGGAACUGGCCCGUGGUCAAUGGUUCGGGCUGGAACCGUUGACUCUCGAGCUAAUUUCGGACAGAACCGCCGGUUUCGGUUAGCCCAUGGCAUGCCUAUUUGGUAGUACACAAUAUUUUAACGGACGUCUGGCUCAUUUACCAUCAGACACACCACUAAAAACAAAACCAAAAAUUGCAACAACCACUUCAAAUCCCUUAAUAACAACCGUACCGUAGUACCAUCACACACAACACUACAAACAAAAUAAAACAAUAAAAUGCAAAUCCCUUCACCUGUGAAAGUUUCAGAACUGAGAGCACACUCAAUCUUUACUCAUAGAACUUGACGCGCGCACUCAACUUUUACUCAAAAAAACAAUAGCUGGGGAGGUUGCAAUGACAGUGGUUACGAUAGAGGGGCCAACCCAGCUCGGGCCGAAGGAAGUGGAGUUCUUGGCAGACAUGCAGGAGAAACUCUUCGAGUUGGUCAUCCUGACGACGCAGGAGGAGAAAUUCUUCGAGCUGGUCAUCCUAACGACGGAGGAAAAGCUCGAGGCGACGACUAGGGCAGAGGAACUGGAACUCAAAGAGGCCGCAAUCGCAGACGAAGAGCAUGACUUGGCGGCAACGGAGGAGAAAAACUCAAGGCAGUAGGGCAAGAGGAGCUCGCAGCGGCGAUUAGGGUAGAGGAACCGAAACUCAAGGAGGACGAAAUUGCAGAGGAAGAGCCGGACAAGGCGGCUGUUAGGGCGACCAGGAUGAAAGAGGAGCGACUCACCAUGGUGGCGAGGCGGGAGAGGGAUGUUGAGGAGCGCCUACGUGAUGAGGCUAAAAAAUAGAGAAUGGAUGAGGAACGCCGGCGUGAUGCGGCUAUCAGAGAAAGGAAGGAGAAGCACCAAUGCUAGACAGAUCGGAGACAGAGGGAGGUGACGGAACAGGCUAGGGAGUUGAUGAUUAAAAAAUCAGAAAACACAUGGAUCAACAGUCGCUUUCUAACCGUAUUAUUAUUUCUUGUGGGAGUCGUCUGCGCUUCCUACACUCUGACUUAUUUCAUCUAUUAACACACGUGGUAUGUAUAUUAAGAAAAAAUAUAUUACUAAUUAAAUAUAAUAAUUAUUGUGAUAUUAUAUAUUUCUUUUAAAUUUGAUGUUUUAGGGUUCAGGCUAUUGGAUUCGUCUUAUUUGUCAUAUUAUCUGCACUAAGAUAUCGCUACCAGAUGAACUAGAUUCUUAGGGAGCCGCCUCGUAUGUGGGUACAAAUGGUAUUAAUAACUUUAUCUACUAUUAUGACGAUUUCAGUUGGAGUUUUGUUUGAAAUGUCCCAAAACAGUUUUAUUGGCUUUUUACUUCUAGGAGUUGGAGUAUUUUGUCUAAUAGGGAUUAGUCAGUCUUAUUGUAAAUUUGGUGCACUGCAAUUAUUUGUAUCUUUAGUUUAUGUUGUCAAAUAUAUUUUGUUUGAUUCGAUCCAGAACAGGCCUGGGAGUCAACGAGACCGUUGGCCACAGGCCGGCUCCAAAACCGGAAUGCUUAAAGCUAAAGGCCGGUUCAGAUUCCAUAAUUUCUGACCCGUGGCCCACCGGUUUGGCCCGGAAAUGGGGGUUGAGGAGCACCUACGUGACGAGGCUAAGAAAGAGAGCAUGGAUGAUGAGCGUCGACGUGAUGCGGCUAUCAGAGAGAGGGAGUAGAAGCAACAACGCUAAACGGAUCGGAGACAGAGGGAGGUGAUGGUACAGGCUAGAGCGUCGAUUAUUAAGAAAUCAGAAAAGACAUAUAUCAACAGUCGCAUUCUUACCGUAUUACUAUUUAUUGGGGUAGUCGCCUACGCUUCCUACACUCCGACUUAUUUCAUCUAUUCACACACGUGGUAAGUAUAUUAAGAAUAAAUAUAUUACUAAUUAAACAUAUUAAUUAUUGUGAUAUUAUAUAUUUAUUUUAAAUUUGAUGUUUUAGAGUUCAUGCUAUUGGAUUAGUCCUAUUUGUCAUAUUAUCUGGACUGCGAUAUCGCUACCAGAUGAACUAGAUUCUUAGGGAGCCGCCUCGUAUGUGGGUAUAAAUGGUAUUAAUAACUUUAUCUACUAUUAUGACGAUUUCAGUUGGAGUUUUGUUUGAAACCUCCCGAAACAGUUUUAUUGGUUUUUUACUUCUAGGAGUUGGAGUAUUUUGUCUAAUAGGGAUUAGUCAGUCUUGUUGUAAAUUUGGUGCACUGCAAUUAUUUGUAUCUUUACCCAUGCACAUAGUCAUAUUGCUCUACAGGUUUGAAUUCCAUAUUUGGUACAUCCCAUGUGGAAUUUUAGCUAUAUUUAGUUAAUGUUGUCAACUCUAUUUUGUUAGGUUCGAUCCGAAACCGUCGUGGGAGUCAACGGGACUGUUGGCCACAGGCCGGCUCCAAAACCGAAAUGCCAAAAGCUAAUGGCCGGUUCAGGUUCCAUAAUUUCUGACCCGCGGCCCACCGGUUCGGUCCAGAAAUAGAGGUUGAGUAGCGCCUACGUGACGAGGCUAAGAAAGAGAGAAUGGAUGAGGAGCGCCCACGUGAUGCGCCUAUCAGAGAGAGGGAGGAGAAGCAACAACGCUAUACGGAUCGGAGACAGAGGGACGUGAUGGUAUAGGCUAGAGCAUCGAUUAUUAAGAAAUCAGAAAAGACAUAUAUCAACAGUCGCAUUCUUACCGUAUUACUAUUUCUUGGGGUAGUCGCCUACGCUUCCUACACUCCGACUUAUUUCAUCUAUCCACACACGUGGUAAGUAUAUUAAGAAUAAAUAUAUUACUAAUUAAAUAUAUUAAUUAUUGUGAUAUUAUAUAUUUAUUUUAAAUUUUAUGUUUUAGAGUUCAAGCUAUUGGAUUCGUCCUAUUUGUCAUAUUAUCUGGACUGCGAUAUCGCUACCAGAUGAACUAGAUUCUUAGGGAGCCGCCUCGUAUGUGGGUACAAAUGGUAUUAAUAACUUUAUCUACUAUUAUGACGAUUUCAGUUGGAGUUUUGUUUGAAACCUCCCGAAACAGUUUUAUUGGUUUUUUACUUCUAGGAGUUGGAGUAUUUUGUCUAAUAGGGAUCAGUCAGUCUUAUUGUAAGUUUGGUACACUGUAAUAUUUUUUAUCUUNGGUUGAGUAGCGCCUACGUGACGAGGCUAAGAAAGAGAGAAUGGAUGAGGAGCGCCCACGUGAUGCGCCUAUCAGAGAGAGAGAGGAGAAGCAACAACGCUAUACGGAUCGGAGACAGAGGGACGUGAUGGUAUAGGCUAGAGCAUCGAUUAUUAAGAAAUCAGAAAAGACAUAUAUCAACAGUCGCAUUCUUACCGUAUUACUAUUUCUUGGGGUAGUCGCCUACGCUUCCUACACUCCGACUUAUGUCAUCUAUUCACACACGUGGUAAGUAUAUUAAGAAUAAAUAUAUUACUAAUUAAAUAUAUUAAUUAUUGUGAUAUUAUAUAUUUCUUUUAAAUUUGAUGUUUUAGAGUUCAGACUAUUGGAUUCGUCCUAUUUGUCAUAUUAUCUGGACUGCGAUAUCGCUACCGGAUGAACUAGAUUCUUAGGGAGCCACCUCGUAUGUGGGUACAAAUGGUAUUAAUAACUUUAUCUACUAUUAUGACGAUUUCAGUUGGAGUUUUGUUUGAAACGUCCCGAAAUAGUUUUAUUGGCUUUUUACUUCUAGGAGUUGGAGUAUUUUGUCUAAUAGGGAUUAGUCAGUCUUAUUGGCAUAAAACACUCUAUAUGGCAUCUGGAUGUACAUAACAACAGAAUAAGAGAUCGAAUGCAAACUUUUCACGACAUAACUACUGCGCUGCAACUUCAAGGCAUGGUGCAAAUAAAGAGUAACUCUUGUGACGACAGCUUGAAACAGAGGGGUCACAAAAAAAAAAUUAACAGAAGGCAUUAAGAAUCACAUACAUAAAUAUAUAGUUUUCAUCAAAGAAAAGCCAAGCAUCAAUUAAUUCAAAAUGGGUAUAUACUCUAUAAUUGGACUACUUUAGGCUCUUUAUAAAUAACUGAAGUUCAUAGAGAAAAAUACACAAACUGUUUGAGGAUUAACACUUGGAGUGGCUUAUCUACUUCAACAUCGCCCUAGAGAAAUACAACACAUAAAUAAACAUGAGCAAUGGACAAAGGUGACUGCAGUACAGAUUCAAGAGUUCAAAUCCAGUCCAGCAAUCACUAUUUAGUUUCGCAUAUCUUGAUUUUAUUCCCACCAGAGUCCAAACAUUCAAUCUCACUGCGUUAUGGCUCAAAUAAUAAAAUUGAAGUUCAAGAGAAAUUUAUAGUGAACAAGACAUAAAAGAGGAACUUACAACUAUAAAGAACAAAAUGGAAACUAAUUUGCAUGUUAUCAAGAACGAAGGUCUAUCUUUUUUAAGGCUUAAUCAAUGCAUUUAUUUACUAUUCAGACACAGACUUAGUAAACUUGUUUAAUGUCAUAGAUUCUUAAUAAUCUCAUAAGGCUUUAUCAAUUUAUGAUCAAUAAUGCAUACCGUAAGGUCAAGAUAAUGACUAGUUCGUUAUCUACAGAGGAUAUACAGUUUUUCUUAUAUGUAAAUAAAAUAAACGAUUUCAAGCAUCUUUGCUUUCAUAAUGUUUCAUGUUGAUUAGCCUGCUAGUACUUAAGAAUGCAAUAAUGAAAAAACACAAAAACAAGUCUACAUAUACUUUUGACUGGUGCAAUCUGCUUAUUCAUCAAAAGAAACUCAUUAACAAAAUCUCAUCAAAAGAAACAUAAAUGCUAAUAUCCAUUCAAUGGUAACACCAUCAUGAAUCUUCUACACUUUACACAAGUAUAGACAAAUUUAAGCUUCCUUACCACUUAAGAAUCUUUGUGUACCAUGCGUAUGAUGUUCCAUGAUUUCCUAAAAGCCGAUCCAAUUGGGAAGCACAUAUCAUGUAUCUACAAAUACACAAUAUUAACUAACUGACAAUAAUUAGCGUAAUACUAUAAAGCAAAAGAGUUACAUGAUAUCGUCACCUGUACGUCGCGAAAGAAAAGGAGCGAGUUACACAUCCUUCUGAGAUGUGGCAAUUGAAAUCGAUCAGCUGCUCGAAGCAUACUCUGAGGAGUGCCUAUGUGACGAGCUAAGAAAGAGAGAAUGAAUGAGGUGCGCCGACGUGAUGCAGCUAUCAAAGAGAGGGAGUUGAUGUUGCAGGCUAGGGCGUCGAUAAUUAAGAAAUCAGAAAAGACAUGAAUCAACACUAGCUUUCUUACCGUAGUAGUGGCCUACGUUUCCUACACUCCGACUUAUUUCAUCUAUUCACACACGUGGUAAGUAUAUUAAGAAUAAAUAUAUUACUGAUUAAAUAUAUUAAUUAUUGUGAUAUUAUAUAUUUAUUUUAAAUUUGAUGUUUCAGAGUUCAGGCUAUUGGAUUCGUCCUAUUUGUCAUAUUAUCUGGACUGCGAUAUCGCUACCGGAUGAACUAGAUUCUAAGGGAGCCGCCCCGUAUGUGGGUACAAAUGGUAUUAAUAACUUUAUCGAAUAUUAUGACGAUUUCAGUUGUAGUUUUGUUUGAAACAUCUCGAAACAGUUUUAUUGGCUUUUUACUUUGUAGGAGUUGGAGUAUUUUGUCUAAUAGGGAUUAGUCAAUCUUAUGUAAUAUUGCAUACACGUUAUUAUCUUUAGCAUGCAAUGGAUAUUCUAAGGUUUAGUUUAUGUAGUCAACUCUAUUUUGUUAGGUAUUAUAACACGAAAGACGAAAUGAAAGUUCGCCAUAGCUUACCCUUAGAAGAGCAAGCUUAGUUUGAUUAUAUUGUAGAGUUAUUAGUUUCAUUACAUUGUAGAGUUUGAUUAUAUUGUAGUCUGAUCGAAUGCCAAUGACUUGAAGUUUAUGCGAUGUAAAAAUUAAAUUUAAUGUUUGUCUGAUGUUUAGUGGUGCAUGGGCCCAACGGAACUACGGUUCGGCCUGGAACGUCAUGGAAGUCAGGGACCGUUGACCACAGGCCGCUCCAAAACCGGAACGCCAAAAGCUAAAGGCCGUUCAGGUUCCAAAUUUUGACCCGCGGCCCACCGGUUCAGCACGGAAAGGAGGGUUGAGGAGCGCCUAUGUGACGAGGCUAAGAAAGAGAGAAUGAUGAGGUGCGCCGACGUGAUGCGCUAUCAAGAGAGGGAGUUGAUGGUGCAGGCUAGGGCGUCGAUGAUUAAGAAAUCAAAAAGACAUGAAUCAACACUAGCUUUCUUACCGUAGUAGUGGCCUACGCUUCCUACACUCCGACUUAUUUCAUCUAUUCACACACGUGGUAAGUAUAUUAAAAAUAAAUAUAUUACUGAUUAAAUAUAUUUAAUUAUUGUGAUAUUAUAUAUUUAUUUUAAAUUUGAUGUUUCAGAGUUCAGACUAUUGGAUUCGUCCUAUUUGUCAUAUUAUCUGGACUGCGAUAUCGCUACCGGAUGAACUAGAUUCUAAGGGAGCCGCCUCGUAUGUGGGUACAAAUUGUAUUAAUAACUUUAUCGACUAUUAUGACGAUUUCGGUUGUAGUUUUGUUUGAAACCUCUCGAAAUAGUUUUAUUAGCUUUUUACUUUGUAGGAGUUGGAGUAUUUUGUCUAAUAGGGAUUAGUCAGUCUUAUUGUAAAUUUGGUAGACUGUAAUUAUUUGUAUCUUUAUCCAUGCAAAUACACAUAUUGCACUACAGGUUUGAAUUCCAUCUUUAGUACAUCACAUGUGGAAUUUUAGCUAUAUUUAGUUUAUGUAGUCAACUCUAUUUUGUUUGAAUUCCAUCUUUAGUGCAUCACAUGUGGAAUUUUAGCUAUAUUUAGUUUAUGUAGUCAACUCUAUUUUGUUAGGUAUUAUAACACGAAACAUGAAAUGAAAGUUCGCAAUAGCUUACCCUAGAAGAGCAAGCUUAGUUUGAUUAUAUUGUAGAGUUAUUAGUUUCAUUAUAUUGUAGAGUUUGAUUAUAUUGUAGUCUGAUCGAAUGCCAAUGAAUUGAAGUUUAUGCGAUGUAAAAAAGUAAAUUUAAUGUUUGUUUGAUGUUUAGUGGUGCAUGGGCCCAACAGAAGUGGCGGUUCGGCCUGGAACCGUCAUGGAAGUCAACGGGACCGUUGACCACUGGUCGGCUCCAAAACCGGAACGCCGAAAGGUAAAGGCCAGUUCAGGUUCCAUAAUUUUUGACCCGCGGCCCACCGGUUCGUCACAGAAAGGAGGGUUGAGGAGCGCCUAUGUGACGAGGCUAAGAAAAAGAAAAUGGAUGAGGAGCGCCGACGUGAUGCGGCUAUCAGAGAGAGGGAGGAGAAGCAACAACGCUACAGAGGGAGGUGAUGGUACAGGCUAUAGCGUCGACGAUUAACAAAUCAGAAAAGAUAUAUAUCUACCGUCGCAUUAUUACCGUAUUAUUAUUUCUUGGGGUAGUCGCCUACGCUUCCUACACUCGGACUUAUUUCAUCUAUUCACACACGUGGUGAGUAUAUUAAGAAUAAAUAUAUUACUAAUUAAAUAUAUUAAUUAUUGUGAUAUUAUAUACUCCCUCCGUCCGCCAAAAGUAUUCCACAAUUACUAUAUUUGGCGUCCGCAAAUAGUAUUCCACUUUCCUUUUUAAGCAUUGGUCCCACCAUCCACCUUCAUAUUUUAUCUUUACAAACACUCUUUAUUUACAAAAACCUCACCCCAAAUUCAAUCUCAACCACACAUCUCAUAAAGUAGUGGGACCCUUUCUCCACUACAUCAACAUCAUCACACAUUUUAUUAAACUCCGUGCCCGGCCAAAGUGGAAUACUUUUGGCGGCCGGAGGGAGUAUUUCUUUUAAAUUUGAUGUUUCAGAGUUCAGGCUAUUGGAUUCGUCCUAUUUGUCAAUUAUAUGGACUGCGAUAUCACUAACGGAUGAACUAGAUUCUUAGGGAGCCGCCUCGUAUGUGGGUACAAAUGGUAUUAAUAACUUUAUCUACUAUUAUGACGAUUUGAGUUGGAGUUUUGUUUGAAACCUCCCGAAACAGUUUUAUUGGCUUUUUACUUGUAGGAGUUGGAGUAUUUUGUCUAAUAGGGAUCAGUCAGUCUUAUUGUAAGUUUGGUACACUGUAAUUAUUUUUAUCUUUACCCAUGCCUCCUUUGUAGUGUAAAUGAGGAAUGAGUAAGGGUCAUGUAGGAAAUGUGGGAAAAGAAAGUAAGGAUUCAAAGGGUGAAAUUUUGUUUAUCCUUCAUUUUCCCAUGAUAAAUUUACAACCAAAGAGAACACACCCUAAGUGAAAAGAGCAAUAUUACAACCGACCAAGUCGAUUAUGGUUUGAGGAUCCAUUGAAAAGCAACUCAUUUUGCCCUUUUCAUAUCCCGCGCCAAGAAGCUAUCAAUAUGCCUGCCAUAAUAAUAAUAAUAAUAAUAAUAAAUUAAGAAUGAAAAUGUAUAUUACCCGAGCCCUUCAAUCCAACCGGAAAAAGGUUCUUUGAAAGUACUAGUUAAAUGGGGUUAAUUGCACCAAAUAUCACCAACUUUGCCCGAAUUUCAUUUUUCCCAUAAUUUUAAAAAAUUCCAUUUUUUUAUCAUAGAUUGAAUUAAUUGUUCAUUUUUCCCACGAUUUUUUGCUCCCCUCAUAUCCGAGAUGAUGUGGCGCUGAUGUGGCUCGCCGGCACACGCCACAUACAUUCCACAUACACCAAAUAUCACAAACUUCGCCCGAAUUCCAUUUUUCCCAUAAUUUUUUAUUUAUUUUUCUAUUGUUCUCAUAAUUCUCUCUUACUGUUUUUUUUUCACUUCUUCCGCCGCACCACCGCCACUCGCCCACCUCCCCCCCCCCCUCCGACCCCUUCCCCCUCCUCCGCCGGACCCUCUCCCUUGACCCCUGCAACUACACCCCACCAUUGUCCCCCAUCGUCAACCCACCCAAGAAAGUUGUUGUCAUUGCCAACGCUCUCACGCAAACAACAACCAUCGUCGACCACCCUUCUGUAAAACAUGACAACUUGCGAACAGGAGUCAAAAUCAUAAAAUUAUAAUUCAAUUGCUCUUUGAUUUCUUAAAAUCCUAGUUGAAAUUGAGAGACGGCACGACUGAGGCAACGAAGGAGGAGGAAGAGGAUCUGUUGGUGGGUCUGUUGAAAUUGGUCGAAAUUGCUGUUAAAUUCGAUGGCCAAAUUUCAAUGUGGUCGCCUCGAUGCUCGUCGCGUCGGGCAUCGUCUCGGAAGGGGGAAGGAGGAGGUCUGCGGGGGAGCUUGGUCAAUCUAUUUUGUCGGUGCGGCAGGCGAAGACCUCGAGGGCAGAGCUCUACGACGCGGCGCAGAGAUGGGGUCGGUUGUAGCGGUCGGUGCUGUCAGGGACUGGAAUUGCUGCGGCGAGAAUUCCGACCUGCUGGAGAGAGGACUAGGGAGUGGCGGAACAGACGGAGGAGCAGGGGUGGAGGGUUAGAGAGAGAGGGGGGGCAACGUGGCGUUUGAGAGAGAGAAAGAGAAAGAGAGUGAAACGCGUUAUUUUUUUUCUUUUUAAAUCCAAUAAUUAUUAUGUGUAAAUUUAAAUCCAUAUCAGCGCCACGUCAAACUUUCCGGUCAACGAGCAAAAAAUCGUGGGAAAAAUGAACAAUUAAUUCAAUCUGUGAUAAAAAAUGAAUUUUUUUAAAAUUAUGGGAAAAAUGAAAUUCAGACAAAGUUGGUGAUAUUUGGUGCAAUUAACCCAAUAAUAAAUGUACCAUUAAUUAAAAAAAUAAAUAUAAUUGAAGCAGAAAAUUGUUUAGCGCGCGACCAAUUACAGAGUAUAAUAUUAGUGAUUUCAUAUUAUUUUUGUAUAAAAAUUAAAAAGUAAUACUAUUAUUAAUUAAUGUGACUAUAGAACUAUACUACAAGAUAAAGGUAUUGAUUCUACUAAUAUAAUGAUUUAAAAAUCUAAUUUUUCGUGUCGAUAAUGUAGGUUUAAAUUUAAAUGAAUAAAUUACCUUUGGCUUGGAGAAAUAAAUUUUAUGAGAUAAAAACUACAUUUACAAGAUUGAUAGCUAUUUCUAGAGCAUUCCUUAUUUUUUAUUAUUUCUGUAAAUCCUACCAUAUACCUUGAGUCCUUGACAAUAUUUUGAAAACGCAAAUCACGUGUCCUUAGUUAUGCGAUUUUUACUAGUUGAACCUUCCUACAUUUAAAUUAAACCAAUUCAAUUAUAAUAAAGCAACCCCACCAAAAAAAACUAUAAUAAGGUAAAAGAAUUGGGCCCAUCCUUGAAAGUCAUUGCUCGGAUUGCUCCCACGGGACCAAUAUUGAAUUUGUCUUCUCCUAUUUAUAUUAAAUACUACUAUUAACUUAAUGAAUUGAUACCGACUGAAUUAUAUUCAAAAUCCUCAAAAAUAAGAUAAUGUUCAAGAAUUGUACUGGACCAGGAGUUGAAGGAUGAUAUUUUAUAUACUUAUUUCAUCCAUUGAUGUAAUUUUUUCAACGUGUUUAUCCUACGUGUUAGUCGCGGUAAAAAGUCAGUUUUAAUCUUAAGGUGGCGAGUGAUCUCCUAUCAUUUAUCAUCCAGAUAAAAACUAUAUUUUUUAAUACUUAUAAAAGAAUAUAUACAAUAAUUUUGAUGUGUUGCACUUUAAUAAAUGGGUGUUCUUUUUUUAUUGUAAAUUUAUCGUGAACAAAAUAUGAAUAAAAUAAAUUUCUCUCUUUAAUUUUUUCCCCUACUUUCUACAAAUAAUAAUUUCACCAUUUCUCAUUCAUUCUUUUCACUCUAAGGAGAGAUAAUAUUAUCUCAUCAUUUUUUGUGUGAUAAUAUUAUCUUUCAUUAGAGUAAAAAUAAAUAAAUAAUAAGGGAUGAAAAUCUCUUUUGUAUAAAAUGAGUUAAAAGAAUUGAGAAAUUUAAAAAUAUAAAUUUUUAUUAUCUCUUUUUUUUCAUGAUGAAUUUACAAUUAAAAAAAACACACAUGUACACCACAAUUGUACAAUAUAAUUAUUUAAUGAGUCAGUUUCGUUAGCGUUUAUUUCACAUCAUACAACAUAUUAAUAUAUAUAGUCCUUACCAAGUAGCUGGCAUAUUAUCUGAUGAUUAAAUCAAUAAUAUAUAUAUAGGGGAUGGCUAUAAUAAAAACACAUUUUUUGUAUAAAUUAUAAACAAAUUUAAUUAUAUAUAUACUAUAUAUAUAUAUAUAUAUUAGUUUAUUCAUAAAAUAAAAUAUCAAACAAAUUCAUUUUGAUAACUAAAUUGUUAUAUACUCCCUCCGUACAUGAAAGAACUUCCUAGGAGGGAGUGGCACGAAUUUUAAGAAAAAAAAUUGUUGAGUGUAUUGAGAGUAAAGAAAAAGUUGUUGAGUGUAUUGAGAAUGGUGAAAAAGUGNUGGCUGGACGUCUUUGCUUGAUUAAUUCGGUGAUCAGCAGCUCUCUCACUCAUUCGAUGAUGUUGUAUAGAUGGCCUAGAAUGUUGUUGAAAGACUUAGAUGCUAAAUGCAGGAAUUUUCUCUGGAAUGGGGACAUCCGGAAAAAACCUACCAGUUCGGUUAGCUGGAGCAGAGUUUGUGCCUCUAAAAAUGAGGGAGGUCUUGGAAUUCGUUCUUUUGUCACUAUGAACAAGUGCUUUCUCAUGAAAAUGGCUUGGAGGGUAUUGAAGGUGAGAGCUUUGGCUAUGAUAUUAUGCGUCACCGUUAUUUAACUUCUUGUGGUAAGGUGAGGAAAAUAGCUUCCUUUUUUUUUUUUUUAUUUAUUUAUUUUUUGAUCGGGCAAAGUCAUGUUAGAUGUUAGUAGUUAGUUCCCCAUCCACUCCAAGAACCACCUUAUCUCUCCAUUCACCAAAAUCCACCUUAUAUCUCCCCAAUCUCCAAUUCGCUCCCAAGAGGGAUCGAACCCGGGUCACUUCACUUAAGUGAGGACCCGGUGGCCAGUGGGCUAAGCCCCCUGGUUGAUAUGUUACAAUAUUUAUUGAAGGGAUUUGAUUAAUAUGUUACAAUAUUUUAAAACACGUUGCUUUAAACAAAAAUAAGAAAUCCUAGUAGCUUUUGUUUGGAUGUGAUGAAAACAACGUACACAAGCUGAAAUUUGUAAUACUAAUUAGGCUGUCUAAUUGGUUAUCGGGUUUUGGAUAAUCCGUUAAUCGAAUCGAAAUUUUCGGGUUUGGAUAUCCAAUAACCGAAUUUUUUAAUUAUCGAUUCGAUUUCGGGUAUCAUUUUUAAAAAGAAUUCGGGUAUCGGUUAACCCAAUUGAUGAGGAGUAAUAUGUGCAGAGCAGAUGAAUGAUAUAAACCCGAGGAGUUGGCUUUAUCAGAGAAACGGGCCUCACCAGCGGAAUGGAUACAUCACAGAAAUGGACUAUACCAGAGGAACCACCUUUGCCAAAGGACUUCACCAGAGAAACGGGCUCUCGCAGAGAAAUCAGAGGAACGACCUACACCUGAGAAGCCGCUCUCGCCAGGGGAACGGUCUUCGCCAGAGGAAUCACCAGAAAUGCGGGAAAAUCUCUCGCGUGAGGGCAAUUUUACUAUGAUGGCCUUGACCACGCAAGGCGCAUGCUCCAGCGAUGAAUGUACCAUUUUACCCUUUACGUGUAAUCUAUAAAUAGUUGCUUACGUGCUCCUUGUAAUUUUACGUUAUCUUCACUNUAUAUAUAUAUAUAUAUAUAUAUAUAUAUAUAUGACCAUUUAAAGUCAGCCCAAGGUUUUUAAAUAAAUAAGGGCCCACUAAAUUUAAUUUUUGCUCUGAGUUUUUAUUCUUCGAAGCCUUAUUGCCCUUUUCUCCCCACCCUCGGCUCUGUCUCUCUCCCUCUCUCAAUUCACGCCGCCCGCCCUCCCUCUCUCAGAAAUCACGCCCGCCCUCCCUCUCUCCCUCUCUCAAUUCACGCCGCCGGCUCCCCGAGAAGCAGCAAACGCAGAGAACCCACGGCCGCAGCAGCUGGAACCAGCCACCGCAGCAGCUGGACCUAGCCUCCCUGAAACGCCGCCGUCGUUUGAAACGCCGCCCCUACCGCCGCCGCCCUCUGAAAUCCGACCACCGCAGCGGCAUAUUGAAGCCAACCACCGGAAACCACCGGAUUCGCGAGGUUGGCGCACCCGAUUCGCGAAUCUGAGUUUUUUUUUUUUUUGAUUUUUGGGGGAUUCGCCAGGUGGCGAAUCCCGUGCGAAUCCCACGCGAAUCGCGCCCGCACCCGCCCCCCGCGCGAAUCGGAUACUGCACGGUGUUGAUUUCCGGCGAAUCCGUGCAUUAUAGAGUAUGGGUAACCGAACCCGAACCGAUCGACAGGCCUAAUACUAAUAAUAAAUCUACGAAAUCAAAAUAACAUUGGGAAGUAAUAUACCUUCUUGGGUUGAUGGUAGAGUAUUGUAUUAGUGAUGAUAGGUUUCUUUUUUCUUUUUCACCAUUGCGAUACUCCGAAUGUGUAAUUAGUCGGAGAGUCUCGUAUGAAUUUAUGAGAUGAUCUUAUACAUGAUAAAAUAUAGGGAGGAAUUCUAUUCUACCCAUAUUUUUCAAAGUUAAUUUAGAUUUUACCCACUUUUUGUAAUUGAUUCACUCCUUGACUAUUUUAUUAUUUUAAUAUAUCUUUGGUUCUUGAUAGAUGUGAAUCCAAUCAUUUUCGUACACCAAUAAUUGAGAGUGUAUAAAAAUUUAGUUUUUUCACUGUUGAGUAUAAUUGUCAAGGGUGUGUUUGCGCAUUGUUGGCCUAUUAUGCGCAGUUGUAUUGCACAUUUAAUCCCCCCUUUGCGCUAAUUUUUCCGCCUUUUUAUUUGGGUUUACAUUAUGCGCAUUUUGCGCAUUAAAGAAUAUAAUUAAAAAUUAAAAUCAAUUCUUAUUUAAUUGAAUUGCACAUAACAUCUAUGCCCAAACUUAUUUUGCACAAACAAAGAUUAAAUUGUGUAUACAAUCUAUGCUAAAUAUAAGUUUGCGCAUAGAUUAGUAUACUAUGCGCAAACUGUGCAUAGAUUGUAUGCGCAAUUUAAUCAUAAUCCCUGAUUGUAUGCGUAUAGUAUACUCUUCUGUGUGCAAACUUAUAUAAGUCCUAUUCCAAAUCUAUAUCUAACUAAAUCUAUGCGCAAUUCAAUCUAUGCGCAUUUAAAUCUACACUGCGCAAUUGGUAUAAGUUUGAGCAUAAAAUUAAAGAAUAAAAUCUAUGCGCAAAAAUAAAUAAAAGAAUAAAAUUAAAUAAUAAGAUUACAAUCUAUGUAAAAUAAAAUCAAAGAAUCAAAUUAAAGAAUAUAUUGCGCAUAGAUUUCUAUAUCAUUGCGCAGCCAAUUAAAAAGUGUGCAUAGAUAACAUUUGUUAUUCACACUUCCACUUUAAUUUGCGCAAACAAAUUAGCAAAAAGUUCUGCAACAUGCAUGCGCACAGUUCGAUACCUUUUAUUAUUUUUAAAAUGAAAUGGUCAUGGAGUGAAUCAAUUUGAAAAAGUGGGUAAAAUCAAAAUUAAAUUUGAAAUAAUUGGGUACUUUUAUAUAUUCCCCUAAAAUAUACUCCCUCCGUCCCACUAAAGUUGGCUACAUUCGUUUCGGCACGGGAAUUAAGGAGUUGUAGAUUAAUAUUUUAAGUGUGUAGUUAAUAAAGUAUAAAAGUAAUAAAGUAAGAAAUAGAAGGUGAUAAAGUGAGAGAGAGAAGGUAAUAAAGUGAUAAAGUAGGAGAGAGGAUGUGAUAAAGUAGGAGAUAGAAUGUGAUAAAUAUUUCCAUUUUAGGAAAGUGGCCAACUUUAGUGGGACACCCAAAAUGGAAAUGUAACCAACUUUAGUGGGACGGAGGGAGUAGAUAAAGAUUUAGGAUAAAGUGCAAUCAAACAUAAACAAAAAUUUAAAAUAUAAAUGAAUUAAAUUUGGAAGGAUUAUUGGCUCCUAAAUACACGAACUUUGUGCUCGUUUUAAUUUUUUCCACCAACUUUAAUAGUUGUAAAAAAACUCAUUUUGCUUUUUUUCACGAGCUUUGAGAAUUGUCAAAAAAAUACACAAAUUUUAGCUUAUUUUGUUUUUUCCCACGAAAUAUAUUGUUAUAAAAAAGUAUCCAAAUAAUUCUUUUUUUUCUUCUUCAAAACGACGUCGUUUAAGUUACGAAAUAUAUUUUAAAAUUUUAAAAAAAAAUCAUGCAACCAUGAAUAAUUGUCAUCUAUCAUUAAUUAAGUUAAUUAAGAUAGCUAGUUAAUUAUAAAAGAAUUACUUAGAUCAUUUUCUCAUAACAAUAUAUUUCGUGGGAAAAAAUAAAAUGAGCCAAAAUUUGUGUUUUUUUUUGUACAAUUCUUAAAGUUUAUGGGAACAAAUAAAAUUAGUAAAAACUCAUGCAUGUAUUUUUUGAUAAUUUUCAAAAUUUUAUAAAAAAAAAUCAAAAUAAACUCAAAGUUCAUGUAUUUAAGCGUCAAUAACCCCGUUUAAAUUCUAAUAUUAAUUCAUCUUACCAAUUUUGAUCUCGGAGGCGGUCACACCUAAAUUGUUAAAACAUUGGUCCAAUUUCAGGCUAGAUUGGGCCAUAAUAUUUUAUUAGCCCAUCGUGAUUUUGAGGUGGGUUGAUCCAAAUUGAAGGCUCGGACUGGCAUGUCCAAUCUACCGAGUCGCCGACAAUCACUAAAUUCCACUUUUCUAGUCUAGUCAAGCUAUUUUACUCUUUCCAUCCACAAAAAAUAGUCUCCUUUUAUUAUUUUGGGAUGUUCAUAAAAAUUAAUUUUUUCUAUUUUUAAAUACUAUCUAUCACAUAAUGAACUUUAUUAUCCACUCACAAUACAAUUAAUUAUCAUUAUACUUUUUAAAUAGAAAUUUUCUCUAUUCACAAUGCAAUAAACAUAUUUAUUAAAAUUCGUGCCGACUCUUAUUAGAACUAUUUUUUGUGAACAAGGGUAAUAUUUUAGAUCUUCCAGAUUUUUUAGUUGUCACUUGAUCCGUUCCAAUAAAAUGCAAAUUACAUUAAAAUAGGUUAAUUACCAAUUUUGUAGUUGUAUUGCAAAUUGACAAAAUUACCCAAUAUUCAUAUUAGAGUCAGAGGAUUUUUUAGGACAAUAGCUUAGGUUGAUUUGGAAAUUAGGACAAUAACUUUUAGACUUUUUAAAAUAGGACACUAAUUAAUAAUUGUUGCAUCAGCAGGACAUUUAUGGGUCAAUUAUUGAAUUUUGAGACUUUUUUUGCACGGACCAAACACAUGACAACCUACACGGAGGGGUUGAUUAUGUGGCAAACACGUCAUUUUUACGGCUCCAAAUAAAAUGUCGUGUGCUUGGUCCAUGCGGAAAAGUCCGAAAAUUCGAUAAUUGACCGAGAAAUGUCCUGCGAGUGCAACACUUAUUAAUUAGUGUCCUAUUUUUACAAAUUCAAAAUUUAUUGUCCUAAUUUUCAAAUCAACUUAAGUUACUGUCCUAAAAAACCCUUAAACUCAUUCAUAUUAUGUAAAAAAUUAGAACUUGUUUCGACUACUUUUGAAUUCAUCUUCAAAUAUUACCAUAGUCCCUUUUGAGCGAAAUAAAGUGGGGCAAAUUGGGAAAAUAAUAUAUUACUCUUUUCUUCAAUUAUUAUUUUGAGAUUUAUACUCUUAUGCUGAACAAGAAAUAGAAGUAAAAUCUUUGACAAGUAGGAAUGACAGUGGAUCCUAAACCCAGUUAUAAAUCUCGGCCUUGCAAAAAUUUGACCCAAUAAAUUUAAACUAUUGCUAUAAUUUUUGGAUUUGGAUAUGAAGUAGGAGUUUUGAGAUCUAGACCAUAUCCACAUUCGACCACAGAUCCAAUUAUAUAAAAUAUAUAUAUUUUUUUAUUUUAAUGAAAUCACACCCUAAAGAUUUAUGACUAAUUUAUAUUUUAUACAUCUUAUAGAUGUACUCAUACCCUAAAUUUUAUUAAAGGUAAUACUUUAAUUUUAGAGUGGAUUUUUAAAAUGGCCACUUUCAUAUUGUAAAUAUAAAAAAUGUCCACUAAAAUAAAAACUUAAAAAUGUCCACUGUUACCAAAUACCCUUCACAUUAAAAUUAAAAUAUCCACUUUACAUCACCCCUUUAAAAUCCCGUAAUUCACAAUCAGUGUGAAUUCACAACCAAAAUUUUUUGGUUGUGAAUUCACACUGGUUGUGAAUUCUCAAUUCACAACCAGUCGAAUUCACAACCAUAAUUUUUUAUUUGUGAAUUCACAACCAAAAUUUAAUUCACAACCAGUCGAAUUCACAACCAAAAUUUAAUUCACAACUAGAAUUUUUUGGUUGUGAAUUCACAACAAACGAAUUCACAACCAGAUUUAUGUUGGUUGUGAAUUCACAAUCAGUCGAAUUCAUAACCUGAAUUUAAUUCACAACUAGAAUUUAUUUUGGUUGUGAAUUCAAAUAGUUGUGAAUUUGAGUUUAUAAAGUUUGGAUUCACAACUAAAACUAGAAUUUAGUUUGGUUGUGAAUUCAUAGAUCUCGUUGUGAAUUCAUCGAGUUGGUUGUGAAUUCAAGAACAUUAAGUUGUGAAUUCAUAGAUCUGAGCGUGAAUUCAAGAAUAUUAUGUUGUGAAUUCAUAAAUUUGAUUGUGAAUUCAAGAACAUUAAUCAAUUAUCCAAAAUAUGUUUCUCUUUCAAUCGAUCAAAUCUCUUUAAUAAAAUCCACAAAUCAUCACUAAAAAAAUAUUAUUCAUUUUAUUUCUUACAAUAACUAAAAAUUCUCAUUUCAACCAAGCACAUGUAAUAUAAAUUUCCAAUCACCAACACAGAAAAAAAAAAAUUGAAUCUCUGUUGCUGCCAUGGAUUCAUCGAGUGGAAUAUCGUCGAAUUCAUCGGGGCUACUGUAAUGCUUCAUCCAUCUACCCUCUCUUUCCUUCUGCCAUGGAUCAAGGGAACCAAGAGAGUUGUACUCCGAUUUCUCAACGGAGUUUGAGUUAUACCAAUUUAGUGAGGAAUUAGCAUUUUCUUCAUCCUCAUCUGUUUCAAUGGCGGAAGCCUGCAUAACACUCUGCUGGAUUCCCAUUCCCAAACGGAUUUCUACAUAAGAAAUACACUGAAAACAAUGAGAACACGAUUUAUCUUUCUCACUCUAGUAGAUUCCGAUUCUAAUAAAAUUGCACAUAUUAACCCUGAGUUCAAGAAUAUGCAGGCCCUAAAAUCUGGAAACACUAAAUUAUAACUCAACAGUUCAAAAAUUGGAUGAAAAUCUCAAAAAGAUGGAUCUGCAGCAGACGAUGGAUUUGAGGAAGAGGAAGUGGAUUUGUGACGUCCUCGAUGCCGAUUNNNNNNNNNNNNNNNNNNNNNNNNNNNNNNNNNNNNNNNNNNNNNNNNNNNNNNNNNNNNNNNNNNNNNNNNNNNNNNNNNNNNNNNNNNNNNNNNNNNNNNNNNNNNNNNNNNNNNNNNNNNNNNNNNNNNNNNNNNNNNNNNNNNNNNNNNNNNNNNNNNNNNNNNNNNNNNNNNNNNNNNNNNNNNNNNNNNNNNNNNNNNNNNNNNNNNNNNNNNNNNNNNNNNNNNNNNNNNNNNNNNNNNNNNNNNNNNNNNNNNNNNNNNNNNNNNNNNNNNNNNNNNNNNNNNNNNNNNNNNNNNNNNNNNNNNNNNNNNNNNNNNNNNNNNNNNNNNNNNNNNNNNNNNNNNNNNNNNNNNNNNNNNNNNNNNNNNNNNNNNNNNNNNNNNNNNNNNNNNNNNNNNNNNNNNNNNNNNNNNNNNNNNNNNNNNNNNNNNNNNNNNNNNNNNNNNNNNNNNNNNNNNNNNNNNNNNNNNNNNNNNNNNNNNNNNNNNNNNNNNNNNNNNNNNNNNNNNNNNNNNNNNNNNNNNNNNNNNNNNNNNNNNNNNNNNNNNNNNNNNNNNNNNNNNNNNNNNNNNNNNNNNNNNNNNNNNNNNNNNNNNNNNNNNNNNNNNNNNNNNNNNNNNNNNNNNNNNNNNNNNNNNNNNNNNNNNNNNNNNNNNNNNNNNNNNNNNNNNNNNNNNNNNNNNNNNNNNNNNNNNNNNNNNNNNNNNNNNNNNNNNNNNNNNNNNNNNNNNNNNNNNNNNNNNNNNNNNNNNNNNNNNNNNNNNNNNNNNNNNNNNNNNNNNNNNNNNNNNNNNNNNNNNNNNNNNNNNNNNNNNNNNNNNNNNNNNNNNNNNNNNNNNNNNNNNNNNNNNNNNNNNNNNNNNNNNNNNNNNNNNNNNNNNNNNNNNNNNNNNNNNNNNNNNNNNNNNNNNNNNNNNNNNNNNNNNNNNNNNNNNNNNNNNNNNNNNNNNNNNNNNNNNNNNNNNNNNNNNNNNNNNNNNNNNNNNNNNNNNNNNNNNNNNNNNNNNNNNNNNNNNNNNNNNNNNNNNNNNNNNNNNNNNNNNNNNNNNNNNNNNNNNNNNNNNNNNNNNNNNNNNNNNNNNNNNNNNNNNNNNNNNNNNNNNNNNNNNNNNNNNNNNNNNNNNNNNNNNNNNNNNNNNNNNNNNNNNNNNNNNNNNNNNNNNNNNNNNNNNNNNNNNNNNNNNNNNNNNNNNNNNNNNNNNNNNNNNNNNNNNNNNNNNNNNNNNNNNNNNNNNNNNNNNNNNNNNNNNNNNNNNNNNNNNNNNNNNNNNNNNNNNNNNNNNNNNNNNNNNNNNNNNNNNNNNNNNNNNNNNNNNNNNNNNNNNNNNNNNNNNNNNNNNNNNNNNNNNNNNNNNNNNNNNNNNNNNNNNNNNNNNNNNNNNNNNNNNNNNNNNNNNNNNNNNNNNNNNNNNNNNNNNNNNNNNNNNNNNNNNNNNNNNNNNNNNNNNNNNNNNNNNNNNNNNNNNNNNNNNNNNNNNNNNNNNNNNNNNNNNNNNNNNNNNNNNNNNNNNNNNNNNNNNNNNNNNNNNNNNNNNNNNNNNNNNNNNNNNNNNNNNNNNNNNNNNNNNNNNNNNNNNNNNNNNNNNNNNNNNNNNNNNNNNNNNNNNNNNNNNNNNNNNNNNNNNNNNNNNNNNNNNNNNNNNNNNNNNNNNNNNNNNNNNNNNNNNNNNNNNNNNNNNNNNNNNNNNNNNNNNNNNNNNNNNNNNNNNNNNNNNNNNNNNNNNNNNNNNNNNNNNNNNNNNNNNNNNNNNNNNNNNNNNNNNNNNNNNNNNNACUUCUUUAGAAUCUUGAAGAUAUCGAAAAGUGCUAUAGCAUGGAAGAUGUCUUUGAACAAUUACAAAAAUUAAUUGUUUCGAUAUGUUGUUGAACUAUUAGUCUACUACUUAUAUAUAUGUUAUUUAGUUACUUGAUUAUUAUAUUUUAGUUUAUUUUAAAUUCUUAUAAUAUUUUUUAUGAAUUUUAGUGUAAUUAUUUGUUUUUGAAUGAUUUUAAAACUCUAGACAAUAAUUAUGAUUUUAUUUUAGUUUUUAAUUAAUUUAAACUUUAUUUUAAAAAAGAAAAAAGGAUCCAAGUCUGAUAGAUCUAGAUUUGAGUUUUAGUCCAAUAAAUCUAAACUGAAUUCGAACUUAAGUAAAAAAACUCUAAAUUUGGAUCUAAAUUAAGUGGGAUUCGGCUCAUUGCCAUCUCUAGUGACAAUUGGUAGAGUAUAUACAAGCAUAACUCAUGUCUCAUGCAAUUUAUCUGAAAUAAAUUGAAUAAAAAUAUGGAGUAAUUGGUUUUGAAUUUGCGGAAGAUAAAGGGAAUUAGAAUUGUUUGUUGAUUCUUGAGCAGAUUCUGUGAAGGGGAACACGAAAUAGAAUUACGAUGGUCACAGAAGCCAACGGCGCCGUUUCCCCCGAACUGUCAACCACCGCCGGCGGAGGCGGCCUUAUCAUAUCAGUUACAGAUGCGAUGCGCUCCUUCCUCACCACAUCUUCCACCGAUCCACAUCUAUCGGAGGAUCUCAGACACCUUUCUUCCUCGCUUAGCCUCCAGUCCACCGCACCCUAUCAUUCCCUAAAAACGAUCUGGUUCGGAUCCGAAUCCGGUUCCAGACCCGAUUUAUCCUCUCUCCUCGCCGGCUCUAAUUUCGUCUUCACCAGCCCCCCGCCUCGCCAAAAGGUAGAUUCAUCUGUUCUAUGAUUAGAAUGUCUAAUUCCAAUGUGUUUUUGUGUGUGUUUGAGUUUUGGUGGUUGUUUUGAUAGAGCGAGGAGCUGAAGGCGAGAUUGAGAAAGCUGGAGGAAGCUGCUGAGAGGAAGGCGUACGAUGAAUUGGUGAAGGACAUUACUCCGAAGAAGCCUGUGAAUGAGCCUUUUUCUUCUUACAAGGAUCAAUUAGGCUUCGGUAAUCCGUUUGUUUCUUUUUCUUUGUUUAUUUUACUUACAUUAUCAAGUGUUCAAUUCAAAACUGCUGAGCUAGAUACAAGGUGUUUGAUCAGUCGCGUCUAAAGUUAGAAAGAAUAGGUAUGAAAAUAAUUAGAGAUGAUGAUGAGAGCUCCAUGAAAUGAUUUAGGAUGUCUUACUUUUCAGUUUGAGUUUUGUUAAUUCGUGUUGUUGCAACUGAUAAUGUCUAUGCAGUCCCUUCAAACAGUACCCAAUUAUGUAAUCAUCCUGACAAAUUCGAACAAAUAUAGUGAUUUUAACACAUAUUGUUUUGUCUUCAUAUUCUGUGAAUUGUUGUCUAUAUGUAGGCAAAACCAUAUUUGUGUUUCUCUGCACCUAUUAUGCUUAAUAAAACACUUUGUUUCUUUGCAUUUGCCCACGAUUUUACCCAUAANNNNNNNNNNNNNNNNNNNNNNNNNNNNNNNNUUAUUUGAUUUCUCGGCAUGUCCUCUGACUUUAUUAGUAAAGAAAAGAGAAACAACACUUUUGCCUGAUUGUCUUUCUAAAUUUUAAAGUUAUGAUCAUGGCAAUUAUCCGUAUCUUGCCUUUUCUUAUGUGUGAACUUGACUAAAUCAUACCCGUUCAUAAUCAUGAAGUUCAACCCUUCUCUCCUUGCCUCUAAAGAUUCAAUGUGGAUUUUGAAACCGUGAUAUUCUUGCAGUUUAGCUAUUAAUUAUGCUGUAUCAUGACGACCUUACAGGAUUACACGUUGUGGUUACAAUGUUUACUGGAUACUUGGUUGGGUAUGCAGCAUUCCGAGCCCUGUUUGGCCAAAGUGCUCCCUUGGUAGGUUUUGUUCUGCACUUUCUUUAUUCUUCAGUUGAAUCUAGUUUACAUGUAUUCUAUGCCAUAUACAUACUAUUCUUGAUGGCAAAUGAUGUCGCGUUUCUUUACCUUAUAGAGUGCUGCUGGAGGCAUCCUUGGUUUGGUCGGGGCCAUGCUAGUCGAGACGCUUCUGUUUAUACUCAGAUCCUCUGACUUAGGUGGUGAAUCAUCCUCAUCUUCUGCCUCCCGCCCUUCCAAUUUGAAGAUAAAGAAGAAUCAGUAGGUUUGAAUUAAGAUAUAUUCUUUUACUCAGUUUAUUUACAUGAUAGAAUGUGUUUUUUUUUUUGAAAGAUUGUGGUCUAGGUAAAUAGUUUAAAAUGCAGCUUACUUGAUGUAGAUUUUUAUAGAGUUAUUUGUAAGUGAAAUGCAAGGCUGGUUACUGAGUGAUGUUUAUUCAAAAUUUAUUUGUACAGUUACAUGAUUUUGUUGGAGAAAGAAAAAAGGAUAAAAAUAGUGUUUAAAUAUAUCAAAUAGAUAUCAUAUUUUGUAAUCAUCUCUUUUAGGUUUAAAUCCUUGAAUCGUCUUUCUCACUCCUUCUCAUUUUUGUUUUCCUUCUUUUAUGAACUCCGCUUCUUCGAAAAAUUAUAAAAUGAAACGGCCAAAACUAAGAAUUUUGUUUAUAGCAAUAUUAGUAAAACAAUGACAGAUUAUUUUUCAAUCACAACUAUUAUAAAAUGACGACGCUUCUAUGAUUCCACAUAAUAUCAAUUUAUAUCAAGUUGUCGAUCUAUUUUGUUUUAGUCAUUCGAGCCGAAUAUUUUCCUCCAUUAUCUUUUUUUUUGUCUAAACUAUUAGAUCACCCAUAAUAGACCGGUGUGAUUGUAGUCAUGCACACAAUAUAAAAUAAAAGAAGGCGCAAUACUGCAUUGCUUCUGUACAGCAAAAGCCAACAGGAAAUCCAUUUGAAAAAAGUGUCACAUUACUCUUAAUAUUAACAUCACCUACAGCUAAUGUGACAUACUAAUAAUUUACAUAAAAANUGUGAUCAAUGUACAAUGAGAUCAACAUCUGAAGUAAAAAUUCAAAAUUGCAUUUUCCCUCCACAUCAACAUCACAUUCAACGGUCCAAGGCCACGGACGCAGUCCUCUCGACGUUCUUGAGCAGGAUGGCGUAGAUCUUAUCCCUCGCCCUCACAUAAGCUUCUGCUUCGUCUCCCUCCCCAUCGCCUUCUCUUUUCACACUGGAGUUGAGCCAAUCACUCACCAUUUUCACCUUGUACAUCAUCCCGGCCAUCUGCUGAUCACCACACCCCACCAACGAGCUCCUCCUCUCCACCUGCUCCAGAUACCUGUCCACAUACAUCAGCAGCACCUUCUUGCACUCAUCCUGCAACGACGCUGCCAGCUCAGCAGCGGUGCAGAGGCCGCUUCCCCUGCCGCACUCCUCCUCAUCUUCCUUGUCAAACCCUAAUGCAAGAGGGAUCUCAACAUCUGUUAGAUCACAACUCUUGUUUCUUGUCAUGAUGCACCCGCAUUUAUGUCUCGCUUUCAUGGGAUCCGGGGGUGUAGUCAGGGGAGACAGGCAUGGGGAGAGGUCAAGAAAUGGCGGAUUUUAUCCAUGCGUUGGCAUUUUUCUUUCUUUCCAACGCAAUGCUCUCCGUUUCUUGGUUUCUAAAUGGGCUUGCGCUUGGAAUUAGCAGCGAUUGCAUUAUCAAUCUACUCUGAGCUAGAUCAUGCUCAAGAUUCAGAAACUUGUCCACGAAUGGCUGCAGAUCAUCUCCUUCUGCUAUAGGGAACUGCGACAUUGUGCUACACCACAAAAAAAUCAUCACCUAUUUUAGUCUCAAACAGGAUUUGCUUGUAUACUAGUCUCAAACAAGCUUUUCAUCACCUCAAGGAGUUGAGCAAUCUCUCAGAAACACAAGCCUCUUGCAGAGCAUCAGCGGCGGCCUGCAACGCUACAUCGCGCUGCCUGAUCACCUCCUGCGCUUCACCAAACAUCGUUCUGUUUAUCAAUGAAGAAACUAAUAAUCUGUGUUAAUGGCAUGGCUUACCUUGCCGUGAUUGACCAAAUUUGAUGGAAGAGACGUCCAUGAUAUUCUAGCUUCUGCCCUUUCCGAUCGCAGAUCACAUUGCACAACGAAUGCAGCGAGGCAUUACCUCUUUUACCCAAACCACCACCACCAGCAGCUCUGCUUCUCGACACACAGCUCGAGCUAUCGUCGGAGCUGUCAUACCUAGCCGGCGAAGCCUGCAUUUUCCACGCAAUUACAUGUACCAACCUCACCAAAAAUCGAUCAAUUACAAGAUGGAAAUCAAUCAAAAACUGACACUCGCACUGGCGCUUUUUCGAGAGGGCAAUUUCAUCUCAUGCUUAGCAACCGACGAAUCGAAGAUCUCCUUCACCCCCAAUAUUUCCGAUUCACUCCAGCUCCGCCUCUUCGGCACGCGCUUCGGCAUCGUCGCGUCGCUAUCGCCGCCGUUUUUUGCCUUGACGGGGCUCGAGGAGCGUGACCUAGCCGCUCUCACACCCCCAUCGCUUUUUCUGCGAGAAGACUCGGAAGCGCGGCCGCGCCUUCCGAGGACCGGCGGCGGCGGCGAGGCGAUGUCCUGCGGCGUGCCCUCGCAGGGGCGGCGGCCGGGGAUGGGGGCGAGGCCGCGCAGGAGGGGGAGGGGGUCGGCGGGGUCCAAUUUGUUGACGUAGAUGAAUUGGCCGAGCUGGAGGUUGUUGGCGAGGAUCAUGUCAUUCUGCUGCUUGGAGAGGGAGACGUACAAUGCAUGGGAAGCAUCGGAGACUUUGAGGAAGAAGCCGCGGCUGGGCCAGAGAUCGCCUUCUUCGAGGACGGGGAUGAUGCUCCUGAUUUGCAACAACACAGGCUUUGAGAUUGCACAGCUCUCCAUUGGAUCGCCCUUGUUCCUUUUCAUCUCUUCCACCAGCUUCAACAGAACCCCCUCUUUUAAACUAACCAUUUUUUCUCAACUUUCUUCCUUCAAAUCCAAUUUCCCUUCUGAAUUACAAAAUUGUUCUUGCUCAAAUGAUUUCAUAUCAUUAUCAUCGUUGAAUCAUCAACCCAGAACAAAAAUCUUUAUUCAAUUAGGCUUUAAAAUGUUAAUUAUACUCGGAAGAAAAUUAGAUUUGUCUCCAACAAAUUUUAUCGCAUAAUAAGAAGACAACCAGAUAUAAAAUUGGUUUCUCGUGAAGAUAUACGCAGCAAAUAAUUAGACAUGGGACAAAUCCGAAUGUCCAGUUCAGAAUUGAGGUCUGGUGUAAUUUCUUAAUUAAUUUUUUUAACUAAACAUUUUUUAAAAAAAAAUCUGUGUUGUUGGGGAAAAUAAACAUUAAAAAACAAUCGAGUUGGAUUGAAGUAAAACAUGCAUUGGCAUAUUUAGAUUUAGUGCUCGUUUGGUUCAAAUAGAUAAAUGGAAAUAGAAUGGAAGUGGAAUGGUAACAAUAACUAUUACUUUUAUUAAGUGUUUGAUUUAACAAUGAAAAGAAAUUAUUAGUAAGAGAUUCCUUUUCUUUUGUUUCCCCUCUAUUUUAACAAUAACUAUUAUUUUAAACCACAGUCACACCGUCACCAACUCUAUUUGAAUCUAUUCAAAUCCAUCUUCUAUGAUAGUUCUCAAUUAGUGCGUUCCAACUGGUUUCUAAACUUCUCAUUUUUUUAAUUUAAUUAUCAAAUUUCCGAUGUUGUAGAGUUUCUCUGUAGUUUCAUGAAGAUGGAAAAUCCACUUUUGAUACAUCCUGUGGGAAUGUUUUCUGGUCUCGCUUCUCAAAUCUAUUAGUACUUCAUAUUUAUUAUUACUAGCAAAAUGAUACUACUAUAUAUAAUGACAAAAUACUUUAAUAGUGACAUUACUUUUUAAUAAUUGUGAAACAUAUAAGUAUUAUUAUCAAUCAAAAUUGUAAAUAUUUUAUGAUGGAUAGCUAUAUAUCAAAAAAAUAAAACAAAAUUUAAUGAAAUCCGAUGAUGUACUAAUUUUUGUAAGUAAUAAAUUUUACAUAUAUAUAUAUCAUAUAUACUGUAUUACUUUAUCGUCCUUCCAUUAAAUAGAUAUAUGUAUGUAACUCUAAAUUUGUUACAAUACAUAUAAUUUUGCUUUUACAAUGUUUUUUUACUCGUCCGUCCUUAAAUAAUGUUCCCUCUAUCUCAUCACAUUUGGCUUAAGUUCUUUUUGACACAGUUAUUUAGUAGAACAAAAUUAUAAUAUAAAUGUAUGUGAACCAUAUUUAUUGUUGUAAAAAUUAAUUAUUCAAAAAGAAAACAUGUGAAAAUUGAUUACCAAAAAUAGAAACAGAACAUGUCAAGUUAAGUGGGGACAGAAAAAUAACAAACAUUAGUACUCUUCUUUAGGAAAUACUUAGUGUUUUAUCAAUAAUUUACAAAAACUAUAUUCAGUUAUUCAAAUGAACCUUCACCUUAAUGAAUUACUACAAUGAUAGAAUAAAGGAACUGUGAAAAGUAACUAACGAUUAGUAAAUUACUUUACGAUACUCGAGAUAUAAGAAAUAUCCUCCAAAACAUCAAUUAUUUAGCAACCGUGAAGUAUAAAUUAAGAACAUGAAGACGUAAAUUUCUAUCAUGAUAAAUAAAAUGAAAAUUAGAGCGAUUAUAUAUAUGAUGGCCAAUGACUCAAAGUCAGCUGCAAGCCAGUAAACUGAAACAGAAGAAUUUGGUCUACAUUCGACCUAUAAGACGAAAGAAGACAGAAAUUUAGCCGCCAGAUUCUGUUGGUUUGCGACUGAUAAAUAAAAAUCGCAGCCAGUCAAAAUUACAACGCGUUAUAAAUUUUUAAAUCACAGUUGGGAAAAUAAUGAUUUAAAAAAUAAUCGAAUUUUAUGUAGGACCAGUAUUUCUUUUUUAUUUUCUUCCGAACAAACAAUAUUAAUAUCCGAGUUAUAUUCAACAAAAACGUCACGCUUUUUUAAUGAGCAAGUAAAAAAGUUUAAAAGCCUUAAGCUUUGGUCAACUUUCGCAAGCUUGCACAUGUUUCUUCAGACUAAGGAUAUGAAGGUCAUUAUGGAAAAUGCAGUGCCCUUAAAAGAUUCCAUCUCACUAUAUAAAUUGAAUUCAGGUGAGAGAUGAGCAUCACCGCAUCCAAAGCAUUUCUCGACUCCACACAGCAAAUCAGAAGCGGCGGAAAAUGGAAGGCCUGAUCCCGCUCCUCAUCCGCGCCAUGAAGAAACAAAGGCCUCAACACGCUUACCGCUGCCUCUCCGAGAACUCCACCGGCCGAAGCUACCAUCUUCUGCUCACCGAUGGCUCCUCCCACCGCCGGACGUGCUCCGAUUUCAAUCGGUCCGACGCCGAUUGCUUGACGGAUUGUGCUGCUAGAAACGCGGCGGUUGCUGAAAAUGGAUUGAAGCAAACGGGGUUUAGCGCCGCCGCGCAUUACGGUCAAGUCUCCGCCAGGACUUGAUCAGAUGAAGAGAAGCAGUUGCGGGUGGUUAUCGGAUUGUUGUUGUUUUUUAUCUUAUUCUUAUUUUUUUCUAAACUUAUUUUUGUGAAUCAAACAAAGUAUAAAAAUUAUAUUUAUUUAAUGUAAUCAUAUAUACUUAGUUUUUUAAAAAAAUGCAAUCAUAUAUACUCACAUACACUCACUUUUUUUUUCACUAAAAAAAGAGAGUUUAGAGUUUAGAAGACAAAUUUGUAAAUUAAUUCUUUAGUAAGUAAAAUGAUAAAUACUUAAUGAAAUUUUUAUGUUUUACUAUUUACAUAUUAUUAAAAUUUAUUUAAAUUUUCUUUUUUGAUUAAACUAUAGCUCAUUGCAUUUAAUAUUGUAUUAUGGACAUAUCGUUCUUCAUAAGAAAUGUACCUAUUUUUUAGUGAAGAAAGUUGCACUAAAGAUCACCAAUAAAUAUGUUUUGAUUGCAAUAUUUAAAAAAUCCUUAAAAGUCACAAUUUUUAAUAAAGAUUGUGCCAUUUGAGACUAUUAAAAAUUUAAAUUUGUCUAAAAGACAAAUAAAUAUCCCCCCAUUUCAAUAUUAAUUAAUGGUUUGUUCUUUUUGAGCACGAAUAGUUAAGAAAAUUAAAAAUUAUAAAUAAAAAGCACAAAGUUCACAUACUUCCAGAAUCGACAAAUCAUCUGUUUCUUAGGUGCCCCAAGAUAGAGGAAGUUUGGAACGAGCUCCAGAAGUGGCUGGGAGUGGAAAUGGUGCGUCCCCAAAGGGUUGAAAGUCACUUUGGUACGUUUUCUUGCUUCGGGAAAGAAAAAAAGAAUUACAAAGCUAUUGUCUGCUAUUUGGGUUUGUUGCGUUUGGAUUCUUUGGAAGAAAAGGAAUGAGAAACGGUUUGAACGUAUGGAAUGGGAGUCAAAGAACAUCGUCACGGAGAUCAAAAUUAGAACGUGGUGUUGGAAUAAGAUCUUCGGGAUAGUUGGAAAGGAGAUGGAUCUUUCUUGCUGGUGCUCUAAUGAGCUGAUCAAAACGAUUUUGUAAGAUCUUUUUGGGUACCUCUUCUAAUGAAAUGAAUUUUUUCUCGAUACAAAAAAAAAAAAAAAAGAAUUAGUGUAACCAAAAUGAGCCACACACGGCCAUAGGCAGCACUUGGAAUCUGAAGCUGAUGAGCAUUUCAUCGAUAGGGUGGAGUCUGAAGUCAGGAGGCAACCCUUGCUAAUAGUCUCACUCCGAUCCAGCUCACAUAAAUAAUAUCGAUAGUUGCAUUCUUAAUUUUUCAUCUACAUAUAGUAUUAUAUAUGUAAGAUUUCAACAACUUAGUCUUUAUAUAAUAUAGGAAGAUGAGAAAUAUAAAUAUGCAAAUAUAGAUAUUGUAAGAUGCAACAAAAAUUAUGUUACUGUGCAUUUACAAAAUUUGUAAAACUAUAUGAACAAAGUUUUAUUUUCAUUUGUUUGUUGUUUUAUAUACAUUUAUAUACAAAGUUUUGAAGUAUUAUUACGAUUAUCCGUAUAACCAACUUAGUUAUAUCGUUUGGCUUCAGGUACAAAUAACAUAAAUGCCCUACAUUUAGAUAUGGUCAUAUCCAAAUUUUCGAUACAAGAUCGUCACCUCUAACAAAAAGUGUCUUGUAUUAUUUAUUAUGGUUAUUUCAUUUUCACCAUUAAUGAAUCGAACUUUAUCCAACCUCAAAUAAUAUAAGAGAAAUGCUAUGAGGAUAUAAAUAAAUUAUAUAAUUAACUAUUUCUAAUUUAAAUUUAAAUAAUUAAGUUUGAUGAAUUUAUAAAAUUAUGACUAGCUGAAUCUCAUUGACUAAAAAGUCUAGGUCCGCUUCUAAUUGACUAGUUGAAAAUUGUUGUCUUAAUUACACGAUAUAGUAUUCAGAUAGAUUGUUCAAUUGAAUAGACAUGAUUCAAUAUUUAAAUUUGGGACAAUAUCAUAUAAAAUUAGUUUUACCUUAUGAGUCUUGGUCUCUCUCUCUCUCUCUUAUAACAAAAUUAAUACUUAAGUGAUCAUGAGCUAAUUUAAUCUCGAAUAAAUUUGAAUUGACCUUGUGAAAAAAUUAUUUCGAUAAUCAUGGACUAAUUCAAUUAUAUGUAAUUAUAAAUUAAUUCGAUCUAAAAUAAUCUCAAUAACCGGAUGAGUGUGUUUGUAAGUAGAUUCAUUCAAAAGUUGAUAUUUUUCCCGUCUCUUAACCCUAGAAAAAAUAAAGUUGAAUGACAGUAGGGGUUGCAAAUAACAAUGGACAAAGUUCAAUACCCUUCAAACUUUUAACCAACUCUCGCCGAUGGCGUACAAAUCGGUGUUCGACGUUUCCGCCAUUAAAUCCGAUUUCGAGGUAGCCGGUUUAAACCCUAAUUUCAUUCCCCAAAUCUGGAAACACGUCUUGAAAAAUCCUAAUUGCCGAUGGGAUGAAAUCCCUUCUCUGCCCUCCGCGGCUUACCAUCUCCUCGAUUCCAAGUUCAGACCCUCCACUUCCACUCUCCAUUCCGCCAUAGAUUCUUCCGACCAGGUCACCACUAAGCUCCUCAUCAAAUUGCAGGUAUCUACCAUCAAUUUUGUUUAAUUUACUCUUUCUAUAACUCUUCUGCUUAUAUUCUGCCGGAGGUGUCUUGUAUUGUAUAUUUCGAUGUGCAGAAUGUUGGAAGCUUGCGUCUUUGCGCUGUUUGUUUAAAUAGUUGGUUUUUGAAAAAAAAUGUAAUUUCCUAACAUUCUAAUGCUUUAUUAGACAAUUGAGGUAAAAUCUACGGGUUUCCCUUAUAAAUGGAGCUGUAAAAAUCAGUGCAAGAAAUCAGUACUUGAAUAAAUACGAAUUUGAUAAGUCUAAAGAGACUUAAACUUUAGUGUUCUCAUAUGUGAAUGAAAUUUGUGUUAUGAAAGUAUGAUUGUGUCUGUCUACGCUAUGAUAGGCAGUGUUGGGACAAAUCUUGGGUGUUUUUGGGAUAUGUUUUUACGUGCAUAAACUGAGAAUGAAUGUACUGUAUUAUAAGAGGAAUCUACCUUGGCAUAGGUACAUAUUUGGUUGGUUAUAUUUUUUCUAGUGGAACAUAGUCUGUAUCUGAUCUGUGUUUGUUUACAAGACAUUUUGUUGGUUGGUUUAGAUGCAUGAAUGUCAUUUGGUUCCAUUUUUUGUUGCUAGAAUGGAGAAUUUGUGGAGGCUGUGAUAAUGAGAUAUGAUACUCGAUUGGGUAAAUAUGAUGGGAAACCUCGUCUUGGUGGUCCUAGGUCAACCUUGUGCGUAUCCUCCCAGGUAACUGUUGUGGAACGUGGAAUCACUAUCUUUUAAGUUCCCUUCUUGUGUUCACAACAUUUCAAUAUAGCAAUAAUUUUAAAAUGCUAUUGUUAUUGUAGGUUGGGUGCAAGAUGGGUUGCAAUUUUUGCGCAACAGGAAGCAUGGGAUUUAAGAAGAAUCUGUCAUCUGGAGAAAUUUUGGAACAGUUAGUCCAUGCGUCUCGUAUAUCAGCCAUCCGCAAUGUUGUCUUUAUGGUAUCAUAUAUCCUCUUUAAUAUAAUUAGCUCAAUAUAUUGUCAGUUAUGUUCUCGCUUGUCCUUCAAAAGUCAAGAAGAUCAUUUCAUUUGUAACAGCUGUGAUUGUUGUGUGGGCUUGAGUUUGAGUUGAUGGCAAUUUUCUUAUCAUUAUUUGUUGUGAGCAGGGAAUGGGAGAACCUCUAAAUAACUACACUGCGGUGGUGGAUGCUAUCAGAGCCAUGACAGCUCUUCCUUUCCAGCUGUCUCCCAAGAAAAUUACCCUCUCAACGGUGCAUGCUAUGCUAUUUAUUCUCAUGCUCAAUGUCUUUCCUGUUUAUCUUGUUUUGUACAUACCUAUUUCUGUAUCACUUGGUUAUUUAGCACUGGGUUAGUUCCGUGGAACUUCUGCUUAUAAUUGCACGGGAAGUGACUACUUGACUUGGUUGUUAGGGACCAUCUUUGACGCCAUUAGUCAUCUGCUUGAUUCUGAUAUGUUGCAAAAUUGUGCACAGGUUGGCAUAAUACAUGCUAUUAACAAGCUGCAGAGAGACAUACCAAACUUGAAUCUAGCAGUAUCGCUGCAUGCACCAGUACAAGAGAUCCGCUGUCAGAUAAUGCCUGCUGCAAGGGCUUUUCCUCUGGAAAGACUAAUGAAUGCAUUACGGGAAUAUCAAACUAGCAGGUUUGUUUAUCUGGUCAUUUUUUCCUUGGCUGCAUAUGCCAGAUGAUGAAUUUGCCAACCUCUCAUGACCACGUAACUCAUUCGGUUUUACUGUAGCCAGCAAAAGAUAUUGAUUGAGUACAUAAUGCUUGAUGCUGUGAAUGAUGAGGAGCAGCACGCUCACCAGCUUGGCAAAUUGCUUGAGACGUUGCAAUCGGUAACCUUCAAAGUUCUAGGUUGCUAUACUUGCUACAUUUAAGAGGCUCACCCUCAACUCUAAUGCCGUUGUCUGCUAUUUCAUACAGGUUGUAAACUUGAUUCCUUUUAAUCCCAUUGGUUCUCUAAGUUGUUAUAGUACCAGUGAUGAUCAGAAAGUCAUUAAAUUUCAGAAAAUACUUAGAGGCACUUACAACAUCCGUACAACAAUUCGUAAGCAAAUGGGCCAAGACAUAAGUGGCGCAUGCGGUCAGCUUGUAAUCAAACUGCCAGAUAAGAAGACCUCUUGUAGUUCAGAUAUCUUGACAGACAUUGAAGAUCUUCGUAUUUGAUUUUCCAGGAUAGAUCAUUUGAUGAAGCAUCACUCGAUUUAGAAAUUGUUCUGGUGGCCUUCGUCCAAUGCCUGAAUUCGAGGAUUGACUGAAUUUAAAUUUGCUCGUCUCUAUUUUAGGACUGCUUGAUGCUGAUAUGGAUUACUUGACUAGUGAAUUCGGUUGCUGCAUCAAGAAUUUGCAAUACGCAACGCGAUCUGGGUGCUAUCGAGCUGUGGAGUAAAGCCAGUGUCAGGGCCGGACUCCAUGAGGCCAUUGAGGCGGUCGCCUUAGGUUCUUUGGAAUAUUGUAGUAUCAUGCAUUAGUGUGUUUUCUCAUUAAUGCAUUUAAGCACUUUUGAAUUUAUAUACACAUUUUUGUAUUCAACUUCAUACAUUUUUGUAUAUAACAUUAUGCAUGAUCUAUGUACUACCUUAAGCUGAGAGAUUUGUAUGAUCUCUUUUUUUCAUAUAUGUAUAUAGUAUUGGAAAUAUUUGCAUGUAAAUCCAUGAACUUUUAGUAUCUUUUGAUUUUGCAAAUGAAUUUUUAUUUUUAAACUUAAAUAUACCAACUUUCAAUUUGUUGAAUUUUUUUUCUCCAUUUUUUUCGUGGUAAAAAUUAGAUAAAUUGAAAAUUGACGCAUUUAUAUUUUUAAAAAAUUAAUGUACAAAAUAAGAAAAUAAUAAAAGUUCAUAUAUCUACGGACAAAUAUCUCUAUAUCUGUGAAACUAUUCUGACAGUAAGAAUGAUAAUACUCAUAACUCACUGUAAUAUACUUGUAAUCGAUUUUUUCUUCCGAUUUUUCUAAUUUAAUUUAUUUUACUUUUUCGCUUGAUUAUUCUUAGUUAUUUUAGGGUUUACAUAUUUGACAAUAUAAUAUUGUAUACCGGGGUAUAUUGUUUGCGCGUAUAUACCGAGAGAAUUCAAUUAAUACCGAUUAUGUUUAUACCAUCACGUUAUGCUCCGUAUUUCUGGUUUAGGGCAUAUACCGAAUAUUACUGUAUAUAUCGGUGAUGCGGUAUCAUACCUUAUUCUGGUAUACCUUAAUAUUCGGGUAUAUACGAUAAUAAGGUACAAUACCUUAUUCUGAUAUACGCAGUUGUCCGUAUAUCAUGAAAUAUAAGAUCCAGUACAAAAAUUAUCACAUGGUGGCAUUAAAUUAAAGAAUAAUCACUCUAAUGAGUAACUCAUGAUCAAUUUUUACAAAUUUUUAUUAAAAUAUAAAUUAAAAAAAUAAAUUAAUAUUUUAUUUUAUUGUGAUGUAUUCAAUAAUUUAUUAGAAGAUACAAAAAUAAAUAAAAUAUAGUAUAUAGUAUAAGUCAUACAAUAAAAUAAAAUUGUUUAUUUUGAUAUUAUAGUAUAGUUAUAAUAUAUAACUAAAAUUAUUGUUUUACAAUAUAUUAUACAUCUAACUUAUAAUAUUACAUAUAUAAUAGCAUAGUUAUAAUAUUAGUAUUAUAUUAUAAAUAAUAUUACGUCUAACAUAUAAAUUAUAUGUAACUUAUAACAUUUAUUUAAUUUACUAUAUAUUACAUGAAUGCAUACAAGUAUGCGAAUAUAAAUAUCAUCAAAUGAUAUAAAAGUGAAUAAAAUAUAAUAUAGUAUGUAAGUUAUAUAAUUUAAUAUAACUGAGUUAUUUAUAUUGAUAUCAUAACACAAUUAUAAUAUAAUAUUCUAUAUUAUAUAACUAAGAUUAUUGUUCUACAAUAAAUCAUACAUCUGACGUGUAACAUCUAUGUAUAUAAUAGCAUAGUUAUAAUUAAUAUUGAUAUUAUAUUAUAACUUAGAUUACAUCUAACUUAUAAAUCUCAUGUAACUUAUAACAUCUAUAUAGUAUAUAGUAUAUACUAUAUAACUUAUAAAUUUAUAAAUAUCAUCAAAUGAUACAAAAACAAAUAAAAUAUGAGUAGUAUAUAGUACUCCAUCCGUCCCACCAUUUUAGUCCCCUCCCACUUUUCACACAUAUUAAGAAAAUGCAUUUAAUUUUUAGUAUAUUUUUAUCUUUUAUACCCUUAUUUAUUAUUUUCACACAUCCUUUUCACAUUUAAGUGAAGCAUUAAAUAAGGUUAAUUUAGUAAAAACAAUAUUUUUAUAUAGUAUUAAUUAGAAAAGUGGACUAUCUUUUUUGGGACAUCUCAAAAUGAAAUAAGGGACUAAAAAUGGUGGGACGGAGGGAGUAUAAGUCAUACAAUAAAAUAAAAUUGUUUAUUUUGGUAUUAUAGUAUAGUAUAAUAUAUAACUAAAAUUAUUAUUUUACAAUAGAUUAUACAUCUAACUUAUAAUAGUUACAUCAUAUAUAAUAGCAUAGUUAUAAUAUUAGUAUUAUAUUAUAAAUAAUAUUACGUCUAACAUAUAAAUUAUAUGUAACUUAUAACAUCUAUAUAAUUUACUAUAUAUUACUUUUUGUUUAUUUGUGAUAUAUUUUAAUUAUUAUGUCAUUAUUAUAUUUGUUAAAUAUUAUUCAUUAUCUAAACAUGUUUUAAAUAAAUAAGUUAUCAAUUUUUUACUGUAUUGAAUUUUAUCGAUUUCGGUAAUACCGAUUAUUUUUGUAUACCGUGAAAGUACGGUAUACCGAAAUUCGGUAAGGUAUACCGAAAUAAAGGUACGGUAAAGGUUUUGUAUAUUCUCCAUACCGUACUUAAGGUAUACCGAACUAAGGUAUACCGUAGGUAAAGAUAAGGUAAAGGUAUGAAUUUUCUCCAUACCGGAGGUAAAGGUAAGGUAUAAGGUAUGAUCGAUUUAAUAAGGUAUACCGUACCGUACCACCCCUAAGUCUGACAAGCAAUUUAAGAAUGAUAAUACACAUUUUAACUUUAAGGUUUUGUAUCAUAUUUUACUUUUUUUUAAGCCUACAUCACUUUCUUUCUUCAUUUUUCUAAUUAUAAACUUUAAUUUUACUUUUUCCUUUGAUUAUUCUUAGUUAUUUUAGGGUUUAACAUAUUUGACAAUAUAAAUUUUGUUACGACACAGUAGGAAUAUUUGUUUGAACAUAUGGAAACGCGAGAGAAUCCAAAAUUAAUCACCAAUUAUGUUCAUAAAAUCAAGUUCAGUGCUCAAUAGCUCUAAUUAGGGCAUGGGAAUUUUUAUUAUAUUUUAGUAUUAUAUUUCAUAUAUUUUUCUUUUAUUGAUGCACAUCUCAUGUAUUUAAUUGAUGAUAUUACAAAAUAUACACAUAACACGUGUUGCAUUUCAUGAAAUAUAAGAUCCAGUACAAAAAUUAUCACAUGGCGGCAUUAAAUUAAAGAAUCAAUCACUCUAAUGAGUAACUCAUGAUCACAUUUUGACCGGAAAUCACUUUAUAUUAUAAAUUACAAAUAUAAAUUUUAAAAGUAAAUUAAUAUUUUAUUUUAUUGUGAUAAUAUUCAAUAAUUUAUUAGAAGAUAAAUAAAAUUAUAACAGAACAGGUUAAAAAAUAUGUUUCUUCGAUAUUUUUAACUUAAAUGUUUAAAAAUAUUAUCUAUGUACCGUAUCCGUUAUAAACUCGAUUAAAAAGUGAUUUUACUAUGCGUUCUCGUUUUAAACUCAAUAGUAAUACCAACUAAAUACUCGAAUAUACUCCCUCCGUCCACGAAAGAACUUCAUAUCUUUUCUUUUUGGGACGUCCACAAAAGAACUUCCUACCUAUUUUUGGAUUAUACCCUACCACUUAUAAUCCUCUUACUUUUCACUUUUCACAACUCCCAAUAUUAAUUAUAACACCUUUUCACCACUCCCAAUACACUCAACUACCUUUUAUCCACUCUAAUUACACUUAACAAUAUUAUUCUUAAAACCCGUGCCACUCCCUCCUAGGAAGUUUUUUCAUGGACGGAGAGAGUAUAUAUGUUUAAAUUUAUAAACAAAUGUUGUUAUAAUAAUUGGUUAUGUUUCUCAAUAAAGAUUAGAAAAUAGAGAAAGAUUUCUUUGGACAUGUUGUUCGGAUCGCUUUUGUAUAAAUUCUUCACUAGAUGGUGUGAUUUGUUAGAAAUGGAUAUUGGGCUCAUUCCUCCCUUAAAAGGCCUUGUAAGGGAGGAAUGAACACAUUAUCCAUUUCUAACAUGGUAUCAGAGCCAACCCAAUCCAAUGAUGACCCUCCCAAUAUCGUUGUCAACAGAUGGCGUUUGGGAUAGUCCACGCUGCGCGUGUGGGGGGUGUAUUGAAGUGUCCCACAUUGGAUUGAAGAUAGUGGCAUGAGCCACUUUUAUACUGGAGAGGUGACCCCUCNNNNNNNNNNNNNNNNNNNNNNNNNNNNNNNNNNNNNNNNNNNNNNNNNNNNNNNNNNNNNNNNNNNNNNNNNNNNNNNNNNNNNNNNNNNNNNNNNNNNNNNNNNNNNNNNNNNNNNNNNNNNNNNNNNNNNNNNNNNNNNNNNNNNNNNNNNNNNNNNNNNNNNNNNNNNNNNNNNNNNNNNNNNNNNNNNNNNNNNNNNUGGUAUUGAAGUGUCCCACAUUGGAUUGGAGAUAGUGGCAUGAGCCACUUUAUAUGGUGAGGCAACCCUCUCCCUUAUAAGGCCUUUUAAGGGAGGAAUGAGCCCAAUAUCAAUUUCUAACAUGAUUAUUAUAAGUUUGAUAAGAGACUAAAGAUUUCAAUUAAAUAUAUUUUAACAUUAUAUAUAUCAUGUAUAUAUUGUUAUUUAUCUAAGUUCUUCAUUUAUACCUUCUAAAUUCCAUAAUUUAUUUCUAAUAUAUAAUUAUUAUGUUAUUAUUAUAUUCUCAUAUUUCCAAGCUUCAUUUUAGCUUAUGAAACUCGAACAAAUACAGUUUCUGGAUGUGAAAACAAUCUUAAUUUCCAAUGCAGAUAAAAUGUACGGAGAUAUUUUAUAAAGAAAAAAAAAUUGAAAUAUUUGGGUACACAUGACAUAAAUAUUUGUUUUAAAGUAAUCAGUUUACAUGUAGGAGAAAGGCCGUGAAAUUAUAUUUUCUUAUUAUACUAUAUGAUUUAAAUACUGCAUCUUAAUUAAAAUGGUAGGAUUUGUGAAUGCCAAGUAUGAUAAACUUUAUUUUCUUAUUAAAUAUGUAAGAUUAGUCAAUGAUUUCGGUUGCUUAUUAGUCAAUGAUUUCGAUAUAUUUACUUUAUCAAAUUCUUCAAAUCAAAUUUAUGAUUAUAUAUGUAGUUCCAGUCGACUCUAUAUAUAUAAAUGAUAAUGCAAUAAUAAACUUUAUUACAGUAUAACCUUUUUUUUUUCUGAAUAUUGUUAUAUAUCCAAUAUCUCCUAUCGUACGUUAAAAUGGCUAAACUUUUGGUAUCUUCCUUGGUUGCAUUAUUUGUGAGCUUUAUCCUUGUCACAGGUAUAUAUGAUUCAUAAUAUUUGAAUGGUUGCCACUUGCCAAGCUAUAUAAAAAUGCUAAGAUUUUAUAUUUUAAAUCUUUUUUCAUUCUUUCAAUAAAAUUUUUAUAUUGUUUAAAAUCUCUAGUCUAUACAUUCUUUUAUAUUUCUCUAAAUGCUCAAAUAUAUCAUAAACUAUCACAUUUUUUCGAUCCUAUCACAAACUUUAGAAUAGUCCUAUCAAAUUUUUUUUAGGGUGCACUUUGAUGUCUUGUUAUAUGUGUCUUAACCAUUUGAGUAACUUAUUUAAAAAUUGGACUUUAUUAUAUUUAUAAUGAUAUAAUGUUUGAUUUAAUUUUGGGCAAGUACAGGUUGUUUUGGUAAGUGGCCAACAUGCGAGAUGGAGAUAAAAUAUAUGUGCGCAGAGAAGAUAGACGCAUGCGCAAAUGUGUGUAGUGCCGCAAUUGGUUGGAAUCUGGUGACCAAAUCUACCUGCAUUAAGAAAGGCGGCACGCGCGGCUCUCCCCAAUUCUUCUGCGNNNNNNNNNNNNNNNNNNNNNNNNNNNNNNNNNNNNNNNNNNNNNNNNNNNNNNNNNNNNNNNNNNNNNNNNNNNNNNNNNNNNNNNNNNNNNNNNNNNNNNNNNNNNNNNNNNNNNNNNNNNNNNNNNNNNNNNNNNNNNNNNNNNNNNNNNNNNNNNNNNNNNNNNNNNNNNNNNNNNNNNNNNNNNNNNNNNNNNNNNNNNNNNNNNNNNNNNNNNNNNNNNNNNNNNNNNNNNNNNNNNNNNNNNNNNNNNNNNNNNNNNNNNNNNNNNNNNNNNNNNNNNNNNNNNNNNNNNNNNNNNNNNNNNNNNNNNNNNNNNNNNNNNNNNNNNNNNNNNNNNNNNNNNNNNNNNNNNNNNNNNNNNNNNNNNNNNNNNNNNNNNNNNNNNNNNNNNNNNNNNNNNNNNNNNNNNNNNNNNNNNNNNNNNNNNNNNNNNNNNNNNNNNNNNNNNNNNNNNNNNNNNNNNNNNNNNNNNNNNNNNNNNNNNNNNNNNNNNNNNNNNNNNNNNNNNNNNNNNNNNNNNNNNNNNNNNNNNNNNNNNNNNNNNNNNNNNNNNNNNNNNNNNNNNNNNNNNNNNNNNNNNNNNNNNNNNNNNNNNNNNNNNNNNNNNNNNNNNNNNNNNNNNNNNNNNNNNNNNNNNNNNNNNNNNNNNNNNNNNNNNNNNNNNNNNNNNNNNNNNNNNNNNNNNNNNNNNNNNNNNNNNNNNNNNNNNNNNNNNNNNNNNNNNNNNNNNNNNNNNNNNNNNNNNNNNNNNNNNNNNNNNNNNNNNNNNNNNNNNNNNNNNNNNNNNNNNNNNNNNNNNNNNNNNNNNNNNNNNNNNNNNNNNNNNNNNNNNNNNNNNNNNNNNNNNNNNNNNNNNNNNNNNNNNNNNNNNNNNNNNNNNNNNNNNNNNNNNNNNNNNNNNNNNNNNNNNNNNNNNNNNNNNNNNNNNNNNNNNNNNNNNNNNNNNNNNNNNNNNNNNNNNNNNNNNNNNNNNNNNNNNNNNNNNNNNNNNNNNNNNNNNNNNNNNNNNNNNNNNNNNNNNNNNNNNNNNNNNNNNNNNNNNNNNNNNNNNNNNNNNNNNNNNNNNNNNNNNNNNNNNNNNNNNNNNNNNNNNNNNNNNNNNNNNNNNNNNNNNNNNNNNNNNNNNNNNNNNNNNNNNNNNNNNNNNNNNNNNNNNNNNNNNNNNNNNNNNNNNNNNNNNNNNNNNNNNNNNNNNNNNNNNNNNNNNNNNNNNNNNNNNNNNNNNNNNNNNNNNNNNNNNNNNNNNNNNNNNNNNNNNNNNNNNNNNNNNNNAAUUUUUAUACUGUGAUUUUUGUACUUUGUUCCCGUAAACUAAUUUUAUGACCUAUAAAUUUUAAAAUAUAUUUGUCUCGACCGACCAUCUUUUUAUUUUUUGGGAAAUUAUAUGGAGCCAUAAUUAUGGCUGUCAUAAUAUCCCUUAAAAUUUCUGGAAAUAAUAGGUGACUAUAAUGCCCUUUCAUUAAUUUUGAGAUAGGAUAUGAAGGUCAACUGUAUCUAUAAAUGUAUGAUUCCCUUUCCAAACUUUGCAAAGCUAUUAAAAAGGAAAGUAUCUAUAAAUGUAUGAUUCCCUUUCCAAACUUUGCAAAGCUAUUAAAAAGGAAAGUAAGACUGCCGUGAUUAAUUUGGUAGUUAGAUUAUCAAAUUAUGAAUUAUCUAUUUAAUUAUCUUUAUGCCAUGAUUAUACAUAAUAUUCUAUUAUACGUGCAUAUUCUAUACUGCAUAAAGAUUACACAAAAAUAUCAAAAAAUCAAUUAUGUGUGUGUGUGUACGCGCGCACAUCAAUAAAAUUUGUGUAUAGAAAAAUUGAAAUUCAGAACAAAAUUAAUAGAAAUAUAUUUGUUGAAUUUUAUCUUGAGUCGAUUCUCGAUUGCAAAUUAUAAUGACUUGAAUUGUAUAUAUAUUUAAUUAAGAAAUCUUAUUUAAUAGUAUUGCAUAUCAGUAUAUAUUAUGUUUUGUAUUAAAAUAUCUACAAUAUGUAAUUUAUUUGAUAAUAUGUAUUAAAGUUAUAUAUAUUUAAUAUUUAUUAUAAUUAUUGUUUGUAUUACUCAUACCAUAGGUGGUCUACAUAAUCAAACUCUAUGUAUAAUAAUUAAUAAUUUAUGACUUUUGAUUUAUAAAGGGCCAUUUAUUUUGUAUUAAUUAAUACAAGAUAUUGAAGUGUUAUGAAUAUAUGAGAAUAGAUGUGCAAUUAUUCGGCUUCAGAUUUGAUGGUUGUUCCAUAGACCAACACGAGUCUUUUAUACUCCAUCCAUUCCACUAAAAGUGGCUUGUAUUCCAUUUUAAGCCGUCCUAUUAUAAGUGACCUGUUUCUACAAAUAAAAAAAUUUAACUCUUAAAAAAGUGUGAACCCUACCACUUUUAACCAAUUUGCAUAUUCUCUUUAAUUUUCAUGCCAAAAAAAUUUGAGUCACUUAUAAUGGAACGGAGGGAGUAUUUACUUUUGGCAUACUUGAAAUUAAAUAUUAAUUACCUCGCAUUAAUUACCCCUUCCGUCCCCUAAAUAUCUUUAUAAUGGAGGGUGACACGAGUUUUAAUAAAAAUUAGUUGUGUAUUUGAUAAAUGGAGAAUGAGUUCUAUAAAAAGUGAAGAUUAAUUGUAAGAGUAAUAGUAAGUGUAAUUAUUUUUAAAAGUAAGUUAGAAAGAUGUUUUGGGGACGGACCAAAAUGAAAAAAAGAUAAAGAUGUUUGAGGGACAGGUGGAGUAUUUAAUUUUUCUCGCCUAUUUGGUUUAGUUGCAAUUUUUAUAUAGACGCAGGCCAUUAUAGCCGUGAAUGAGAAUUCUCAUUAAUUAAUUCCCAUAAAGUAAUUUCUCUCUCCUAUUUGGUUUAUUUGCAAUUUUUAUAUAGACGCAGGCCAUUAUAGCCGUGAAUGUGAAUUCUCAUUAAUUAAUUCCCAAAAAGACAUAAUAUGGCUAGGACAGCAAGGUCUUGUAAAAUGAAAUUAUAAACUCAAAUUACUAUAUAUCAAUACUGUUUAAUAUUUAUGAUUUUAAGAUACAAAUAAUAUAUUUUAGGAGAUACUGGUAUUUAAAGAGAUAUGAUUNAUUUUUCUUUUUUUUUUUCCUUUUUAGCAUUUUCUUUUUAGUGCUUUUCUUUUGCGUUUUUUUUUAAUAUUAUUUUUACUGUCUUUUCUUCUGUGUUUUCUUUUUAUUUUACUGUUUUCUUUUGCAUUUUUUUAUAUAUUUUGAUUUUUUUUCCCUUUCAGUAUUUUCUUUAUUUUUCGUUUGUUUUUUAUUUAUUAUUUUCUUUAAAUUUUUAUAUAUUUUUGUGAAAAAUGUAAUACUUUUAAAAUAUUACAUUUCUUCAUAACAAUAAUUACUUUUAAAAUUAGUUGUGUAUUUGAUAAAUGGAGAAUGAGUCCUAUAAAAGUGAAGAUUAAUUGUAAGAGUAAUAAUGAGUGCAAUUAUUUCUAAAAGUAGGUUAGAAAGAUGUUUAGAUGACGGACCAAAAUAGAAAGAGAUAAAGGUAUUCGAGGGACGAAUUGAGUAUUUAAUUUCUCUCUCCUAUUUGGUUUAUUUGCAAUUUAUAUAUAAACGCAGGCCAUUAUAGCCGUGAAUGAGAAUUCUCAUUAAUUAAUCCCCAAAAAGACAUAUAAUAUGGCUAGGACAGUAUGGUCUUGUAAAAUGAAAUUAUAAACUCAAAUUACUAUCAAUACUGUUUAAUAUUUAUUAUUUUCAGAUACAAAUAAUAUAUUUUAAGGAGAUACGGGUAUUUAAAGAGAUAUGAUAAUUUAAAUACAUUUUCUCAAUGCAUGCAAAGAGAAUUAAUUAUAUGGAAACAAUCAAUUAGUGGUAAGCAUUAUAUAUAAACUUGAUUUACAGAAGAAUGAAACCAAAGUAUUUGCAAUUGUCGAGUUGAUUAAAAGGCUGGAAUUUCAACGUCAAAAAAUGGCAAGGUCCUUGCCAUCGCUCUUCGCACUUAUAAUUUGCUUCACUCUUAUUAUAGGUAUAAUUUCAUUAUCAUUUAUUUAUUUAUUUGUACGACCUUUAAUAUAUGAUACAAUGCCCCAAAACCAACAGUGUGUGUAUGUGUUAUUAUUUGGAUUCACUACGCAUCUGAUCUAAUUAAAUCAUAAUUAUAAUUAAUAAAAUUUAACUGUAUCAAUUAACGAAUUAUAUUGGAGUUGGUAAAUCUUAAUUAAAAUGAAUGCACCGUGUAUUCAAAUAUAAUAACAUACUAAAAAAUCCAAUUUAUUCUCUCGUAUAUAUCUCAAGAAAUAAUUAUUGGAUUCCUCAGCUUCCCCUUCUAAUGUAUACACUUUUUUUUUAGUGAAGAAGUUUUAAUUUGUCAUUUUCAUUCAUUUACGAAAACAUGUGGAGUCAUUUCUCUGCUCACAUAAACAAUUAUUUUUUAUAAGAGUCGUGUUGAUUAUCUCUGUUAAGAUUUCUUUUCGUGGAUGGAGGAAGUAUGUAUAUUAUGUGACUAUAAAUAAUAAAUAUGAAUGCAUAUAAUUAAAAUUGAUUAAAUUUAAUUGGUUGAGCGCGCGCAGGUUGUUUGGGUGGUGGGGGCAAAAUCUGCUCGUUCGAUUUGGUUUCCCCUUGUAAUACUAGAGAUCCAAAUUCUUGCAUAAAUGUAUGCAAGAAAAGUGGUCUUGGAGGAUUUGAUUUUGUUGCUGCAUAUUGUGUCAACGAUUAUUUCAAGAAAUCUACUUUUUGUACCUGUACUUAUCAUUGUUAAACAUAUAUAAAUGGGAUACAAUAUUAAUGUAUAACCCAGCCAUAAAUGAAUGAAACUUCCCUUGUUAUUAUAUUUUGUCAUUUUGUAUUAUUUCUAUUCGUCGCAAAUGCAAAACGAAAAAAAUGACAAUUCGAAACUAAAUAUUCGCUACUUUUUUUAAAAAUGGAGCAAAAAUUAAUAAAAUACAAAUUUUGUUGAAUAGAGAAAAAAGGAAAAAGAAGGAAGAAAUUAUAUUAAUCCAAGAAAUGUGUGUGAAUACAAUUAUAUUUCCCUAGAUCAUCUAGGAAAAUAAGCGGUCCAAGUAGAUUGGCGCGAAGAAGAAACAACAAAAUUUGCAAGCGAAUUGAAUGUACACCCCAAUUGGGGUGUUGAGAAUUUUGUGGAUUUCAUGCAACGCAAACCACCAAUUAAGUUGAUUUCAUUCCCUCUCAUUCAAAAUUAAGAGGGUGUUUGGCUAAAUUUAUUAAAGAAGAGCUUAUACGCUCCAACAACUUAUAAGACAUAGUUUUUUAAUUACUUAUAAAUUGUUGAUAUGUUUAGAUAAUUGAACUUAUAAGUUAGAGAGAUAAUUUUUUUGCUAGAGAGUGAAAAUCGAAGAGAGAUGAACUUGAAAUGACAUAGGAUGAAAAUAACAAUUUAUAGUUGAAUCAUAUUUGUAAAAUGAUUGUUGCAUAUAAGAUUAUGAAAAAAUAAGUUGGGGUAGAGAAAGUUAUUUUUUGGGCACUUGAAUCUUAUUUUUAGAGCUUAUAAACUAUUUAGGAGCUUAUUUUGCGAAACACUUUGAAUGAGCUUAUAAGUUCCUAAACAACUUAUAAGAUCUUUUAAAGAUUAUCUAUUUUUAAUUGCAGCUUCAUUGAAUUGUUUUAGUGUGGUUAAUGUUUUGGGCCUGGGCUUAUUUUUCAGCGCAUGUGCAUAAGUGUGAAAAUAGAUAUAUAACCUCAGCCCAUGCUAAUUAAUAGCAGGGGUUUGUCGUCUAGCUGCGGCUGACAAAGAAAAUUGCUAGAAAGAAGAUGAUGGAGAAGAAGAAAGGCUUUUUUAUUUUUUGUUUUUGAAUCAUUUAAUAAAAUGCAACUAAACAUAAACAAUUUGUAUCAAAUAAAGUUUCAACUACAUAUAGAGGGUUUUGUUCGGACACUAACAUAUAACUCUCGCUCACCAAAUUCUACAUAACAAAAAAUAAAUAAAUAAAAAUUCAUCACCAAGAAUGCUUAUAAGUUACGAAGCUCAAUUGUUGAUUCUAUUCACAUACACAUGUUAUGUUGCUCACAAGUGCAACAAUCCUUUAUAUUUUGCAUCCGAAACAACUCUAAUCAACAACACAAUUGAUAUUAGAAAAAUUAUUGCAUGAUGUACAAAUUAAUUUCAAUAUUAAAUAUUUUUUACAUUUUGUUAAUGUGAAAAUUUGUGGUAUCCCAAUCCAAAGAUCUUGGCUCCGAACCAUUGAUGUGUCAAAGAUUCACCAUGGCUGGAGGCCAAUUAUGUGCUUGAUUUUCCCAAUCAAUUAUAUACUUUCCUAUUAUACAAGCUAUAUCAAUAGUAUAUAUACAUACACAACAUUAUAAGAUGACGCACCAACAAUUUAGAUAUUUCAAGGCAGCAGCAAUUUCCAAGUUCAAAAUGACAAGGCUAUUCACAGCUCUCAUCAUUAUCGUUAUUUGUUGCAGUCUUUUAUCGGGUAUAAAUUUUACUAGAAUUCUGGAUUAUUUGAUAUUUUGAUUAUUGUUAAUUAUAUUAUCAGAGAGAUCAAUUAUACCUUAUACUUUGACUUUUUGCACUAGUUUAAAAAAUCGCACGAGAAUGAAUGUUUAGUUGUUAACUUGUGAUGUGUAGUUUAAUUUUAUUUUCUUUUCGCAUAUUCUACUUAGUAACCUUUAUGAGAAACGAACAAAUGCCAAUAUUUUGGUUUGAAUAAUUUGCUCUCAUACUAUUUUUUUUUUUAUGUAUAGAUAGAGCUAAUUUCGAAAUUUUGUGAAUCCAUAAAGUAUAUAUAAACUAAUGUAUUCUAUUGUUUGAAUUGUAGGUUCAAUUGUUGAUGCGGGAAUUUGCACUCGUAAAUUUUAUAACACACCUUGCGAUAUACAAAGUUCAAUUAGUUGUAAUUUCACAUGUUUUAAACAUGGUUAUAAAUCCAAUUUUGUUAGUUCGUUUUGUGAUGUUAUGAGAGAUCGUAUACACACAUAUUGUGGUUGUAACUAUAAUUGUUAAGUAGUAUAAGAAAUCAAAAUGAUGUUCGUGAUUCUCUUACUAUAACAAUAAAAUGUUAUAUGAAGUUUAGUCGUACGUUGUUUAUACCCUCCUUAUGUCUUUUUCUUUCUCCCCUCGUUAUCGGCAUUUUAAUUUGCAAGGCACUUUCAAUGGUUUGAUGAAGUUUUUUUUUUUUUUUGACGGAAAUGAAGUUUAUUAAUUUUUAAGAAUUUAAUUGAAAGGCUACGAGGAUUAAACAAGGGAUUAUGAGCAAGUAAAAUAAAAUCUAACUUGGACUUCCCAGGCUUGAGGCCCAAAAAGGUCCAAAAUCUUCUAUCUAAAUAAGCCCCGCAUAUUUCAAUAUUAAUAUAGAGCAGUGCUAUUAAUUUGGACAAAAUUUGUCCCCCCCAAAAAAAAGGUCAAAUACUUCAAAAAAAUGAUUUAUUUAAAAAAAUUAUUCAAAUUUUAAAAAGUGAGGAAUGUGGAGAAAAAAAAUUAUUAAAAAAUUUAUUCAAAUUUCAAAUUCAAUUUUUUAUAGGUUUUGUACUUUAAAAAUUAAAAUUAAAAAGUUAUUAAAAAUUACAAUAUGGAAAAACAAUAAAAUCAAUUAAUUUUUAUUUUAACCAAAAAAAUUUAAAUAAAUUUAUUUUUAAAAAUAUUUAAUUAUAUUUUAUUCGAACAUAUUUUAUCCAAAUAGCAUUACUGAUUAAUAAUAUAUGCCUUUUCCCCCCUUUGAUCUAAGAGAAUAACGACGACCGAUGAUGUUGCGCCGUUGCGGUGGCCAAACAUAAUCAUUUACUAACACAUACAUGCAUUCAUAAUCUGUGCGAUUCUGUAUAUAAAUGAGUUACAGAAAUAAUUACCUCAAAUUCAUAUAGAUUUAUAAGGUGGAGAUAUACUUUAAUACUUUUAAGCCUUAUUUAGUGCGUAAUAUUAUGGGCCUUAUUUAAUACGCAAUAUCGGAUAAAAUAUUAUAUAUUUAACUGAGAUAUGUAUAAUAUGUAAUUUAUUUGGUAGGACGUGUUAAAGUUAUAGUAUAUAUUUAAUAUUUUUUUAUAAUUAUAAUUAGUAUUACUCAUACGAUGUAGUAGUUGGCAUACAAAAUCACACUAUCUUUAUAAUAAUUUAUGACUUUUGGUCUAAAAACGAUAAUUUGUUUUGCAUCAAAUAAGAUAUUGAAGUGUUAUAAAUAUAUGAAAAUAAAUGAAAAUUCCAAUUGCAUUAAGGGCAAUUUUUUUUUAUGUGUAUAAAUAGUGCCCAUGGAGAACGCUAGAUAUAUCCAUCAUCUAAGUUGAUUAACCAAAUUAUUAUUUUUGGAGAAUACUAACCGUAAUUUGAAUGGCAAAAAUCGGGCGUCGUUUUGGCUAUGCUCGUCUGCUUAAGCCUAGUCGCAGGUACAUAUUUUACUAUAAGUAUAGUUAUUUUUUAUGGGUAUAUUGAAGUAUAUUUAGAUUAAUUUUGCAAUAAAUUAAUUGUGUGCAGGAUGUUUUGGCGACAAAGCAGUUUGUCAGCUUUCUAUACGUCCAAAAAGAUGCGACCCCGAUACCCCUCAUAGUUGUGAUGGUCUUUGCAUAGCCAAAACACAUCCGGCUAAUUUUAUUAGGGGAAGUUGUAUUCGUGAAACCCUUAUACAGACUUAUUGUACGUGCACCUAUUAUUGUUAACUAUUACUAUAACAAAUCAUGGUCAUGAUUAUUAUUAUAUUAAUUAAAUAAAAAAAUUAUCAUAUUCAGUUGUUCUGGCAGACUUGAAAUUAAAUUCAUGUAGAUUUCCUUCUCUGUCCUAUUUGGUUCAUUGCCACUUUUUAUAUUGAUGCAGUCCAUUAUAUAUAGCCGUGAAUGAAAAUUCACAUUAAUUAAUUUCCAAAAAGGACAUGUAAUAAGGCUAGGGCCGCAUGAUCUUGUAAAAUAAAAUUAUAAACUCGAAUUACGAAGAGCUUGUAAAAUCGUUUGGUUUGAUUAAUUGAGACCCUGUAGACAACAAAAAUGAAGUGCUUCUAAAUUACACAAUUUCAACACACCUUAAUUAGAUGCAGUAAAAUAUUACUCCCUCCGUCCACGAAAGAACUUUCUAUCUUUCUUUUUUGGGACGUCCACAAAAGAACUUCCUACCUAUUUUUGGAUUAUACCCCACCACUUAUAAUCUUCUUACUUUUCACUUUUCACAACUUCCAAUAUUAAUUAUAACACAUUUUCACCACUCCCAAUACACUCAACUACUACCUUUUAUCCACUCUCAAUACACUCAACAAUUUUUUUUUCUUAAAACCCGUGCCACUCCCUCCUAGAAAGUUCUUUCAUGGACGGAGGGAGUAUUAGCUAGCAGGAUCUUUGACAGGUGAUGUUAAUUAGAAUUCGUAGAUCACGUUUGGUGGUUAAGAAAAUAAAGCUUUCAAGCAAUAUGAUUUAUAAGAAUGUGAAUCCCAAAAAUAAAAAAUGAAUACUAGUAGAUUAGCAAUGCGAUUUAUAAGACGUGAUUAUGGAAGAAAAAAAAAUGAAUUCUAGUAGAUUUUUUAUAUCGUAUUGGAUAAAUAACCAUGCAGGAAAUUAUAGUCUCGUGAUUACAGCUUCAAUGUCUUGUUCGAAUUAAUCUAAUAACGAAUGCAAUAAUCACGUUAUCAUUAAUAGAGUGUGUGAAAUUUAUUGUACAUUCUUUUUUUUGAGGUGGGAUUUAUUUUACAUUCUUAUUAUCAAUAAUAUUUAAUAAUUGUGAUUUUAAGAUACAAAUACUAUUACUCGGAGUACAUUUUAAACUGAUACGAAUAAUUUAAAUACAUUUUCUCCAUGUAUGCAAAGAGAAUUAAUGUUAUGGAAAUAAUCAAGUAAUGGUAAGCAUUACAUAUAAACUUGAUUUAAAGAAUGAAACCAACGUUUUUGCAACUGUCGAGUUGAUAAAAAGGCUGGAAUUUCAACGUCAAUGCCCACAUUCUCCUUUGAGAUAGCUAGCUCGAUGUCUUAGAAUUCUCGAGUUCAACGGGGACGACACAUCAAAAAUUGAAGGAGAGUAAAUGAUGAAGUCCAUUCCGAUUUUGCCACCGCCUAAUUUUUCGACUUGGGGUAAAACUUUUAAGGGGCAUUUAUUUUAAAGGAUUAGCCUUGAUAUAUAAAAAAUAGUAAAAUUAAGCCCUUAUUUAAUUAGAUGGAUUGAAACUUUGAAAUAUACAAAGGCCCUUGAUUUUUUUUUUUUUCAUUUAACCUAGUUUUAUUUGAUUCUUAUCUCAUUAAAAAUGUGGGAUUAGAAAAAUCCGACUAUUAGGAACAAAAAUAUUCAAUCAUGCAAAAUAAAUGCCCCUUAGCAUAUAAUUUUGUUUUGUGCACUUAGAGAAGUUCUGAAGCCCAUUACCAAAUAUCCCCUAAAUAUGAAUUGCUUUGUCCAAACGAGAAAUCUUAUACAAAGUAAUUAAGAUAGUUCAAAACAAUGGGCAUGCAAUUAAACUAAUCUACCACGGUUUAUCCGACUAAUAUUUUGUUCUAGGAAUUCAAUAUUAAAACAAAUGAGCCCAGUUAUAGACUGAAAAGGAUGAGCAGGAAAUAAUUUAUUGUUAUGAAUUCUUUGCUUUGGGAAAAUAUACAUAGGAUCUAUGAAGAACAAAUUGAUUACUAUUAUACAUCAGAAGUUUUGGCUCGUCUUUGCAAAGAACACAUCGAUUGGAAUGUGCUUAUCCCGCGAAGGAGAUCUUUUCUGCUUCUUUUUCUGUCGAUUGUAGCUCGUCUCGUCCUUCUCAACGAACCUGGCACAAGUAUACAACAUUUCAAGUAUGAAAGGUGUAUGAAACUAGUGAUGAUAAAGUUGAAUAUAGAUGAAUCACAAUCACCUUAGCUUAGGCUUAACAAGUCUGUUUUUGUUGCUCGACUCCUCAUCUUGCAGACGCUCAGCGAGAUGGAAAUCGAAAUGCUCUUGCCUUUCCUCCGUAAAGCUGGGAGGCAGUUCGGCUCCACAUACAGAGCAUUGGUAGUCAUUCAACCAAAACAUGGAUUCUCUGGGAUAUAGUGAAGACCCUGCCUCGUUGUUGCUGCAGUUUCUCUUCUGUUGAUCAAAACUGCUUUCCUCAAACAGCCCAGACGACAAAUCACUUUCCACUAAUCGACCAGUUCCUGCUGGAAGGAGCUCUGUCGAAGCUCCAACUGUAUCGUGAUGAGAAGCCUAACACACAAAAAAGAUCAAGAAAAGUUUGGUCGGGGUGUUAAUAAACAAAGAUAGUAUAAACUUCCUAAAUUUGAAUACACAGAAGAGUACCAUGAGUUAGAAUACGCACCUUUGCAUUGAAAUUGUCAAUCUGGUGAUCAAAAGUUUCUUGAGUUUCAGCUUCAUUGUGAAAAUGACUUGUGCCCGUGUGUUCAGAGUCUCGUAUCUGAUGGGUAUCUGCAAAAUCAAUUGAUUCGGAUGGUUCUUGUAUAUCACUACAUAAACUGGACUCUGACUGCACUUGAGCUCUGGGCCCUCGUCCAGAAGCAUCCUCUGCCACUAGAAAGUUAGAAAGUGUCUUUUGUUUAGGAUCAGCUGCAACACCUUCUCUGCCUUCACUGAAGUGUGACAUUCGCAGUCCUAAUGCAGAAUCCAGAUAAAUAGCCAAGAUCAACAUGUAUGAACUAUAAUUGAUAAAAAUGUUGCAGUACACAUCAUCAGUCUCAGUGGUAAAAUGUACAAAUGUAUUAGUCCCAUAUGACAAAAUUCUGAAAAAGAACAAAAUAUUAUACUUAGCCAUCCUACCCAUGAGUCUGAGUGAUACCGGAAGUUCAGCCUUGAGAAGCUUCUUCGCGUGUUUCAAAAUGUCCUCACUUGAGCAAGUAUAAUAUGGUAGAGUCACUGCCCGAGUUCGAACCUGGAGUAUAUAUAUAGCCAAAUUGCAACAGCAUCUCAUCAGGCUCCAUUCUGUAACUUGAUUGCCAGAGUGAGUCUGAAAGAACUCACUCAUGUGUCCAAAAUUGCAGCAGUACAUCAAAUCAUACCUCAAAACAUGCUGUUUUCAACUUUAAUGUCAAUGUUCUUCCACGGAUGCCUUCUUUCUUCAUGUCGGAGGAAAGAUUUUCUGAAAGAUCAACUGCAAACAGAUUGUCCUUAAAUCAAUUGAGGAUGUGAUUGAAGACUGUUCAGCAAGCAGAAUGUCAAUCUCAACUUUCCUUAUUAACCUUAAAAGAACCAGAAUACAUUGUCCAUACACAGACCAAUAUGUUUCGGGAGACAGGAUAAGAAAAGUUGAGUGAGCUUUUUUCUUUAUCACCUAAUUUCUGGAAAAUCAAUGUCUCAUUUCCUGUAGAUGAGAAUGUUCUUUCAGUACUCAUACUUUUCCUCUGGGUCACUUGAGGCGUAUCUGUCCUCCCAAUCCCCAAACUGACAGAUAAAAAGAAAUCUGCAAAGGAAGCAAAUAGUUUCUAAUAUACUUCCGUUAUAAUGGUAUUAUAAAAAUAAGACGGCAGAUUAUGAAGAAGUGUGUGAUAUACAUCUCAGAAUGAUCAUUAUGCAGAUUAAGUAGCUUAACUAGUUGACUAGCAUCUCAAAAUCUUCCGGACCAAACUCGGAAGGGUAACCAAUACCUGGGGGAUUCUCAAACAAAUCCAGAGUAUUACAGAAAAGAGAUUACGAACCUGCAGAUGUAUGAGGAAAUAGUGCACAUAUGAUACUACUUUUCUGCAGCAUUUCCUCACAUGUCGUAAUUCCGAGCACUCCUUUCAAAAUAUUUUCAGUCACUUUACCAAUGCCCCCAAUCUACAAAUGGACCUCUUAGAAUAAGGAUACAGAAGUCUCAAUUUACAACAAGAAGUAUCAUGAAGAGAUGGAGAAGUACCUUCCUUAUAGGUAGUGAUGAUAUAAAUGUCACAACAGCCGCACGCUCAUUUGGCAAAAUAAACUGACCAUUUGGCUUAUUGAUAUCUGAACAAACCUGCGUAAAAGUAAGCAAAUACCAAAUACAUACAUUACAAUUUACAAAAUAUAGAUUAGAGCAUGCUAACAUGUGAAGACCUGAUUAAAUGUGAUACAUAGUGAGACAGUAUAUAAGCGCAUGUAAAGGAUGAGUAGAAUAUCAAAGUUAGUCAAAAUUAGCCCUCUGAGGAAUUAAAGAUUCAAAAGUUAUGUAGACAUUGUCAUAGUUGCUUGAAAGCUCCACUCAUGAUUUUUGGAGAUCAGAUAUAGACUCCAGCAGAUUCCACUCUCUUUCUCCCCGAGACAGCUGAAACUAGAUAAAAGCUUCACUAAAAGUCUAAAACAUAGGAUCUAGAAAUCGCUUGUUUUAGAUAAGAUCCUCAAUUUGGAUUUGAUUCACCAGGAGAAUAUAUAUGCUAUACUUUUCACUAUCUAAUAUAACUCCAAAAGAAUGAUAACUUGGAGAGUAUAGUUUUACUAUUAAUAUAGCAAGGUGGUGAAUUAAAUAGAGCAGAAUAGAUUUCACAAAAACUGAGACCUUGUUAUGAAAGUCACUAACAUCCAAUAUACUGGAUCAGUAAUUUUUCCAAUACCAGAUAACCAGGCAAAAGUUUGAGUUAUGCAUGAUACAAAUGGUGAAAUGUUUCAUCAAUCAUCCUGACAUACUUGUGCACCGGUCAUCCCUUUGUCAUUGCAGAAAUUUGUUAUAUCUAGGUAAGCCUCAUCCAAACUUGCAGCUAGAAAGUUCGGAUCGUACCUGUGGAAAACUAAAUGCAAACAAGUGCACUGAGGAACUCAGUAAAAGGUAAAAAUAUCCCUAUGAAAGACAAUCAAUCUAGAGGAAAGGGUGACAUUUAACCUUUUCUAGUUAAACCACUAAAAUGAGUGUAUUUCUUGAAGUCGAUUGGAACAAAAAUUAGUUCAGGACACAGUUUACGUGCAAUAAAUCCAGGCAUUGCAGCUCUAACCCCAAAUUUCCGUGCCUACAAAAGAUAGCUGUGCCUCAUCAUGUGAUGUAACUGCCAAAUUGUAUUAUAAGCUCAACCAAGGACCUUCAUGAUCAAUACAACCCUCAUUCAGCUGUACCAACCUCAUAAUUAGCUGUUGAUAGCAUAGACAUGCUACCAACAGCCAUUGGCUUGCCUUCUAGAGAAGGAUUGCUCAGUGUUUCAACGGCUGCAUAAAAAGCAUCCAUAUCUACAUGUAACCAAAUCCUUGACAGAUCACGGGUGGCUUCCAAUUCUGCAAUUUUUCUAUCAGCAAUCUGAAAAAGAUGUUUAAAUUUUCAUUGAGUUUAUAUUAUAUUGGCGAUCAGUAGGAUAGGCUAGCCGAAAUAGCUUCACUUCUUCCACUUUUGCAAAUUCUCCCAUUUAUUGCCUUCUUCUAAGUUAUCAAACUUUAAGAGACAGGCAUCACAUUAAGGCAUAACAAUAAGAAACUCCCACUCAUCAUAAUUAUUCAAUUCAACUCUGUCUUCAUCAUUUUCCACCUGUGACUAAUAUAUACCUUCUGAUGGUGUGAUACAUCUGAGUCCGUAAGCUUUGCAAGCUGCGCCCGAAAACUCUCGAUUUUCUGCUUCAUGUAAGCUUCUUUCUUUUCCUCGUGUUCAAAAUACUUGGACCCCUUGCUCAUCUCAUAUACUACCCUCUGCACUUUUUCCUUGUCCACCCCUUCCAUCCCUAAAAAAAUUCAAGACUCCAUAAGCUCAAUUCGGCCAAAAUAAACAAAUACAAUCAUCAUAAUCAGAUGGAAAACAUCAAUUUAGUAAAUAUUGGAGAGAUUCAAUAGUAAUCUUGAAAUUUUAAAUUAAUAAAUAAAAUAAAGAAACCUGCUUUUGCGGUAGUAUAAACAGUGUUGUAGGUUUGCCAUGGCCGAGCCGAAUCAUUCCCGGAAUUUGACUUUUCAAUUUCUGUCAUUGCUUUGGUGUAACAAUUGCGGAUUUGAGGAGUGUGACGACGGUGUUGAAAAUUGGGGAACUCAAUUCAAUCAAAUGAAAACCGAGAGAUGGAGGGCAAAAAUUUACAAAAAAACAAAGUGGAGAGGCGCCAAAUAUAAAUAAUCUAGUGCUCGAGGGCACCAAUUUCCUUUUCUUUAUCUUUUUCUUUUGGUAAGGAAACACUCCGUCCCUCCAUAAAAAAAUAAUCAUGAUCUCUUUUAAAAAAUUAUACUAUUUAUAAUGAUAAUUAAUUAUAUUGUAAUAAGUGGAGAAUACGACUUACAAUAUGAUUGAUGGUUUUUAAAAAUAAAAAAAAAAAAAACUAAAUUUUUAUGGACAUCUCAAAAUAAUAAAAAUGAACCACUAUUUUUUAUGAAGAGAGAGAGGACUUCUUUAACUUUAACAUGUUUUUUUUGAUUAGACAUAUAAGUGCGAGUUGUCUUGUUGGCGUGGGGGGCUUGAUGUUUGACGCGGAGGAGCGCAUGAGUGCGGAAAAGGAGAAAGAAAGAACGUGAGGCGCACUAACGAGGAAAAGAGGGGAAUAAAUGAAAAAAAAAAUAAAUUUUUUGUAGGUAUUUUUUUUGUUUUCCAAUCAUUUUUUUAUUAUUAUUUAUUUUAUUUCUUAAUCUGUUUAAUCUGUUUUUUUGAUGUGUUUUAAUGUUUAAUAAGUCUUUCAAUUUUUUGCCUAUUUUUAAAUCUAUUUUUAAUUUUUUAAUAUGUUUUUAAUUGUUUUCUUAUUAUUAUAAUUUUUUCAUAAUUAAUGUAAUGUUGUAUUUUAAUUUUAAUAAAAUUUAUGUUGUUACCUUAAAUAUUUAAUUUAAUUUGAAAAUAUAAUAAAAAAUAAAUAAAAUAAAGAGGAAAAUGGGGGGAAAUGAAAAAAAAAUUGAUAUUUUGAGGUAUUUUUUCUGUUUCCAAUCGUUUUUUUUUUACUUCUUGAUCUAUUUUUUGAUGUGUUUUAAUGUUUAAUAAGUCUUUUAUUUAUUUUUUAAAUGUUUUAAUCUAUUUUUAAUUUUUUUAAUCUGUUAUUAAUUGUCUUUUAUUAUUAUAAUUUUUUCAUAAUAAAUGUAAUUUUGUAUUUUAAUUUUAAUAAAGUUUAUGUUGUUAACUUAAAUAUUUAAUUUAAUUUAAAAAUAUAUUAAAAAUAGAAAUAAAAUAGAAAAUAAAAUUUAAAGGCUCAGGUAUAGAGAUCCCCAUUGUGGAGAAAUGGGCUCUUAAUUAGUAUAAAAAUAAUAUUUUUUAUAAAGUAUAAAAGUUCCCUUAUGUAGUAAUUAAUACAUUCACGCGGCAUUCCAUACAUUUCAAAAAGAUAUUAAAAAGUGGGAUUCUUAAUCUAUUUACACGGCAUUCCAUACAUUUCUUAAAGAUAUAAAAAUAAGAACGAAUGGGGCAUUCCGAGAAUCGAACUCGGGACCUCUCGCACCCAAAGCGAGAAUCAUACCACUAGACCAAAUGCCCAGUAUGUUUAUUUUGUUUUAAUUUAUCGCUUUAUAAUUUUUGUCUUGGUCUCGAGAUUGAUAUGUAUGGCUUUAGUCCGAUGUUCGCUUGAGUAGCUACUUCUGAAAGAAUGAUCGAUAAACUUAUGAUUCACAGACUCAACCCUGCAAUCUCCCCUAAUUCGUUAAUGAUAGCUUAUGUUCGAAAGUUUCAGAAUUUUUUUAAAAAAUAUUCUCAAUUUUGGCUUUCACUUCCCACCUUAUGGAAUCCGUCGAUGAAAUAGUGAUUAAUCUCGUCAAAUUUUUUUGGUGAAUUUUAAGAUCUAUUGUUUUUUUCUACAAUUUUAAAUUGAAUAAUACAUAUUUCUCUUUUCGUAUCACUUUUAUUAUUAAACAUAAGUCAGCGUCAUUAAUAAAGUGAUAGGAGCUUUAAGCAUGCGAUAAUGUUUAUUGAUCGUUCAAUUGAGCUACUUUUUGAAAAAAUGUGUGCACAUUUUUCUUGACUCUAAGAUCUUGUACUUGCUUAAACACUAAAAAUCUUGCAAUUAUUGGAUUAAUCCAUUCGUAUAAUCUUGACUCCCAACUAUAAUCGAUUUCUAGUAAUGUAGUAUAACACCAGCAUGAGUCGUAUCCAAUCUAACUACACUAGUACUUGAAAUUUUAUGGAAUUUGUAAUGUCAUUGCAGCAUCUAAUCAUUAAUGGUAAACAAGUAAUAAGGAGAGUAACUAAGGUCAUGUGAUGCUAAUUUUGUGCAUCUUGCUCCUUAUUCCAGCAUGGACUCUUGUUUAUUCUAUUCUUUUUAUGUUGGAUCGAUUUUGUUACAAAAUGUGUCAUGUUUAUCCUAUUUCUUUUUAUAUUUAGUUAUGUCGAAAUUAAUGAAAGUUUCCCUUUGGGAUCUAAGAAACUAAUCUACGAUGAAAGAUUUGUGCUACGUGACGGCUGUUGGGUUAAAAAAACAAGAGAGAGAGAAGGGGGCAUUCCGAGAAUCGAACUCGGGACCUCUCGCACCCGAAGCGAGAAUCAUACCACUAGACCAAAUGCCCAUUUGACAUACUUGGCUAUAUAAUUAUAUUUCUCAUUUAGAUCAUAGUUCGUAACUUCUAAUUUUGGGUUUUGAUGGUUGGGAUCCGUAGGAUAUGUGUUGAUAAUGAAAACGCACAUAGUUCUCUCUUUUUUGGGUGGGCUAUAGUCUAUUCACUGCCUUACUCCCAAUUGGUUUUUAUUUUAAUUUUGGUAUAAUAAUAUAUAAAUUUUCACUUUGUUACGAUUUUACCACAAAACUAUAAUUAUCAAAUUUAAGUUCAUUUCAAAGGCAAUUAAGCUAAAAUCCAUGACUUUGAAGAGGAUUGAAGAAACAAAUUCAAGCAAACGAUGCAAAAAAUAAAAAUCUAUGCACCACUCUUUUCAAAAAUUUACAAAAAUUUGAGAAUUAUAGUUCCAUGGUAAAAUCAUGACAAAUUGAAAAUUUAUAUAUUAUGAUACCAAAAUUGAAGUUCACGCGCAAUUCAUUAAUUGACUAAAAAUUUGUGUAUUUACAUGUGAAUAAAAAAGCCAAUAAUUAUUAGUCAAGACAACAAUCUCUCUGAAGCAUGUAUAUAUGUUUACUGAGAUACACCCGAUGUGAAAAUAAUCCCCAGUUGAAUGAUAUAGAUGAUGGAAGACAUUACAAUAUUUAUGAACACAACCUAUAAUAGAAAUGGAAAUAAGUCAUUUUUUUUCAAGAAUAUAUUAACAGAAGACAGAUUUACAGAAAAUAGUAAGAGAGGAAUUGUAAGUUUGUUAUAGGAUCUAAAGGAAAUAACUAAUUUGUAGUAUUACACACCAUAGAUUAGAAUUUUUAAAAAAAAAUUGAUGUACAUGAAAUAAAUAUUUAAAAAAGGGGCAAUUUUGCCAUUUCAGAUUGAGAAGCAAAUGUGCUAAAAUUAAACUAAAAUAUAAGCUUUGUAAUUUACAACUCGUUCUACUCAUACAACACGAUUUAAAUUAAAACAAACGCCACUGCACAGAGCAAGUAAUAUACAUUCUAUUUUCACACUGCUUUGUUUUCGGAUUAGUCAAAAACUAAUAUACACAUGUUGAGUUUUCUUCAUCUUUUCACUUACCGCAACACUCCUUGAGAUUCUGAGCAGCAAAUGUCAAGAGCUCCACCAUCUCAAAUCCAGCUGCAGAAACGAGAUCUACUUUCUCUUGCGCAGAAUCCCGAGCAGCCCCACUUAUCUCGUCCAAUGAUCGGUCCGUUUCAUCCAACCAACUAACGGGGAGAGAGCUGCCGAGGGCUGUCUUCAGAAGGUUUGCUUCUGCAAUAACUUGCUCCAGAUCUUCAAAGCAGCUCAUGUUUCCAUCUUUCGCUGCGGCUGACUCUUUCACCUGUAAUAAACAUUUGCAAGAAAGCUUAACUUUUCUGGUCAGGAUAGAGUGCUGAGUAAAGAUAAAUGGGACAAGUAGUCACCUUUAAGAGGGAAAUACGGAGUCUUCGAACUGAAGAAAGUAGAUGCUCCAUACUGUCCAGGCUCUCCUUAAGAGUGGCGUUUUCGACCUUCAUCCUGCAGGAAUAGCAAGAUUAAUUUUAUUGUUUACUUGCGAUUCGUGGCAGUAAUAUGUCUAAUACAGGCUAUGAGCAUCUCUGCCUUAAGAUGUUACUCAGGAAAUACCACAACCACCAAUCUUGUAACUAGUACUUUCUAACCUUGCGAAAUCCACUUGAUGUGGUCUAUCAUUAUGUAGAUGUGCCAAUAUAUCACUUCCCUCUGAGCCUCCAACCCAACGUGUUAAGUAAGUUUUCUUCAGCAGACUUUUCAAUUUCCCAUCUUUUUCUGGUACCAUUCUUCUUUCUGCAGUCUCUACAACUCGAACUCCUUGUACUUUGUCCUGACCGAUCUUUCUGCAUCAUUGUAGCUUAUGUUAAAGAUGCUAUGAUAAAAUAUGGAAGCAAUAAUAAUAAUAAUUAUAUUAAUAAUAAUAAUAAUCUAACAAGCACAGAGCAGCAGUUCAGAAUAUUACUGUGGCAACCAAAUUUGAGUUCGGAUAGAAAUGUAGAUGCCAUCACAACAGCAAUGCAUAUGAAGAAACAUUAUAGCAAAGCUCGUCUUAAAAUGAAAGAACGUACUGUUGUAGUGUACAUAGUUCCUGCUUCAGCUGUGCUAACUCCAUAAGAGUUUUCACCUUUUCAUUCGUAACCUAGACCAACAAAAGAUUAUGAAGUAGCAUCAGAUAGGGAUAAGGAAAGAUAAAUAGAGAUCUGAAACCAGGAAAUAUCUUAUAGGGCAAUUGACUCUCGGAAUAAGAAACGGGAGCAAUAAGGAUGAUAAAUUGUAGAAGGUAAACAUUCAAAAUCACCUGCAGUAAGUUUCUCUGGAGUUCCUCGAUUUUUUUCUGCAAAGCUGCAUUUACUUCCCUCUCUAAUAGGUGUCUUUCUUCUUGCUGUGACAUAAGUAAUAAUGCUGACACCUGAAAACCAUUAAUAACAACAUAAGUCUGAUGUUACAGUGAUAAAACCAGGAAGGAGUUUUGUAGAUAACCUUAUCAUGCAAUGCCAGAGCGAGGGCUUCAGAUGCAUCGCCAGUUUCACGAGCACUUGGAAUUGGCAAGCCAGGAUGACUAUUCUGAAGUGUGAGAAAAAAAGCCAAUGUUACACUGAUACAGUUAAACCAAAUUACCAAGUAUUAAGUAAUGGUCUCUCAAGUACGUUGCCUAAUAACGAAAACAAAUAAUGAGAGAAAAUUGGACAGCUUUAUUUUCCUUUCUCUAACAGAUCUCAUUUCUGCACCAAAAUCAUUGAACGAAACAAAGUGAUAGAGGAGCUAAACAGAUCCAAUACUUAGACAGGAGGUAUUAAGAUGGAAUAGCUUGUACCGAGAAAAAAACUAAUAAAAGGUAAAAACAUAUGUAGACACAAUAGGAAUAGCUCGAACAUGCCUUAGUGAUUGUAACUGGACUAGAAACAGCACUAACAUGGACAUCCCUGCAUUCACUCUCAUCAAAUUCUUUCUCUUGUAUCUGAGAAGAUCUCAAAUUGCAUUCUCUACUCAGUUCAAGCUGCUUGAUCUUCUCAACUACCAGAUCACUCAUUGAUUUCAGCUCCAAAUAUCCCUCAUCAAGUAAGCUUUUGAUACCAUUUCUGUACUGAGAAUGGCGAUGAGAUAAUGCCAAAAUCCGCUUUUUAUUCUUCUCUUUUGAAAGGAUCUGCAGAUUACACAGUUUGAAAGUAAGUACCAAGUAAUUGAACCUCCCCUCCCCGAUGUGACUAUUGUUUAUCACAUAGGCAGGCUUCAAUUUGUUUUGAUUGUGACUUAUUCUCAACUAAAUGUUUUGUUGAGUUUGCUUUUCACUUUGUAUGUGAUUCGGUCUUAUUACUCUGUGAGUAAUUGGACUUCCCUUCCCCGCCGUGACUUAAUAUUCACUGUCUGUAUCCCUUGGGUACGCCCAAGUAUAGUAUGUAAUCCUCUCUUUUUAUUUAACUUUCGCAUUUUCGAUCAAAAAAAAGUAGCAACCAAAUGCAACUGGAAAUUAUACAUCUUCACUACAGAGAAAAACAUUCUUACUUUCUUUUUCUCCAAAUCACGAACUUUCUUCUUCAAGUGAGUUUCAAUUUCCAGUCCCUAAUCAUCAGUCAAUAAUAAUGGAACAACUAUCAACAACGUGGGAACAGCAGAAGUCAUGCGUGGCAGCAUGCAUUAGAAGAGUGAAGAAAAUCAGAAGCUCACCACUCGAAACUUGUUUUGCAAAUUAUCCAGACUUCUCCUCAGAGUUUCUAUCUCUGCUUCAAGAGAAUUCUGUCUGAAGGGAAUUUAAUCAAUAAAUCUCAAAUAGUAAGUCAUACAAUAGAUAUGUUAAUAUUCAAAAUUCCUUCUAGCUCUUAGUCAAUGCUAACGACCAUACAUCCUGCACGAUCCUUUUGUUGAAAAAUUAACAUUAAUAUUCACUAUUCACCCAAGCACUGAUCUAAUCAUUGAUCACUAUUUCAAUUAAACAAAAACAGUAAGAAGAUGUCUUCCCAAGAUAAACCAGUUUCUUUUUUCUAAACAACACCCAAACACCAAUUCCUUCUCACAGCACUUCCAACCCCGGUACCCAAACCACCAUCUCCAAGAUAAUGCUGGAAUAACUAGGCACAUAGCCAAGAUCACCUCAACAUUUGUAAAUUGAAUAAAUUAAGCUCAUAACUGAUUGAUUGGGACUCUGAAAUGAGUCCCUAUUAUAUGCAGCCAAAUGACAUCGAAAUGUAGACAUGCAAAUAAGUUUGAGAAUGAAGUCUGAACAUAUGGGACAAGAAAUUCUAGAUGAAAGAAGAGAAUCUAUUCAUAGGAAUAUAGAAGUUGAAGUAGAGAAAGAACUUGCAGAUCUGCCUCUUACAAUACAUGGAUAUGUUAAGCAGUUUGCUGCUAUAAAGUAAAUGCAUGCGAUAGAAAGGACAUAAUGCUCCAUUUCUGAAUUGUUUUGAAACAAAACGGAGAUAAUCCAGAAGAAGGGAUAGAAGGAGCAGCAAAAUGACAAACAGAGAGAAAAUAUAACUCAAAUAGCACCAAAGAAAUAAAUAACACACAUGCACUUCAGAUAUCAGGCAAGGCAACGUAUGAACAGCUAAACUAAUCAAUCAAAAUUCAAGUAAGAAUGGAAAAUUGUUAGCAUUGUUUAUUAGGACUUACGAUGUAAUUGGAGGUCGAAGCAUCCUCAUCAUUUUGGAACCUCCAAAUAUCAUCUGAAUCAUUCAGAAGACACUGGCAUUUCUCUUCCCAACUUCCAUCAGUAAAACUGUUAAGGGAAUCUUGUCUGAUGUGGUAGAAUUUAUCAAUCACCUAUUAUGAAGAAAGAAAAUCCUUAAAAAGAAGAAUUUAUGAAUGGCAGGACUUGAGCAAGUGAUUGUCAUUUCUAAAGUCCAAGACGUGAUUCUUAUUAAGGGAGUUUUUGCAAGUGGCAGGACAACAAUGCUCAAAUGUACAUACUACACUGUAGGAAUAAUCAAGGUGUCGCAAAUGUGAUGUAGCAGAGGUUAGUUAAGGUCAUAUUUGUUCAAGUUCCAUAUGGAUCAUAAGAAUCUAGACAACCACCUCUCUGAAUAUCUCAUUCUGCCUUUCGUGAUUUUCUAAAUCAAUACGGAGACUUGCUGCAAGUUUCUUUUCUUCAAGAAGUUCGGCACUCAGCUCUUCAACCCUGUAGGUAAUAGAAAGUAUAUUUUAAUAUACUGUGCCCUUUACAAGACUCUUAUUUCAUUUGCAGCCAAGAGAAGCCAUAUGUGAGAUGAACAAAAAAGAAGAUAUCAUACACAGAUAACCCCACAUUCACAAAUGUUUCUCACACAUUUGGUAAUAUAUAUAUAGGGAGAGGUCAAAUGAGAAUCCUUAUUUAAAAUGAGAACGUAGAACCAUUCUUAGAUCGUGAAGAUCUACGGUGGAUGUGUCAUCUUGAUGGAUGAAUGCAGCACCUAAUCCUAGAGGAAGCGAAAAUUUUGUUUUUCGGAUGCAUUAUAUUUUACAGUGAUGCAUUAAGUUUAUAGGAAAAUGCAUUGUUCUCACUAUAACGACACCCUAUAUAUAUACAUAUAUAUAUAUAUAUUGAUUUAAUCGUAGUUGGGCAUCAAAACGAAAGGCAGAAGACCAGAAUGCAAAUCCAUGAUUAAAGGUUGUAUAUAUAUAUAUAUAUAUAUAUAUAUAUAUAUAUAAUNUAAGUUAGUAUAUAUAUAUAUAUAUAUAUAUAUAUAUAUAUAUAUAAAUCUUAUACGGAGCAUUGUAGUUUAACCAUCUGGUACUUUAGCAUGCCAUAUCACGCGCAAUAAGAACUACAUUUCUUUCUGAUUCCUGCACCUGGCAUACAUAAAUUGGUAGCAGAGAUAUUUGAAACCAGAACCUCCUAUAAGGCCUAUGUCACUUCUAUGUCAUUGAAGACAAGACUAUCAUUUGAUAUUCAGAGCUACUAAAAAGAAAAAAGCCCAUUCAUCCUCAUACAGAACUUCAAUUAUCACUGUAAUUUUUGUCUCAAAGGCAUGCCUUUGGAGUGCUUCGCCUGAGGCCCCAAGUGCACCCUCGUGUGUGAUUGUAGAAUAGCACCCACCUUAGACAUUCUAAGGCACCGCAGGUUGCGCUAGGUGGUACCUUCUGCCACAGGUACCACUUUAACAACUAUUAAUUUAAAUAAAAAGUUGAGAACAGCUUUUGCUUUCUUGAAUAUCACAAUAAGUACAAAAGAUCCCUACUCAUUUCUAGAUGUAGUAUUUCACAAAUUAAGCUACCAUCCUGAUAAACAGGCUUAAACAGAAUAAAGAUGCAGAAUCCACUCAUUGUCCAUGUCCCCUCUCCAUAUCAACCGUUAAUUCCAACAAAUAUCAUAAAAUAAAAAACAAAAGUACAUCGCGAGCUUUAAAACAUGGUUUUAGUAACAGGGAAAAGAUAAAAAAAAUAAAAAAUACAUAGAAUACCUUCUCUGAAAAUUUGUCAGUUCCUGUGGCAGGAGCUCCUCUCUCUCUUUUGCCUUUUCAGCCUGUUCAAAAGAAGGUAGCAUAAAUUGGAACCACCAAAAGACCCACUAUGCUUUUCCAUCAAAGGCACCUAUCAUACACCUUACAGCCUAAAGUCUAAGCCAUCCAUCUAAGCUAAGGAAGUAUUAAUAGGAUGGACUCAAAGACAAAAGGGAUCUGGGAAGUGGGAAAGGGUAGAGAACGGAACAAGGGAGAAGAAAAUUUUUACCUCCAUUAUUGCAUUAUCUCGCUCAGCAAAGGCAGCAGCUACACAAUCUUGGAAAAACCUAAGCUGUUUCUCAGCUUCAACAUUCUGGUACAGAAAGCAAACAGUAAAACGUAGUCAAUGACUCUUGACAUAUGAACUUUUUACCAAUAUCCCUAACCUUUUUAAUGUCUAAACCCAGAAUAUGGCGAUGAUAUCAACAUAUAAAAACAAAAAUUAGGUACUUCUGGAGAGAAAAUUUGCAGAAAUUAAACAUCAAAAGGUAGGGCAUACGGGAACGUGUAUUAAGAAGAAUCAGUUCUGCUUAUACCAUGAGAGAGAGAUAUACCUUUGAGACUUCAGCCUUAUGUAGAUCGGCUAUUUGGCUCUGAAAUAAGUAACAUGUAAGACAAGAUGUAUUUAGGAAGAAUAACAGAAAUCCGCACAAGUGGAACUAAUCAAUUAAAGAAAAUCUCACUUUAAUGCGAUAAGCCUCAGAUAGCUCCUCUUGAAGAUUUUGAUUUUGUCUUGUGUAAGUAGCCAACUGUUUUUUCAAGUUCUCAAUCUCCUGUUCCAACCCAGCUGUCCUAAUUUGAGAAAAAUUAAGAAUGACGUCAUUUUUAUUGAGAGAAGAACAACAUGAUCCAUCCUCAAUGCACAUAUGUGGUAUCAGUUAUAGGCAGUUGACUGCGAUUGUUAAAAUAGUUCUACCUCUGAAAAUGCAAUCGUGUUGCCACUCCAAGAUAGGCAGGUCCAGCUUGUUGCAUACACAACUGUUCAAUAUCUUUCUGCAGUUCAUUACGUUCUGCAUAAGAGAUCAACAUAACACCAGAUGAGCAAACUUGAGUCAAAGGUACCAACAAUAACUGUAGUCAUCCUAGUCAGCUGAUAGACUCUCAAACAUCGAAAGUCAUAAGAAAUUCCUCCGUUCAUCCAAGAGGUCACCUUAUAAACUCGAUUAGCCAUGUUCAAACAUUAGACUGCAUCGAAUGAAUUAUCUUCAACUCAGUCACCCCGGCAUACUUUUUAUACCCUUACAAGAAAACAUAAGUUCGUGGAGUCCUUGAAACUAACAGGACUCCAGAAAAUGAGAAAAAUAAAAAAAGUUCACAAAGGUUUGAGAAUUUCCUGAAUGAUUCCCAUCUCUACUCUUUGCCCCAUCGGGUUUUUUCAUAAAGUGUUAACACAUAUAUACAUCCCGUGUGCUAUCUUAGAAAGACUGAAGCUUCUAUUGCAGCUGAUAAUUUCAAUUGUUACUCACAAUCAGUCAUUCAGAAAAAAGAAAACUAUUUAACUAAGAAUAUAUAUUUCUAAAACAGAAACAGAAAUCUUGAUGAAGUAGCUAAAAGAGUAUAUGAAUGCAUACCUCUCUCCAACUGUUGAACACGAGCAACCAUUGAUUCGUAAUUGGGAUUUUGAUCCAUGGCUGAAUUACAUCGGAUUACGUUCAGAUUUUAACUUCGAAAACAUAACAUUCAAAACAUAACUCAAUUAAAGACACAAACUAAACCUGCAACCUAUUACUUGAACACCAAAUUUAGAAAGAAAAACAAAAAAGAUUGCAGCUUUAAUCAAAGCCCAAUUCGAUUAUCGGUUUGGAACUUCAGAUUAUCAAAACAAUUAACAUUGUCACCAAAUACUAAGGUUUUUCACGCAUUAGAAGAUAAACUUUGUCAAGAAAAUUCUAGAAAAUGAAAAUAAACAUGAAGCACAAACACAAUAUGCAAAUAAGAUAAAACCAUGAAAGAGUUACCGGAAAAUACAAAUUUUGAUUCGGAGCUCUGGAACCGGGCUUCUGUAAUUCGAUUCCUUGGAGCCCGAAUGAGGAGGCGUAAUUAUGAUUGCGUUGUCUGUAUUUUAAUCAUUUAAUCAAUUUUCACGAAUUUUUUUUCUUCUGGAAUUUUAUGUUAUCUAUUCUUUUGAGUUGAACAAGGAGAGGGCAGCGGGAUAGAAUCCGAGAUCUCUUCCUUUUAUAUAGAAAAAGUACAUCAAUUUGUUAUUUGAAUAUCACUAUAUAUGAGUGUUAUGCAAUAUUUUUGAAUUUUUAUUACCUAACUUAAGGCUUGCUAUUCGGAUUCCUUUGUCUCGGGAUAUUUCUACUAUCUACAUACAAAAUUAUACUAUUAAUUAAACUUAAUCAAUGAUUGUGAAAAUAAUUAAUAGGUAAUAAUUUUAUUUUUGAUAUGUUUAUAUAUUCAACGUCACUUGUAUUCAGAGGCGGAUCUAGGAUUUAUGUUUAGGGAGGGUUGAAUUUAUCCAACUAUGACGUCUAAACAUAUUUACACGGGAUUCGGAGGCGGGAGACCUCGAGCCAAUUUUUUUUUUUGACAUUUCGUACAGUACAUUUGCAUGCAUUUUUUUAAUAGUCACUUAAUAUAAUAAAUAUUUUUUACAAUUCAAUCAAUUCAACAAAAAAUAUAUUGAACAUAUAAAGAUCUACUUCUAUGAUUUAAUAUAUAUAUAUAUAUAUAUAUAUAUAUAUAUAUAUAUUGGUGUGGUUGGUUCUAGAUAGAACUACAUUUAUUUUUGAGAACGGGAGAACCAUCAAAUCUAAUGCAUCCACUGUAAAAAUUAAUGCAUUCGCUGUUAAAAUUAAUGCACUAAUUUUUUUUUUAAAAAAUGCUCCCUUCAGGAUUCGAACCCAGGAUCUGCAUUCAUCCAACAAGAUGAUGCAUCCACCGUAGAUCUUGAUGAUCGAAUGGCUGAAAAUGGUUCUCCGGUCUUCUUUUAUUAUGGUUCUUUCUUGAACCUCUCCCUAUAUAUAUAUAUAUAUAUAUAUAUAUAUAUAUAUAUAUAUAUAUAUAGUAUUAUUAGUUAAUCUCCUAAUUAACUUUANUAAUUUAUUUAGUGGUUCUUAUUUGAACCUCUCUAUAUAUAUAUAUAUAUAUAUAUAUAUAUCAUCUUACUAAAAAGAAUGAACUAAUUUUUCAUUAUUAAUAGUUCAUAAUUUUACUUUAACAUGUGGAUUGACUCAAAUUCAACAUUAAAAAUUAACUAACAAAAGAAAAUAGGAUAAAUAUAGCAAAUCAAUGUAAAAUGUUAAACAAUUAAUAAUGAAUACUAUAGUUAUUAAAACUGUGUAUUAUAACUUUCAUUAUUACUAUAUUUAUUUAUUUAUUAAAAAAAUUCAAAAAUUGGGAGGGGCUACCCCGGUGCUACUUUCACAAAUUCUCAUGUGCGGAUGAUCAUAUUAGAAUAGAAACCUCAUCUUUUAGUUUUGGUAGUUCACGAUAAAAAUAUCAAUUUUUGUAAGGGUUAAUUACGCCAAAAAUCAUGAACUUUGGUCGGAUUUCCAAACUUUCCAUGAACUUUUAUUUUUAUAAAAAAUUCCCUGAAUUUAAUCUUCUGAAUAAUUUUUCCAUGAUUUUCGAAAAUCCCCAAAUUGAGUGUUGACAUGGCAUUUUUGAGUGACCUGAAAAAUGAUAUGGCACUGCCGGACGGGAACCAAAACGAAGUCGUUUAGUUGGGCGUAAAACGACGUCGUUUUACCUCAAAUUCUAGCUCCCAUCUUCUUCUCUCUGAACUCCGGCGAAGAGCCGCCCAUCGGACCGCCUCUGCCCUCAGUUUUGCAGAGCCCUAGUUUCUCAAAUCUCUCAUUCCUUAUUCUCGCCAGAGCGAUGAAAGGCGGUGCAAGGUCGGGUGGUGGCGCCGCGUGAAAGGGGGCGCAACCCUAGGCGGCGCGAGGUCGGGUGGUGGCGCAGCGAGAAAGGGGGCACAAACCCUAGGCGGCGCGGGGUCGGGUGGUGGCGCCGCGCGAAAGGGGACACAAACCCUAGGCGGCGUGAGGUCGGGUGGUGGCGCCGAGCGAAAAAGGGCGCAAACCCUAGUGAGGUGUGAGGUCGGCGGCGCGAGAUCUGGUGAAGAAGAAUAAUUUUUUAGGGAGAAAAGGUGGACAGCGGCGAUGGAUGUUUGGGGAAGAAGAAGAACGGCGCGAGGUUUGUGGUGGACGGCGGCGGUGGAGGUCUGGGGAGAAGAAGAAUUUUUGGAAUGAUGCAAGGUCUGCGGUGGAUGGUUCGCGAAAGUGGACGAGGUUUGGAACGGCGCGAGCACAACAACGGCAGUUUGGGGGUUAGGUUUUUGGCGGAGGCGGGCCUUCAUGUCUGAGAUCGAGGGAGGUGAUCGUCGCGAAGGAGGAAGGCGGAGGUGGUGGCCCUUAGUGCUGCUUUGCCGGAGGAAGGCAGCGGCGGUCCUUUGGCAGCGGUCCACCGGCCGACCUGGAGAAAGGGGAGGAAAAUAAUCGAUUUUCUAUUUUUUUGUUUAUUUUUUUCCCAAGUAGGUAUUACCACGUAGGCGCCAUGUCAGCUCGGUAUUGCCACAUAGGCGCCAGCUAAGACCGAACCUUCACCGGAGGUAAAAACCGUGGAAAAAUUGUUCAGGCAUUUAAAUUCAGGGAAUAUUUGAUAAAAAAAAAAACAGUUCAUGGAAAGUAUGGAAAUCGCACCAAAGUUCAUGAUUUUUCACGUAAUUAACCCUUUUUGUAACUCAACUCAAGAGUGAUAUUUUUCAAAAAUGUUUCAACUAUUAUAUUACUCUAACUACUACGUUCAUCCGUGCGAUGCACGAUAAACAUUAACAUUAAACGACAUAUCAAAAUAAAUAAAUAUAAGGGUUAAUAGCCGGAAAAUACACGAAGUUUCACCAAAUUUGUAAUUUGAACAUGAUUUUUAAAAUUAGCUCCAUAAUACAUGAACUAUUGAUUUAAUUGCAAUUUGCACACGCGUUGACUAUAACCUAAAUCCUAGUUGACGUGGCUCCCAGAAUUUGCAGACGUGGAUGCACCGACGUUUAUGUAAUACGACGUCGUUUUGAGUGAGUAUAAUUAAAAAUAGGGGUGUGGAAUCGUGCUUGAGGUGAAAAAGGGGCGAGCCCUAGUUUCCUCCUCUCUGUUUCCAAUCCGCCGCCGCCGAGGGACCGGCGAGCGCCGCCGCUUGGAGGACGCGACACCUUCUUCUUCCCGUCUAGAGCUUGUCCGCCGCGCUGUCACGCCGUUGAUCCUGGCCCUGCGAGUCGUCGCCGCUCUAUUUUUCAUCCGGCGUGCAGUAGGUCCACGGGUCACCCUCGAGCAAAAGCUCCGGCGCGAGCUCCUCAUCCCCUCUCUCUUUUCGCUGAACUUCGAUGAGCAGCGGGGUUCUGCCGCCGUUGUUCUUCCCUGGCCCAUUGCGCCUCCACAUCCGUCGCCGUAACCAGGAGAGUUACGAAUUCAUUCAUCUCGAUCCUAGAUCCUAGAUGUUGUGGUGGCUGGCAUCUUUAGGUAAUUAAAUUUUGAAUUGAGUUUUGUUGCUGUGUGGUGUUUGUGUAUCGGAGAAGGUUAGAGGUGGCACUGGCACUUGCCUGAAUUCAGAGAAGGAGGCUUGGAGCUAGAGUCAGCGGUGGCGGCACUUGGUUGUCGUGGCCGAGAAUUAGAGGAAAAAGGUGGUAGCGGGGCUAGGGUUUCGGACGAUGAUAGGGGCAACGGCUUCACGCUGCUGUCAUUAGUCGGAGAAAUGAGAAAGAUUGGGGGCGGAGGUCGUGGCUUGUUCCUGCGGCUGCCAUUGCCGACGCCUAGGGAGGAAGUGGCGAUGCGGUUGCUGGAUUUUUAGAGGCGGUGAUGUUAUUUCAUUCCAUCUCCUUCAUUCUAUGUCUUAUAUGUCACUGUGUUAAAAAUGUCCCACAUAAUUUUAAAAAUAGUCCAUGUCAUUGUCGUCAACGUUAAUUUUAAUCGGAUUUCUCACCUUGUUAAAUCAAUAGUUGGUGUAUUAUGGAUCUAAUUUUAAAGGUCAUAUGCAAAAUGCAAAUUUGGUGAAACUUUGUGUAUUUUUCGGCUAUUAACCCUAAAUAUAAUUAAAAUAUAAAAUAUAAAUAAAUAUACAAACAUAAAUAAAAAGUUGUAAAAAAUAAUAGAGAGAGAGAAGAAGAAGAAGAAAAUAUUUUAAAUUUUUAUUCUUUCAUAACUAAUUUGUUUCAAAUUCAUUUUUGAUUUUUUUUUAUCAUACUAUUAAAGAUCUUAUCACGAGUUUAAAUUUUAGAUUCAUAUUGAUUUUUUUUAUGAAUCAAAUUUGAUGAUGUUCAUAAAAGAAUUAAAAAGAGAGAGAUGAGAGAAAAAAUUAGUAGGAAUACAAAGAGAAAAUAGUGAAAACUGAAAAGAUUGGUGGGAGAAGAGAGAUAAAAAGAGAUAGGGAAGAAAAUGGAGAGGGGAAAACUCCUAUUUUAUGGUAUACUAGUACGCCCUCCCGUGCGAUGAACGGGUCACGAUAUAUUUAUUUAUUUUUAAAAUUUUAAAUUAUUUAAGAAUAUCAAAGUGUCAUUAUUUAUGAAUUAGAUUAACCGAUAAUAAAAAAAAAUGAUACUCACUCCGUCCAUGAUAUCCUUCCACUUUUAUUAUUUUAGUAUGUGCACAAUAUUAUUUUCACUUCCAUUUAUAGCAGUAUGGUCCACGAACUUCAUUUACAAUAAUAAUGAGACCCAAACUCCACUAACAAUAAUACUCACUACUAUUCACCACUUUUUAAAACUUGUACCGUUCACAAAGUAGAAACAAUAUCGUAGACGGAGGCAGUGUCAAUUUAAAUAUAAGUAUUUGAUUUAAAAUAAUGUAUAAUUAUUAUAUUAUCAACUUAAUGAGUAUUGUAUAAUAAUAAUUAAAUUUAUAGAUUAUAAAACAAAUCAUGUAAGUCAAUCUCAUUUUGAGCAAAUAAUACUAAACCAUCAAUAUAACAAAAUUGAUAGUCGUCAUUUAAUAUUAAAAUAUUGAGAUCUUAAAAUUCAAACUGCAUUAUUAUUAAAAGUUCAUAUUUAAACAACCCAAACCAAAUUUAAAGAUCAGAAAAAAUAUGAAUAGUAUAAAAAGGAAGAUAUAAUAAUAAAUAUGUUUAUAUAAAUAAAUAAAUAAUUCAUAUGCAUAAUUAUAAUUAAACAACCAUGUAGACUUUUGUAGACUUUUUUGAAAGGUAAACAAUGACAUUUACUAAAAAAAAUUCCCCAAUAAACGGAAACAAAUGAAAAAAUAGUAUGAUAUUCAAAUUAGAGAUAAAUGAGAGCGAACAAAAAUUAAUUUUGACAUUUUAGACGAUCAUAAAUUAUUAAUUUCAAAUUUAUUUAUUACUCUAAAGUAAAGAUAUUAGUUUUAAAUUUAACAUUGGAAUUGAAUAUUUUUUCACAAAUCGAAAUUAAUGAUUUUUUUGAAUAAAAUUAAAAUAGAAAAAAUAAGAAAGAAAUUUUGGAGGGAAGAAGUGAGAGGAGAGAGAAAAUUUGGAGGUAAAAAAACUCCUCUAUUUAUAUUAUAUAUAGAUAUAUAGAUAUUGUAUAUGUUUUUUUUUUAUUUAUAAAAGAACAUUCAAUCUACAUCCCAAAUUAGAAAUAAAUUUAAAAUGAAUAAUAUAUGUGUGUUUAAAGUUUCAAUUUUUUUUCUCUAUCCGAUUUACUCCCCAUUUUUUUCUCUUUUUUCUUUCAUCUCUUAUAAAAAUAUUAAAUUUUAUAUAAAUAAGUAAAAAAAAUUAUACUCCUUAUGAACGAAAUAAAAUACAUCAAAACGUAUGAACGAAAACAUAAAUUUAAAGCAAAUUCAUUUAAAGAACUAAUUUGGCCCAAAAACAAAGAGUACAGUGAUAAAUAAAGAAUCACAAAUUAAUUUAACCCAACAAUUAAAGAAUAUAAUAAUAAAUUAAGUCUAGCAAUUAAUUUAAAUCCAUUAUAAAAUACGAUAAAAGAAUGAAUCCCUAAUUUGGGCUCAUUAUUCACGCCCAAAUUGUAGGCGGCGCCGCUCCCCUUCUUAACUUUUGACGCUUAUUUCCCUGCUAUUCUUUUUUCGUGUCCAUUUUUUAGAAUUGUUGCGGCCAUCUCGUCGCCGCACGGACAGCUCCGCCACGCCUUCUUUGGCAGCAGCGCAACACGAUACAUCACCCUUUUUCCUCGCUCUCGCCGCCUCUCUUUCACUUGGUCUCUCUUGCCUAUCACUUAUUGCCGUACGGACCAUCCUACCUUCUACAGCAGUCGCAGCACUGCUCAGGCACACAGAAGUCUGUCUCUCCAGCCUCCUGUAGCUCCAUCUCGGCUCCUCCAUGCGGCCUUAAAAACAGCAGCUAACACGUAACUCAUUUAUGCCUUCAAACGUUCCUUCUUCCUUCUCAUUCUCCUUCUCCAUCCACGAAUUUUGAAUGCUUAGAAGUUGUGAUCCUGUGAGUUUGUGUUUGAGUUUUUCGGCUGCAAUUCCUUAAGAACACCGAUGAUUUAGUGGAGCAAUCUUUGAUACCUAUAGAGCAUUAAACAGUGGGUUGCUUCGAAUUGUGUAAUUUUUUUUUCAGAAAAGAAGUGUAGAGAAAAGUGUGAAAUGGUAAAUGAAUGUGAUUUGAUAUUUAUAAAUUGUAAAUCUGGAUGUUAUAGCAGUUUGUUAUCACUUUCAGUAGUGGGUUGCUAUAGUUUAUUUGCUAAUUGGCGUAGUGGGUUGUUCAUCUAAAUAACAUGGUGGUUAUGGAUUGUAAAAGGGGGAGAAUGCGUUGUGUAAAAAACUGAAUAGAGAGAGAAAUAUUUACAUACGGCCGUUGAAGUUUUAGGAAUAUUCAGUUAGAUAAAUGACGGUAAAUUAGAUGGUGUUAAACUGGUUCUUCAUAUAAUAUAUAGAUUGUCACAAUCUAAUAUGAUCAUAAUUAUUUGUUUUAUAUAUAUAGUUAACUGUAUCAAUUUCACACGUGACAUAAACGCUAUUUAUUCAAAUCGAUUAGGUCGACGUCACAAAAUACAACAACUACAUUUUUUUGUAUAUUCAAAAGAAAAUAAAUUUUACAUCAAUAUCUAUAUCUAUACUAUACUAAUAUAUAUAUAUACUAAUAGAAAAAGAGCCUAAGCAUUCUAUGGGACAACUUGUGGAUUGCAUAUUUUACCACUCUACAUAAUAUUUUAUGUUAUAUAUAGUUAUAAUCUAUUUAAUAUAAACGUGUAUAUAUCCAAUUAUCACGUUAAUUUUAAAUAUGAAAAGUAGAGAUAACGUGUAUAUAUCCAAUUAUCACGUUAAUUUUAAAUAUGAAAAGUAGAGAUAAUGGAUAUAUCUUCGUUGACUUUAAGUUGGAGAAGAAUUAGAAUUUAAUUAAUUUAUGUUUAGAAUUUAGUUAGUACAAUUUGCAAUCGGUAGUAGUAAUUAUUACUUACUUUCAUGUAAUUAACCAAUAAUUAAUUGUGUUAUAAAAUUAAUGAUCAAAUUGUCUAAGAAAUAAUAAAUUAAAUAUAAUAGUAAUUAUUACUUACUUUCGUGUAAUUAACCAAUAAUUAAUUGUGUGGUAAAACUAAUGAUCAAAUUGUCUAAGAAAUAAUAAAUUAAAUAUAAUACUCUUAAUUAUUUUGUCUCAUUGAAAUUCUAAUAUGAUGUUGCAAUAUUACACCAAGUUGUGUUAACCGUUGGAUCAAUGUCUAUCCCAAACUAACAUUUAUUGAAUCCCAAAAUAUAUUUUGUAAAUAUGGUUAGGAUAAGAAUAAAAUAAUUUAAUAGAUCAAAGAAUUGUGAUAGAAAUCGACAAUAUUAGAAUUAGAAUUGUAAUAGGAAUCAAACUUUCGAAUCCACAUUAUAUAAAGGGGUUGCAGCGUUCCAACUAUCCAACCAAGAACCACGAGACGAAAUCACUAUACUUCUACUACUAAUACUACCUUCAACAUUCUUCUUCUGCAAAAGAUUGAAUCGUUUACGAGGUUUUCCCUAGGUCUGAAAUCUGAGUUGUUACCGUGCUUCACCGCUGCUCUUAGUUUUGAUUCUCGACUGUGCUCAGUCAGGCCACACCAUCGCACACAACCUCUUCGAGAAGACAACUUGGGUGGCCUCUCAGCUCCAUCGCCACCAAAUAGAAUAUAAUAGCAUAUGUUUUGAGAUUUUCGUGCUUCGCUGCUGCUCUGAGCCUUCGGUCCGCCGUGCUUCACCGCGCUCUGAGUCUUUUUCCGGUCACUGCCUCCCCUCUUCGAAGGUCGUUUGAGGUUAGUUUUGAUUCUUGCUCCAUCUGUUCAUAAGUAUUAUUAGAAUACAAUGAAUUCUCUUCCUUGAAUCUAUUAUGUAAAUCCUUCCGCAUGUUGAUAAUUAUUUCUGGUACUGAGUGAACCAACACUAAUAUUAAAGACACAUGAUUUAACUUGAAGAUCUCCAAGUUAAAUGUUAUUUCUGGUACUGAGUGAACCAACACUAAUAUUAAAGACACAUGAUUAUGCCAAGAAAUAAUAUUCGAUACUUUACACAUGAACGCAAGAGAAGAUAAAUUUUAUUGGGGAAUUUAUGUACAAGAAGGAGCGGGAAAAGAUAAAAUUACCCCCUCCAUGCACUCAAAUAGAAUUGUUAUAAAUAAAUGUAUAUAGUUUCUACUUUUCGCAUCAGAGAGUUUAAUUUCAUUGUGGUUAUCAUAUAUAUGGCCCCAUCACAACACAUAUGUCAGACACUAUAUAUAAUAUUGUACCAGAUGAUAUCGUAAAUAUAAAAUCUUAUUGUGUAUUGAUGAGGUGAAAUACGAAACUAUAUACUAUGAAGUUUUGUUUAAUUUGAGAUAAAUUAAUUAGGAUGAUAUAUAUUGCAGAUAUGAGAUGUAUUGUAGGGAUCAGCGCCUAAUGGCAUAAUGCAUUAUGCAUAUGUCUUAAUGCAAUCCCUAUUUAAUCACAAUGUAUAAAUCCUACCUAUGAAUGAGCUGGAUCGAUAAAGUGUUGAUUUGUAUUUAGAGUGUUUAGGUGAUAUGAAUACAUUUAAUUAAAUUUCUAAACAUAGAUUGAAUGAAAAAUCUUUUAGUUGUAAUGGUUGAGAUUCUUUAUAUAAUUAAGCAAUUGUUGAUAUAUAUAUAUAUAUAUAUAUAUUAGUAAAUUAUUAUAUUUAUUUUNNNNNNNNNNNNNNNNNNNNNNNNNNNNNNNNNNNNNNNNNNNNNNNNNNNNNNNNNNNNNNNNNNNNNNNNNNNNNNNNNNNNNNNNNNNNNNNNNNNNNNNNNNNNNNNNNNNNNNNNNNNNNNNNNNNNNNNNNNNNNNNNNNNNNNNNNNNNNNNNNNNNNNNNNNNNNNNNNNNNNNNNNNNNNNNNNNNNNNNNNNNNNNNNNNNNNNNNNNNNNNNNNNNNNNNNNNNNNNNNNNNNNNNNNNNNNNNNNNNNNNNNNNNNNNNNNNNNNNNNNNNNNNNNNNNNNNNNNNNNNNNNNNNNNNNNNNNNNNNNNNNNNNNNNNNNNNNNNNNNNNNNNNNNNNNNNNNNNNNNNNNNNNNNNNNNNNNNNNNNNNNNNNNNNNNNNNNNNNNNNNNNNNNNNNNNNNNNNNNNNNNNNNNNNNNNNNNNNNNNNNNNNNNNNNNNNNNNNNNNNNNNNNNNNNNNNNNNNNNNNNNNNNNNNNNNNNNNNNNNNNNNNNNNNNNNNNNNNNNNNNNNNNNNNNNNNNNNNNNNNNNNNNNNNNNNNNNNNNNNNNNNNNNNNNNNNNNNNNNNNNNNNNNNNNNNNNNNNNNNNNNNNNNNNNNNNNNNNNNNNNNNNNNNNNNNNNNNNNNNNNNNNNNNNNNNNNNNNNNNNNNNNNNNNNNNNNNNNNNNNNNNNNNNNNNNNNNNNNNNNNNNNNNNNNNNNNNNNNNNNNNNNNNNNNNNNNNNNNNNNNNNNNNNNNNNNNNNNNNNNNNNNNNNNNNNNNNNNNNNNNNNNNNNNNNNNNCAGAUAGAUAUCAUACUGAAAUGAAACAUUUUAUGGCAAGACAAUACUUGAAAUAACUUCAAUUCAAAUAUUUUGUCAUGAAAUAACUUGUUCAACUGUAAUAUGAAACUCAUUUGAUACAUAUGAAAGUAAUGCCCACCUGAUAGUGAAGCUUUGCUACAGUUCAGUAACUCAUUGACUAGCUCUUACUCUUGCGCUUAACCUUGAAUGUCAAACCUUAGCUCGAUGAAAAUUCUCAAUAAAUGAGAAUGCGUAAAAUAAAUAUGCAUGGCUCAUAUUCCUUUAAUUAUUAAUCCAAAUAUUGGAUCAAAGCUCGUCUUAUAAUAUCAGAUUAUUAAUCUUAAUUAAUCCACUCAUCUUAGGGUUUGCUAACCCGCUUACUAAUCUCAUAACCUCAUUCUUUCAAAACCGUAAUUAGAUUUGGUUGAGUCUAAUUAAUCGAUUAAUAAAUCAAUUCCUUGAUCGGGCUUAAAUAAAAUAAUGGCACUCCAAAUAAAAGAACUCCAUCCCAAACUAAUUAAAUACAACCCAUAUGAAGGAAAUUAAGGGCAACCUAUUCUACUUAAAAUAGAAGCCCAAAAGCUCAGUCUCAAUCCGGCCAAGCUUAACUCCUAAUUUUGGCCCAUCAUAACACACUCUCAGCCCAAACACCAGCUUGCCCAAACACCAAAUUAAUUCACGCUGAACUCCUUUUCUUCAAGGUUUCACGUUGAGAACCAAGAUCGACCGUGUACUCCACCCAGCCGUUGCCGCAUCCACGCCGAAUCGCCGCUGCUCUGAAAUUCUGGUGGGGCCGCACCUCGUCUCCCCUCCGACUCACUCUCUCCCUCACAAUCUCUUCCUCUUAAUUCCUCAAUCCAGACUACCCUUUUCUUCUAAAUUUCGAACCCUAGCUCUUCUUUCUUAGUAAUCAGCCGUCGCCGUCACUGAAGAGUCGGCGAACGACCGCCGCUGCGUGUCGGAACUCGUCCGCAAAUGUAAUACCCCGUAUAUUUUUAUAAUAUUUUUAUUAAUAUUUAUAUAGUUGUUAAAGGAAUUAAAUAGCUUGAAAUGCUAUUUAAUUAUUUGAGUAUUAUUUACUAAUGAGUUUAUUGGUUUAGUAAUUAAGAUUUAUUACUAAAUCAAUAGUGUGAAUAAUAUGAGAGUAUUUAAUUUUAUUUUCUUGAAGAUGAAUAAUUGUUGGUAGAUAGCUUCAUUAAAUUUUUGUAAUUGAUGUAUAUUCAUCAAAAUAUGUUUUUAAAGCAUUUUCUUUUAUUCAUAAAAAUUAUUUAAUUGUAGAGUUUUCCAUUUUUAAAGUCCUUUUUCUAGAAUUCUAAUAUAUAUUAAAAUAAAACUUUAUAUGUAUGAAUUUUUGCCCAAAUGGGCCGGCCACUUUAGAAAUGAAAUGGGAGUUCCAUGUUUCCUAGUUGUAAAAAAGUUGUUUCUAGAAUUUUAAUGCACAAACUCCCAAACAAAAAGGAUAACCAUGUAUAUUUGUGGGAAUUUAGAUAAAACCCAAUUCACUUCUACCUAGCUACUGUCGACUGUUUUCAAAAAAAAAAGGGAAGAGAACAGAGCCAUCUUCCUCACCCUUCAAGUUUAAAUUCGUAGAGAUUUUCAAGUAGCAGCUGCACUACUUUAAAAGAAGAAGGUGAAUUUCUUCGAUUCUAUGUUUUCCUACAAUUCUAGCUUGAAGAAAGUUUAUUCCUUGAAUUCUAGGGUUCUUCGAAAUUUGGGAUUAUAUUCUAGAGUUGAAGUAUGACUUCAAUAUUGAUAUAUAUUGUGUUUUUGAUGUUCCUAAGCAUGAUUGUGGUGGGUAAUUGCAGUAAUUGUUACUCGAUUUUGGAUUUUUCUCAAGUUAGUUCUAGGUUGAGUUCGAAAAUUCUGAUUAUGUUCUUGAAUAAAUGAGUUUAUAUAUGUGCUCUUGAGCUGGAAUUAUGUUAUAUAUGAGUAUAUUAUGAGUUUGCACUCUAGGGUUGUGAGAUUGAUUUUGUUAGUUUAGGGGAAGUUGGGGCUUUUGAAUUGAGAAGGUUUAUAUGCUAUUGUUUGAUGGAGAUAUGUAUAUUAUGAUGUGAUUUUAUUAAUUAUGGAGAUUAGAACAGCCCUACUACCCAAUUCUUUUAUGAAGCUCUGUUGUAUAAAGAGAGGGAAGUGAUAAAGUUGCUAUGUGUAUGCAUGUAGUUGAGAGUAGUAGCAUUGGUGGGGUUUAAUUUUAGCUCAUUAAGGUUUCUUUUAAAGAGAUUGAGAUGAUUAAAGAUAUUAGUUUAUUAAACUAUAUAUGCAUAUGUUUAUUGAGAGUUGAUGAACAUCUUUUAACUCAUUCUUUUAUCUUUCCUUAUUGAAUUCAGAAAAAUGAUUUUAGUUUAUUGAUGAUGUGAUGUGAGGAAAUGUUAGGAUAAUAAGGGAAUAGCAAACAUGAGUUAUUAUUACAAUAUUAUAUUAUAUAUAUAUAUUUUCUUACUUAUUUUUCUUACAAAAUUUUAUCUAUUUAAAGGUUCCGGCUAGGAACGAGCCCGACACUAGAGUACGAAGUAAGAGAAACAUAUCAGGUGGGCUUACUAACUCAAGAAACAAUGAUGCAUACUUUAUUAUAUAAAGUUUAAGUGUAUGCAUUUAUUUUCAAAUUGUUGACUUGCCAAUGUUUAAGUUUUGUAUGAUACCAUCUACAUAGAAGAACGAAUUCGAGUCCUGAGCGAGUCAGGAUUUGUGUACACAGAGUGACGGUUAACCUUGAGUUAGCUUGUCGUUACGUUUGGGAAGGAGGCCUACUUCUCAACGUGUUUAUUGAGACUAGUAGAUAUGGUACAUACUUACAUGAGAACUUAGUCUGCGCAGACACUUUCAAAUACUAUGUAAAAACAGUUUAGCAAACACAGGUUGCUUCAGAAAAUCCCUUGUGUAUUGCUUAAAGUGGCAAGUUCAAUAUAUAGCAUUAUCAUGCAGAGUUUUAAAUUUUUUCGGCAUAUGUUCACUGAGUGUUUGUGGUACUCAGCCCUGCAUAUCUUUUUAAAUGUGCAGGUUAAGUUUGGAUGAAGAUGGAAGUGUGCUGAGCUGGAGCUUUUUGUUUAUGUAAAUAGUAAUAGGCUCAGGAUGUUGUGUCUUCAUACAUAAUGUCCCAUGAUGUACUCCGCUGCAACACUUUAUUUCUCUUAUCACUUUUGACGUGUUGUAGAAUGUUUUAAAACCUUAACCUGUAUAUGAGCGUGAUAAGUCUUGGUUAUGAUAUUUAUUUGGUCUAAACUUCUUUUGUUAAAGUUUGAUGGCUAUGUAUGUAAGUUAAUUAUACGUUUGUCUUAGUUUCAUUUCGAUUACUUUCCAUCUCUCGUUCUCCACCCUAGUCGUACGAUACCUGGUCUAGCUAUCUUUCUCCUAGGCCGGGCUGCGACAGCAAAUCACCGCGGCGUACAGCUCCACCGCUGUGUCUGUUGGGUAUUUACGCCUAGCCAGGGUUACACCAAUUGUUUCUCGAAUCUCCUGUCUUUCCCACUUCGUGCUCAAGCACUUUAAUCCUCGUCUUCUUCUUCUCUUCACUUCACUGCUUCUCCCCUCUUCGCUUCUUCUGAUCUGCACAAAAGAAAAGAAAGCAAAGAAAAGAUACAAGAGAAAAGAAAAAGAGAGAGAUAAAGUUCAGAGAUUGGGGAAAAGGUGUCCUCGGGACACGGUGGGGCUCAGAUUUUCCCCUUGUACUCAGCAACCCUUCCGACAGCUGAAUGAUCAAGACCACAUGAUGGACAAGGAGCAGCUUCUCAGAUCUCAGCAGAGCCACCAAUAGCAGGAGCCAAGUACAGGACUCCGACGGCUUAGAUCUUCCCAGGUAACCACCAAACAGGGCUCCGGUGAACAGGAAGGCCCGGUGAUACCACCACCCAUACAGGGAAUCCCGUACUAUCAAAGAAGUAACCACAGAUUUGAAAGGAAUAGCAGAGCCUCUCACACUUUGAUACUACGGUUAUCCCCAUAUGGGAUAGCAUCAGGGAUUUUAAGGAGAGCAGCAGCAACGGGAGGGAGGAGCGCCAUUGAAGGCGAUGGAGAAACCAAGGUAAAAGGGCGGUGGGAGGGUGGAGGAGCCGAGGAGUUGGGGAGAGAGAGAAGAAAAGGAAAGGGAAGCGGCGCUGAGUGAAGUGAGAGAGAGAGUGGGGUUCGGGUGGGGUAUAUCUGAGGGUGAGUGGGCUAGGGUUUGGGAAUUGGGCUUGGUUCUGGGCCCAAGAGAUGGCCCAGACAAAAAGAAAAAGAAGGGUUUGAGAGAAUGAGAAAUGGGCCAACCUCACAUAUCUGCUUUCCCUAUUUCUGUUCCCUAUCCCAGAAAGCAUGUUAGCACUGAAAUCUUUGAAUAUUUGCAUGCUGAUGUUUGGGGCCCUGCAAAGGUGCCCACUCAUGGUGGUAAUAUGUACUUCUUAUCUGUGAUUGAUGACUUUUCUAGAAAAACUUGGGUGUUUCUUAUGAAAAACAAGUCUGAAGUAUUUGAUAAAUUGUCUAAGUGGGCUGUUCAGAUUCAAAAUCAGACAAGAAAGAGCAUUAAAUGCAUAAGAACUGAUAAUGGCCUUGAAUUUUGCAAUCAUUCCAUGGAUAAUUGGUGUUAUGAGUUAGGCAUCACUAGACAUAAGUCAGUUCCUUACACUCCACAGCAGAAUGGAGUUGUUGAAAGAAUGAAUAGAACUCUCCUUGAGAGAGUUAGAAGUCUCCUUGUUGCCUCUUGUCUGUCCAAGCAUUUCUGGGGUGAAGCCCUUAUGACUGUUGUCUACUUGAUCAAUAGGUCUCCAUCUGUGCCUUUACUUGGUAAAUUGCCUGAGUCUGUAUUCUGGAAUAAGCCUAUAUGCUUGAAGAACCUGAGAGUCUUUGGUUGUGCUGCUUAUGUGCAUCAAAAUCUUGACAAACUUGAACCUAGAGCUAAGAAGUGCAUUUUUCUUGGGUAUCCUGAAGGGGUUAAAGGAUAUAGGCUGUGGGAUAGGUCUGUACCUGGGUUCAAAACUUGCAUUAGUAGAGAUGUGUCUUUCAAUGAAUUGAGUUUCCCAUGUUUGCUGAAAUCCUCACAAUCUGCUGCUCCAAGUGAGGUGGAGAACUUGAAUGCUUAUGACUCUGCUAGAUAUGAGUUUAUGUUUACUCCUGUGAUUCCUUUUGAGGUGGAAACUCAACCAAACGCUGAACCUCCUCAUGUAUCUGACCCUGUUGUUCAGCCUGAACCCAUUCCUGAUCCUGAACCUGUUAUACCUGAAUCUGCUGUGAAUGAACCUACCCAGAAUGAUGUGCAUGUGAAUGACAAUUUGAAUGAUUAUCAACUUGCAAGAGAUAGGGAAAGAAGGCAUGUUAGGCAGCCUGCUAGGUUUGAUGACUACGAUUUGUCCAUGUAUGCCUUUAAUGUGUUCAAUAAUGUUGAUCAUACUGAACCUUGUUCUUAUUAUGAGGCUGUUAACUCUGAUGAAUCUGCUAAGUGGUUAACUGCUAUGGAAUCUGAAAUGAACUCUCUUCAUAACAAUAAGACAUGGAUUUUAGUUCCUAAACCUGCUGACUGCUCUAUUGUUGAAUGUAAAUGGUUGUUUAAAAUCAAAAAUGAGGUGGAAAAUGUCAGAUACAAGGCUAGGCUUGUUGCAAAAGGUUUUACACAAAAAGAGGGCAUUGAUUAUAAUGAGAUAUUUGCUCCAGUUGUUAAAUUCACUACUGUGCGCAUUAUGCUUGCUCUAUGUGCUCAUUUUAACUGGGAAUUGAAACAGAUGGAUGUUACUACUGCUUUAUUGCAUGGUGAACUUGAAAAUGACAUUUAUAUGAAACAACCUGAAGGUUUUUUUGAUAAAAACUUCCCUGAUCAUGUGUGCCUUCUUAAAAAGUCUUUAUAUGGUUUAAAACAGUCUCCUAGGCAAUGGAAUUUGAAGUUUGAUCAAUGCAUGAAAAACUUGAACUUUGUUAGGAGCAGUUUUGAUCAUUGUUUGUACCAUCUGGAUGGUGAGUCUCCUGUGUUCUUGCUCCUAUAUGUUGAUGAUAUGCUCAUACUUGGUCCAUGUUUGAAAACCAUACAGCAUGUUCAGAAAUGCCUAUGUGAAAACUUUGACAUGAAGGAUUUAAGGGAUGCUAAGAAAAUUCUAAGCAUGAGCAUAGAAAGAGACAGAGAGAAAUCUACUCUUUUAUUGCAUCAGUCUGAUUAUGUGAAGCAAGUUCUUCUUAAGUUUAACAUGGAUAAUUGUAACUCUGUCAAUGUGCCUCUUGGUUCUCAUUUUGAGUUGAGUAAGAAACAAUGCCCCAUAUCUGAUUCUGAUCUUGAAGAGAUGAAAAAUAUCCCUUAUGCCAAUGCUGUAGGGUCUGUCAUGUAUCUUAUGAUUAGCACCAGACCUGACAUUGCCUAUGAUGUAUCUUGCUUGAGUAAAUACAUGGCUAAUCCUGGACUUCCUCACUGGGAAGCUAUGAAAUGGCUUUUCAGAUAUUUGAAAUCUACUAUGGAUCAUGGUCUGUUCUUCUCAAGGUCUGGAAAUGGUGUCAAAUGUGUUGGUUAUGUGGAUUCUAAUUAUGCCAAUGAUAGGGACAAUAGGAAGUCUACUACUUCUUAUGUGUUUACUUUAUGUGAUUCUUGCAUAAGUUGGAAGUCUCAGUUACAAGGCAUUGUGGCUUUAUCUACUACUGAAUCUGAGUAUAUUGCAGCUACUGAAGCUGUAAAAGAGGCUAUAUGGUUAAAUGGUGUGCUUUCUGAGAUUAAGUUUAUUGAUGAUAAACCUGUGCUCUUCUCUGACAGUCAGUCUGCUAUACAGUUGUGUAAGAAUCCUGUUUUUCAUGAUAGAACAAAACACAUUGAUGUCAGGUAUCAUUUUAUCAGGGAUGUUGUUGAAAAAGGGUGAUGUUAUUCUGAACAAAAUUCCUUCUGAAUUCAAUCCUGCUGAUAUGGGAACCAAAUGUUUACCUGUUUUAAAAUUAGUCUCAUGCAAAAAUACUUUGAACAUUGGAGGUCUUUGACUUGUUUUCUGCUUUGUUUUCUUGAGUUUUUGUGUUGUUUGUUGUCCUUUUGUUUGUCUGCUGCUUGUUCCUUUGUGUUUCUUUUGUUUGUGCCCUGUGUGUUGUUGUCUUUUGUUGUUUGAGCUUUGUUGUGUCUUCAAUGAUAACCUUUUGGGUUUGAGAAAUGGUGAUUUCCUCUUGGGUUGAUCUCUGUGGCUUGAGAUUGAGAAUGAUAUGUCUAAUAUUAUUUCUCACCCUCUCUUUCUUGUCUUUGUGAUAGGAUAAGAGUAAAAAUGGAGGCUGCAUGUGAUGACAACUCCAACUCAAUGGCUGGUCCUUCCCUGGUGACUAAAUGAUCAAUGUGCCAAAGGUGGAUAUGUGAAGGUUGGCCCAUUUCUCAUUUAUCUCUUUUGUCUGGGCCAACUUUAGGGCCCAGAACCGAGCCCACUUAAAAACCCUAGCCCACUUUACCUAUCUGAUAUAUACCCCCCCGAACCCCACUCUCUCUCACUUCUCUCUGCGCCGCUCCUCCUUACCCUAAUUCUCUCUCUCUGACUCCUCAUCUCCUCCACCUUCCCACCGCCCAUCUCCUUGGUUUCUCCAUCGCCUUCAAUGGCGCUCCAUCCUUCCUCUUAGCCUGCUGCACCCCUAUUAAAUCCCUGAUGCUCAUUCAAAUGGGGAAGCAUAGAUUAUCAAAAGUGAGAAAGGCUCUGAUAUUCCUUUCAGUGUGUGUUAUUCUUUUGAUAGUGUGGGAUUCCCUGUGUGAGUGGUGGUAUCACCGGGCCUUCCAGUUCACCGGAGCUCUGUUUGGUGGUUACCUGAGAAGUUCUUGAGCCAUCGGAGUUCUGUACCUGGCUCCUGCUGUUGGUGGCUCAUCUGUGCUGAGAUCAGUGAAGCCCCUUCACUAUCCAUCACCUUGGUCUUGAUUGUACUGCUGCCGGAAGGGUUUUGCUGAGUACAGGGGAAAAUCUGAGCCCCACCGUGUCCCGAGGACACCUUCACCCCUUCUCUGAUUUCUCUCACUCUAUGCUUUCUUUUCUUUCCCUUAAUUCCUUUUUUCUUUUAUUACCUUUACUUGCUUUUGUUCUUUCUUUAUUGUGCAGAUCAGAGGAACUGAGAUCUGAAGAGAGGAGAAGAAGAAGUAGAGCAGAAGAAGGUGAAGAAGCAGAUCUGAAGAAGGAGAGCAGAAGAGAAGAAGAGAUCAAGAAGAAGAAGAACCAAGUGCUUGAGCACGGGUGGGGAAGACAGAAGGUUCGGGAAACAAGUGGUGAACCCUGGCUAGGCGAAGAUACCCAACAGAAAGUUUUCCAACUGUGUGAUAUUAUUGGAUAUUUGUGUAUAGAAAGUAAGACUUUUUUUAUUGUAUUACAUUAUUAUCUCAAUGUUAUAGAUCAUAUGACGUGUUGUAGAUCACAUAAGAUAAUAUGAUUGAGUUGUCUUGUGAUAUAUCAAUUUGUAUUCACGUCCUAAAUAAUUUAAGAAUAAAUUAUUGAUUUAAGAUAUAGCAUAAUUAGAUAAGUAGUUCGUUUUAACUGCUUGUUUAUGCUACUACGUUCUUGCGUAUUGAAGGAUUACAAUGAGACAUACACCCUCCGU